rnacentral:lncRNA from 1 species
UUUUUUUUUUUUUUUUUUUAUAAAUCACAGGUGUCCGCAUCCGUUUUACGAUCUGCGAUGGUUAAUCCCGUUCGAAUCGUAUCAGACCCUUGCAGGGAAAAAUCUCGAACUUUAUUUUUUUCAUUUUCAUGGAUUACAUGUGCACUUAGCAGCCAUUGGACAGACGAACCUGAUAGCGAAGAGUGCACUGAGAAUCUUUCUCCAACCACCGUUGAAUUAAUUUAAUCCUAGUGGUUAAGUGUCAAAUGAAACACUACAACAACAGAAGAACACAUUACACACGUUACCCACAUGAAAAGCAUUAUGCGUACUCGCGUUAAUUGCAUGUAUGGGCAAUUCAAAAUGGCUCCAUCUUGGAGUUGACGGCUCCAAUUCAAUUUUUGUGAAGCAUGAGUUAGCCCCAUCCUCUUCUAAUCACUGAACAUUUAACUCUCCAACUUAAGGCUAGCAAAGGCUAGCAGGAAAAAAAAAAAAAGUGUGUUGAAAAUUGUAAUGAUGAUAUAAACAAAUAUAUUUUAACAAAUAAUGGGUAAAAGACAUUCUCUUGCUCUGCAUGCAGAUGCGCAUGCAGGUGCCAGGCGGGAAUGUCGGUCGAUCAUUUCAGGUUUCGGGGUGGUGAAUUUUUUUCUCCCGUUAUUCGGCAGGUUUUCUGUGAAGACAUCUCAAGUACUUGAGCAAUUAAUGCGUCAGGCCCUAUGAGUAGGGCUGCAAACGAAUCGAGCCGCUCGCGAGCGGCUCGCGAGCGGCUCGAGUCGAGCUCGAGAUUAGUCGAGCUCGAGCCAACUCGAGUCGAGCUCGAACUCGAGCUCAGAAUAUUAAGCCCGACUCGCGAGCUUGAGUAUAUAUAUUUAUAUAUUUUUUUUAUUUUUAUUUAAUAAUAAAAUUACGUAUAUUAUAUAUAAAUAUAUUUUAAUUUUUUAUUUUCAUAGUGAAAUUACGUAUAUAUCCUUAAUAUUUUAUUAUUUAUUCAGAAAAAAAUAUUAUUUUUUUUUUAUUUUUUUCGAGCUCGAGCUCGGCUCGACUUGAUUCGAGUCGAGCUCGAAAAUUGCCAGCUCGUCGAGCUCGAGCUCGAGCUCGAACUUGGUAAAAUUUAGUCGAGGCUCGACUCGAUUAGCUCAAAACUCGACUCGGCUCGACUCGUUUGCAGCCCUACCUAUGAGCAUUACAAACCUUUUUAGAAAAUGUAAAAUGGUGAAUCGAUACAUUGACAUAGAUAGACUGUAACACAACAUCCGGAUGCAGAUGAAAUAUUAUAAAAGAAGAAAUAUCUGCUUUUGACAAGAAGUUAUUGUAGAAAAAUAUGUUGUGACAAUAUGAUAAGUGUAAAGUAAACAGACAAUAGAGAAAUACACUUUCUAAGAGAAUAUUCUACAGAUGUUUUCUGAAAAAAUUGAAAAUCCAAAUGGACCUAAUACUCUAAAUUAGUUUAAUAUAACCAUAUUGUUUUUUUUUUUUCCCCCAACUAAUGUUACGAUACUCUGAUAGGAUUGAAAAUCUCGCAGUUAGUUGAGAGGGAAAGGGGGGAAAUAUCAUUUAAUUGGUAUGACCUCGAAGACUUGUCUGAGUUUGUCCAUUUCAGGAGGGAGCAGUUUAGCUCGUUAUGCCUCAAGUAGGUAGUUUCCUUCAAUGAGUUUCUUCGAGUCGUGCGUGCCUUGUUAGCUAACUCAUUAGAUCAAUUAAUCGAACCAGGAAUAUUUGCACUCCUAACGCUUAGAGUUUGUUCUUUAGUUUAUUUUAGAUACCUAAUUUUAAAUUUUUACUUGUAAAAAGGUAUUUUCUUUUGUUCUCAAAGUGAAAUUGUUCAAUAGCAGUUUUAAAAUGUACCAUAGUUUCAAAUUCUCGAACCAUAUGCGUAACUCUUUUUGUUCUUUAUUGCAACUAGUAUUCAAGUCCUAGUAAAGAAAGGCGUUAUUUUAAAGUUUGUAUGUUAUAAUGGGGAAGGGUGAGGAGAAAAGAUAAAUUUAAAUAUAUUAACAAAAGGGAAGAAAACGAAAGAUGAGAAUGAUUAUGACAAAUUUAUUUUCAGUGAGGGCAUCAUUAACUUUUUAUUGGCCAAAUACUUAUGCUUGUUAGCAUUCACAGGGGCAAUUUGUAGUAGUUUUCAUAUAAUAACCUAUUGACCCCUAAUUAUACGAGGCAAUAUGAAACUAGACCUUAAUUUAAAUUAAAAAACCCAAGAUUGGUUGUUGUAAAUUCUCUCCUUUUGUUUUUCAUAAUUGUACGUUGCAGCCCAUCUUUUCUUUUCUUUUUUUUUCAUGUGUGGGGGGAGGGGGGGGGGGAGGAUUUAGUAGUCCAUCACUAGGUAAGAGUACACACCUAUCUUUUAUUUUCGGUAAUUUGAUGUGCGUAACAAGGAAAUCAUAUUAAAAAACUCAAAUCCACGUAGAGUUGGAAAAAGACGAAAAAUAUUAUUAGCACUCUAUUUUUUUUGGUUAAUUACAUUCCAACUAUUUGUUUUAUUAUAUAAUCUAAUAAAUAAAAAUGAAUUUUUCUAACGCGUGUCUAAUGAGUAUUCGUUAAUACACCUCCAUUCCACUCAACUUACCACAUAUAUAUACACAUUAACAAUUACUAUCUUUUCUUACAUUUAUAUACUUUUUUUAGUUAAUUCCCUUACAUUCAUGCACUUCUCUUAAUUAAGCUUAUGUUUUUAAAAAUCUAACAUUUAAAAUAUAUUUUAACGAGUGUCCAAAAGGUACCUAUUAGACAGAUCGAAUAAAAAUUAUAUGAUAAAAAAAUGAUAGUAAGAUUGCAAUUAAUAGAAGAAUAAACCUUAUAUAUACUGAUAGUAUAUACACUAUUACAGUUGGAUACAUGACACAUAUCAAAAUUUGGGUUUCAAAUUCAAAUUCGAAUUACAUGUCAUACAUUCAAUGGUAAAAGUGUAUACACUAUCAGUGUAUAGAAAAUUAAUUCUUAAUAGAAAGGAGAUUACAAUCAACAUUUCUAAGAAAAAGAUAGGUGCACAGGGGACACGGGGCUCGAAUGGUUGCUUGGAAAACUGUUCGGGCCGAUUUUGUGCAAAAAAACACAAAAAGUAACUUUAUAUGCAUACGAUAUAACUCACUUUAAAUAAUGUAUAACCAUAGAACAAAAUUUUAUUAAUCUCACACAUAGUGUGAAAAACGAUGUACAAAUAUAUAAUUUGAAUCUUAAAGCCUUGUUUGGAUUUAUUUUUCUGGAUUUUUUGUGAAAAAAUUACAGUAAUAAUUUGAUAUAUGUGAGGUAAAAAAAUGAUUGAAAAGUACAUUCACGAAAAAUACAGUUUAAAAAAUUACUGUCCAAACAAAUAUUUUUUUAGACCAAAUCUUAACCAUAAAUCUUCAGAAACGAUUGCAUUUCCUGCAACCGUUCCUGUCCCUUCUCCGGUGCAUGCGUAACAGAUCUUUGCUGUCUCGUGUGAGAGUAUCGAACUAUAGUCUAUACCUAGCUAGACUUGUAUAAUGCCGUGAGUUGCCCCGUGUUGCUGCCCGCCCCGGGGAAGGACGACUCAGAUUUUGUCCAACAAAUGAACAAAUCACAGUCCCAGUCUUUACACUCGCAUUUCAUUAUUUAACUAGUUUUGUCCCCGUUCGUUGAACGGGAAUCGUCGAAAAAUAAUAAACUAUUUAGUCAAUUCAUAAAAUUAUCGAUAUAAAAUACAUAUUUAAUGUAUAAUCUAUUAUAACAUGUCUUAAGUAUAUUACUAUGAGCGCAUUAUAUUGUAAAGUAUUCUUAUAAUAUAAAUUUGAACAUCUAAUUCAGUGAAUAAUAAUUCAAAAAUAUAAAAAAUAACAUUCAACAAUAUCAUAACAUUCAAAAACUUGAAAAUAAAUAAACAAGUGUAGUAAAUAGUAUCAAAUAACAUUCUACUUUUCAGAAAUUUGUUUUUAUUUUUUUCUGUUUGAACAUUCUUCUCGAUUUGUCCGUGCAAAUCAGCAUUUAUUAAUUUUCUAUUAUCACUACAUGAUAGCAAAGAAGGAUAACUAAGUAUAAAAAAAAUAAAUGAUUUAUCACAUUCAAGAUUGUGUAUAACAAUACGUAAAGAUUAUAAUUAAGUAAACGGCCAGAGUCUUUUAAUUAACUAAUGAAUUAGUUUUGUACCCGCUCGUUGAAAAAUAAUAAACUAUUUAGUUAAUUUUAUAAAAAUAUCGAUAUAAAAUAAAAAUUUAAUGUAUAAUCUAUUAUAACUUGUCUUAAGUAUAUUACUAUAUGCGCAUUGUAAUACAAAGUAUUCUUAUAAUAUAAAUUUGAACAUCUAAUUCAGUGAAUAAUAAUUCAAAAAUAUAAAAAAUAACAUUCAACAAUAUCAUAACAUUCAAAAACUUGAAAAUAAAUAAACAAGUGUAGUAAAUAGUAUCAAAUAACAUUCUACUCUUCAGAAAUUUGUUUUUAUUUUUUUCUGUUUGAACAUUCUUCUCGAUUUGUCCGUGCAAAUCAGCAUUUAUUAAUUUUCUAUUAUCACUACAUGAUAGCAAAGAAGGAUAACUAAGUAUAAAAAAAAUAAAUGAUUUAUCACAUUCAAGAUUGUGUAUAACAAUACGUAAAGAUUAUAAUUAAGUAAACGGCUAGAGUCUUUUAAUUAACUAAUGAAUUAGUUUUGUACCCGCUCGUUGAAAAAUAAUAAACUAUUUAGUUAAUUUUAUAAAAAUAUCGAUAUAAAAUAAAAAUUUAAUGUAUAAUCUAUUAUAACUUGUCUUAAGUAUAUUACUAUAUGCGCAUUGUAAUACAAAGUAUUCUUAUAAUAUAAAUUUGAACAUCUAAUUCAGUGAAUAAUAAUUCAAAAAUAGAAAAAAUAUCAUUCAACAAUACCAUAACAUUAAAAAACUUGAAAAUAAAUAAAAAGUGCAGUAAAUAGUAUCAAAUAAUAUUAUAUUCUUCAGAAACUUGUUUUUGUUUUUCUUCUGUUUAAACAUUCUCCUCGAUCUGUCCAUGCAAAUCCGCAUUUAUUGAUUUUCUAUUAUCGUUGCAUGAUAACAAAGUAGGAUAAUUAAGUACAGGAAAAAAAUGAUUUAUCGCAUUCAAAGUUGUGUAUAACAAUACGUAAAAAUUAUAAUUUAAAAAAGUAAAAUAGUAUAUUAAAUUUACCUUCUCAUGCAAAUCUUAUUAUGAGGAUUUCCUGCCUCUGUGAUUUUUAUUGAACCUUCUGAUGAAUAAUUCAUAUGAAGUGUAUUGAAAUGUUGUUGAUUAUAAUCAUCUGUUAUACUAAUUGGGAUUUGAGAAGAAAAUGCCUCAGGUUGGUAUUGGUUGUCGGUUCCACCAAUCUAAUAAUGAUUUAUCAAAAUUAAAAACAAAAAUAUUAUAUGAGAUAUAAUAUGUGAAAUAUAAGAGAAAUUUAUUGCACAUUACCUGUGAAAGUAUGAAAUGCGUUUCCCUCCCAAAAUCACAGUGGAACCAUCUAGUCACUGUAAAUCUAUUAUUAUCUUAUUCCAGAUUGUAAUUGUUCAAUUUGAUUUGAAACACAAAAGGUUUCGACGUGGUCUUAUUUACAAUUGAUGACACGAUUUCACUGCUAAAUCCUUCCUGAAAAUGAAAUGCAUAAUAGAUUUUUUUUUGUUAGAAUAUUUAACGGCUAAGAUAAGUGUCGGAUUGUCUACUAUUAUUAAAAAUUAGAUAUAAGUUUAACUUGUUAAAUUCUUCAAGAACAAAUGAAAGUUUGUGUUCUAUUAUUCUUUCAGCCUCUCGAUCAAAUAUAACAAACCAAGUACUACAGGUUGCAUCACUUACCAAGACUUUUAACAUACACCUGUAUAAAUACACAUAUUCUAAAAGUUAUGUUUAUGUAGAUAUUGUAACAAUUAAAAUGAUAAAAGGUUAACAUCUACGACAUACCUCAAUUUAGGGUACUCCACAUUUUGAUUGCAAGCAUUGCACACAAAAUUAGAUCCUUCUAAUGUCACUUUUCUCUGACAUUUUGGACAUGCUUUGUAGUAUAGUUGACUAUUGAAAUCAACCUUCAGAAUCGUCACUUUGGAAGUGUAAACCAAUUUCUAGAGAAAUGAAAAGAUCUAAGCAGUCAAUUUAAAUAAUUAAUAUUUUUAAUUGUGAAAACUAAUGUGCUAUAAUUGUAACUUGUAACUUUAAUUGUACCUCUGUUUAAACACCGGCUAUUAUUUGAUAUAUCUCUGAUAAUAAUUUUCGAUUCUUGAACAUUAAUUGUUGUAUAGCUUCUCGCUUUUUUUGAGGAUGUAAAACCUCAAUAGUUUGAGGAGCAGUGCUAUCAACGCUAAUAACAAUCUUAUCUUAAUUACUUAUAUACAAUAUAUAUGAAAAUAUUAAACAAACAUUUACUAAAGAUAUAUAGUUUUGCCAAUUCAAGUAAUCUGCAACUUCAGAAAUAUUUAGAUUCAUAUAUACUCGAUUUGUCCGUGCAAAUCAGCAUUUAUUGAUUUUCUAUUAUCACUGCAUGAUAGCAAAGUAGGAUAACUAAAUAUAAAAAAAUAAAUGAUUUAUCGCAUUCAAGGUUGUGUAUAACAAUACGUAAAGAUUAUAAUUAAGUAAACGGCCAGAGUCCUUUAAUUAACUAAUGAAUUUGCAGAUAUAUCUAAUAGAGAUAUUUAUAUUUUUUAUAUUUAUAUCGCAUUACUUUCCAGUGCUUUUUGUUUUUGGUUAUUUUUCCUGAAGGCAAAUUAACAAACAUCGUAGUAUAUUAUCACAAAAAUCAAUUAAUAAACACGAUAGAAAAAAUCCUAUAAAAAAAAUCGAUGAAAGUACUUGUUUAAGUCCUAUGUCUUCAUACAAAACAAAUAGAAAAUAAAAAUAAAAAAAUAAAAUUCAAGAUAUGUUAGUAAGCUCUUACAAUUGAAGAUCAGCAUGCCUUUUUAAAAAAUAUAUAUAUAUAUUGAAAGAAGAUGUAUCUGAUAAUCAAUAGGAGUGGAAACCCAAAAUCGAUACUUUAAUAUGCCAACCGCUUGCACUGAAAAUAUCUAACAAUGAAUUUGAUGCUUGAAAUCAAUAUAUUAGUGGCUAUAUGUAGUGCAGGCAUAAGAAAUAAAAAUUGAUAAGGAUACAAAGAAAUAUUGAUAAGAACAUUAAAUGUAUGUUUAUCUUAAUUUAAGUUGCUUAAAGUACGUAACUUUUGGUAAAAAAUAAGAAUCCUAUAAUAUUCAUAAUUCUUAUAGGAAAUAAAACCAUAAUCGUCCAAAUAACUUUGGGUAGGAAAUAAGACCUUAUGUGACCCGUACUAUGUACGUAUAUAAACAUGUACGUAAUAAAUUUACAAAUGCGUUAUAAAGAUAGAUUUUACCGACUUUAAAAGACUACCUCCGCCAUAUCAAGUCCUUUAAGUGCAUGGAUUCCUAUGAUGUGAGUCCACACACGAAAUACUCCCCACCAUCUAGGUAGAGAUGUAUUGUGAUUAAUGAAUUAUUAGCAGAAAUAUAUUAAAAAAAAGACGGACGGAGAACACUACAGAUACUACGGACGGAGGCCUUUUUUUUGGAUUGGAGGACACUAUGGACGGAGGGUUGGGUAGAGGCUUUCGGGGUGCAAAACUUCAACAAAUGUCUAAUGUUUUAUCUCAUCUUUCCUUAGCUAUAAUAAUGGGAUUUUAUUUCUUUGGUUGAUGACACUCUAUUUUCUUUAUGGACUUUUCCAGAAAUUUUCAAUCAAAUGAAGUGCCAUUUCUCUUUGUACAUUAAUUAUGCAUGGGGACUAUGAGUCUUGUAAAAACUUUCUCGAGUUAAUUUUUUUUAAUUUUCAUGUCUAGAUUGUUUGUAUGUUGUUCUAUAUGUAGGUAAAUUAUUUUAAAAUAAAAAGGAUCUAUGAUGAAGUUGUUAAAAAAAAAGAAUAGGACACUAUAAAAAAAUAUAUUAUCAUUUAUUCUUAUAUAUCUAAUAAAGGAGAUUUAUGUAUCUUUUAUUUAUAUCGCAUUACUUUCCAAUUCUUUUUUCGGGUAAGAAAUAAGAAUCAUAUAAUAUUAAAAAUUUUUAUAGGAAAUAAGAAUUGAUAUAUAUCCAAACAAAAAAGGAGCAAGCCACGUAAGAAACUAUUUACCGUCUCGUUAAGCCACGUAGGAAAGAGAAAAUAUUAAGGAUAAGUAUGAGAAUACGGCUUUAUUAUAUAUAUAUAUAUAUAUAUAUAUAUAUAUAUAUGAUUCCCAGCAUUGCUUGGCGUCUCCCAGUCCAAACGGUGGAACGCACGCUACAAAACGACAGCUCUAUAGUCCGUACGAUCACCACAUCCCACCACCCAGGCCCCCGGGCUUCUGCCUCAGCGUUCUCAGAUUCAGAAAUACACUACUAACUAGCUUACAAAAAACCAAUGUCCCAUCCGCUCUCCUCACCAUCCCAAUCUUAGCAUCCUUUUGUGCCUCCAUCGUCUCCGUUGUUGUACUUCAUUUCAGCAAGUUUCGAUACUUUUUAUGCAUGUUUAUAGGUUGAUUAGCGGUAUACGUAUAAUCUUGACGUGGGUGGUUGGCAAUUAUUGGUGGGUUGAGGGGGGUCAAGGGAUGGCUUCAUCCGUGGUGUGUUCAUGGCUGAUGGCGGCAUGCAUGUCAGUUGCUUGUGAAAAUGACUCCAAGACGACCAUUUCGAUGUUGAGCUCCGACCCAUCUCUGUCCUCGCGAUUUACCAAAUGGGCUGCUCGUAAAAGGAGGAGGGCUUUUCCUAUUUCGCCCAAAUGUGCAGCUGGCCCCCCUCAAUUUUCUAGAAUUCGUAAUCUUAUGAGUUCUUGUUUGGCCUUUGAGCCCUGCCCUGACUUUUGCAGGAAUAGUUCUUCUUCUUUUCCUUCCUUAGCCCUUUCUUCUUCCCCUUUCUUCUCUGGUGGUGAUAACGGAGCUCUUGCUCUCGGUCAUGGCAGGCGCAAUAAGCUCAAUCAACCUGUCCAUUCUGGUAAUCUUCGUUUUCGUGUUUUUAUUGAAUUUCGCCAUUUAUUUGCCUGUUUGAUUGUAUUUUUGCUGGUUUUUAGUGCUUUUGGCUAAAUGUUAUGGGUUUUAUGUUGUUUGGGAUCUGGACUUGACUUAAAGGUGAGGCCUUGGUUUGAACUGUAAGGUUUAUCUGUUGUCAUUUGGGUUGGUAAUAGAGAUUACAGACGGAUUCUUAGCUCGUGUUAGACCCUAUAGUGCCGGGGGCCUUAUUGCAUUGUUUUUUCCUUUAAAAAUGUAACCCAAAGGAAAAAAAAAAAAAAAAACUCAGGCAGGCUUCAGUUCCUAUUAUUUUUAUUUUUUGGUCAUUUGUUACUUAAGAAAAUUGUAAUCAUCUGAAUAUUGUGAACUUUUUUUUUCAAUACAGUAUAUUAUAUAAAUAGGAGUAUUAGUGAAAUCUACUUUCACAAGUUUGGUAUUUGAGAAGAAGGUUGGUGGCAACAUGCUGUUCAGUCUUUAUGCAUGAAAACUGCACAAGUUAUUAGCUCUGCAAGAGAGAGCUGCUAUUGGUUAACUUGCAGCCAAUGACAUUUCACAUGUGCUGUCCUGUGAGAUUUAUAUCCACCCAAUUGCUCUCAGAGCAGCUAUGUGGAUGGCUUAUAUUCAAGGUUGCUGCCAUUAAAUUGGAGGAUGCAUAGCAAUAACAGUAUAAGUUCACUAGAUUUAGGUUUCCAGAUGCUAAUUCCUUCAAAAUCAUAAAGAAAUGUGAUCUUUUAGAAUCAAUGCAGCUAUUCACUGCUUGGUUCUGCUUCACCUAUUUAGACUUCUUGUUAACUUGCACUUCCGCUCAGUAAUUGUUAUGAUGUUAGCUUUUUCUGCAAUCUAAGCCACUCUGGUGCACCCCUUUUCUUUGUAAGUUAUAUUCCAUCUAUUGAAAUGGAGUAUUUCAGGGAAAGCAGUAGCCAUAGCAGUGCAGCCUACUAUGGAAGCUGCUCCAAAGAAGAAACCUCCCACCAAGCAAAGGAGAGUGGUUGUGACAGGAAUGGGUGUAGAGACUCCUCUUGGUGAUAAUCCAGAUGUAUUUUACACUAAUUUGCUUCAAGGUGCUAGUGGCAUAAGUGAGAUAGAGGCUUUUGAUUGUUCCAAUUUCCCUACAGUAUGUCAUCUUAAUGAUCUCUGUUUUUUUGGUUUUUUUUUUUUGGGUGGAUACCACUGGUAUAUAAUUCAAUCUUUAUGCUCAAAAACAGAGAAUUGCUGGGGAGAUCAAAUCUUUCACAACAGAUGGUUGGGUUGCGCCUAAACUUUCUAAAAGAAUGGAUAAGUUCAUGCUUUACAUGCUGACUGCAGGGAAGAAGGCAUUGGCUGAUGGUGGAAUUACUGAAGAUAUUAUGGAUGAACUGGACAAAACUAAGUGUGGGGUGUUGAUUGGCUCAGCUAUGGGUGGGAUGCAGGUAAAUUUUCUGUUUUGUGUCUUUGUUAGUAGAGAGUUGACUGAUGGAUCUCAAAUUGGGUUUUCAUGAAUGCCUCCACAUGUAGGAAUUGGAACCAUUGCUGUCUUUUUGUGUCCAUAGUUUGGUUUAAAUACUUGGUAAUAAGGCUGCAUACGUGCUUAAUUUGUAAAAGUGCUUACAAGGAUGUUAUGUAAUGACCAUGAUGGUUACCUAGAUGAGUUGACCAGAUUUUAUAUCUAGACCUUCUUACAUAUACUGUCCUUCAUCAUUUCCACUGAUUAUAUUAAGCAGUACUCUGGUCCUUGUGAACUCAAUGGUUUUCAUGCACUAUCUGGUUUUCUAAGCUGGAAAGUUGAACCUUUGAACCACUCUACAAUUUUCUUUAGCUAAAAGAGAGAUGGCCAUAAUGGAAGCAUUUAAUACGAGAACAAAAAUGACGACUACUUUUACUAGUGCUCUUUUUAGCGUCUGUCAUUGUGAGAUCUUAGAAAAACUUUUGAGAGAUCUUAGAAAAACUUUUGACAUAAACUAUGUAUCUGGACUCUCACAUCCCUUUGUUGAAUAGGAAAAAGGACAUGAAAUUCUUUAUUACCAUUGAUUUUGUGAAAUUUUAAACACUAGUCCAAAUUUAUUAACUGAUUUUUAAGGUUUCCUGAAAUUUUUGUGAAUGGGGCAGGUUUUCAAUGAUGCAAUUGAAGCUUUACGGAUCUCAUACAAGAAGAUGAAUCCUUUUUGCGUACCUUUUGCAACCACAAACAUGGGUUCUGCCAUGCUGGCCAUGGAUUUGGUUAGUUUAAUUUCUAUGCUUUUUAAUACUGACUGAAGAAAUUACUUAAACUGGUUGAUGUCUUUCUUAUUGUAUACUUUUGUUUUGAAUACAGGGAUGGAUGGGUCCAAACUAUUCGAUAUCUACUGCCUGUGCUACAAGCAACUUUUGCAUAUUGAAUGCAGCUAAUCACAUCAUUAGAGGAGAAGCUGUAGGUGUCUUGCAUUAUUGCUUGUGAAGUCAAGCUUGAUGUAUCUAAGCUGUUUUGAUAUUACUUUUGUGUAUCAUUUUUAAAUAAUUAUGACAAGUAAUUAUACAGAGAUAAAACAUCAUGCUGCUUGCCAUGCUUUCUUACACAUAUGGCGAACAUGCAGGAUAUGAUGCUUUGUGGAGGCUCGGAUGCUGCCAUCAUACCCAUUGGUACCCAUUGUAUUAUUUAGUCGAUUUAUAUUAAUUUUAGCUACAUAAGUUUUUGAAUUUUAAUGUCAUAAAAUUGGCUACAGGAUUGGGCGGUUUUGUCGCAUGUAGAGCACUUUCUCAAAGAAACAGUGACCCAAGUAAAGCUUCACGCCCUUGGGACAGUGUAAUUUCUUCAAAUCCCAUGUUUAUAUUACCUUCUGUUAGUUUUGGUAUUGUACACUGUUGAUAACAAAGUCCUGAGUUGUUUCUUGAGCUCUGGAGCAAAAAAGGCGGAUGGUAAGAUAGCUAAUCCUAGUUCAUGUUGUCCUUGCCAAGAAAAAGUUUUACCAAUGUCGUGAUCAUGCCUUAAAAAUAAGUUCUACUCCCUCCGUCCCACUUUGAUAGUCUUGUUUUCCUUUUUUGUCUGUCCCAAAUUGCAGUCCACUUUCCAAUUGAAGAAUGUAGUUGUAUUUUCAUUUUCCUAAAAUACCCUUAUUCAAUACAAGUUGUUGUUGCUAUAAACCUACCCCAUUUAAUGAGAGUUGAUUCUUUUUUUACCAUCAAUUCAAGUUCCCAUAAAGUUGUACUCUAAUUAAUGUGAGGGUAAUUUAGAAAAAUAGCAAUCUAAAUUUACUUUUCCAACAAAGUUAACUACUUUUUCUUAAACUGUGUGAAAAAAAAAACAGGACUAUCAAAGUAGGACGGAAGGAGUAUAUGAUUAAAUCUAAUUGGAUUAUCUGAUUCGGGUUUCUUUCUGUACGACAAAUAACUUCUAUUUUUUUUUUUUUUUUUUUUUGGGCACAUGACAAAAAACUUCAUUUUCUUAUUUAACAGAAUCGUGAUGGAUUUGUUAUGGGAGAAGGAGCUGGAGUUCUACUUCUGGAGGAACUUGAACAUGCCAAGGUAAAUCUAGGUUGAGACAUUACUCAGAUUGUGUAUUUUUGUCAAUGAAACAACAACGCUUGCAUUUUAUCCUUUUCAAAAUUGAUUUAUUAUUCCCAAAUGGACAGGGAAGAGGUGCAAAUAUUUAUGCAGAGUUUUUGGGUGGAAGCUUCACUUGUGACGCUUAUCACAUGACAGAGCCACAUCCACAAGGUAAUCUUCUGAGCUUUUUUUCAGCCGCAUGUUGCUGUAUAGAUUGGAUAGUGUCAGGAUUUACAAAUCUUAGUCAUUCUGAAUGUUUGUUUUCCUGGAUAAACAUGAAUUGGAAAUCAUAGAAUGUGUAUCCUCUUGACUUGAUCAUUGAGAGAAGGGUGGUAAACAGUACUUGUUGAUUUUGCUGUAACUUCUAGGAAUAAAGUGCUCAUGCAACCUUGAAUAUUUUGUUUAAAUAGGAUUGAACUAGUCGUGGAAAUAAUCCCACAAAAGCUGUCAUGUGCAGCUUGAAGAUCCAAGGGUUGAUCAUAUGUAUGUGAAAACUUAUGGGGUUUAUCUAAAAGAUGAUUGGAUGAUUAAAUUGAAUUCAUGUUGGCCGGUUCUGACUUCUGGGUUUUGUUUUAUCUUGUGGAUGACAUGAUAGAGUGAAUGUUCUUCUAGUCACAGUGUAGAAAUUUGUUCUUUCGCAAAUUUUCCUGGUAACUGAUUUAUGGUUCAUGACAUUGAUGCUAAAAUACUGCAACUUUUUAUGGCAAGAAGUUCUCAUUAGAUGCGCAUAGAGCUUUACUGAAACUGAUAUAUGUGGUUAGCCAAGUGGGUGUGGAUGCACUUUAUGCUGGUUUAAGUAUAUCUGAGUAUGAGAUAGAAUCUUUUGACAUCCCAAAAUCUGGAAACUGUAUCUGCUUCAAAGCAAUAUAGUCACAGCUGGGUUCAUAAAUACCCUUAAAUGGAGGUCAAAUAGUAAAAAGUUAGUGCACCAAUUAACUGCAGUGUAUGACUAACUUUCUGUGGCAUUGUGGUUUAACCUUUAUAGUUUGCUUGCAUAAGCAGGAACUGGUGUCAUCCUGUGCAUAGAGAAGGCUUUGUCUCAGUCUGGGGUGUCUAGGGGAGAUGUAAACUAUAUUAACGCACAUGCUACAUCCACACCCGCUGGAGACCUUAAGGAAUAUCAAGCUCUUGUUCAUUGUUUUGGCGAGAACCAAGAGGUUACUUUCAAUUUCUAUAACAUGAUAUAUUUGUUUUCUUUUUCCCAGUUUUGGGUUUUAUGGUUCUGAUUUGUGAUUUUUUUUUUUUCAAUUCCUGCAGUUACGUGUGAACUCUACAAAAUCCAUGAUUGGCCAUCUGCUAGGAGCAGCUGGGGGUGUUGAAGCUGUUGCUACCGUUCAGGUACCUUGUGUUAUUCAUGAUUUCCUGAGAAACUUGGGAGUGUCUUUUGGAUCAUAACUUUAAUUCGAUUGCAUGAUUGUGGAAAUGCUUUGGAUGAUAGGCAUGCUAGAAAUGCCAUUUAUCUGUAUUCAUAGUGAGUAUUAUUUUUUUUUCAUCUAUUUAAGAAUUUAUGGUUGCAGCUAACACUGAGAUGUAACUCUCAUGCUGUCUGCCUUAUUAGGAAGUGCUAUAUUUUUCCUCUUUAUUUAUCUUGGAGUUGUAUCAUAAUUUCCUUAUCUGUGAGUAGAAGCAAGAAAUUCUAGUUACAUAUGAAUAUAAAAGAGAUGCCAGGUUAUAUAUCAGGCUGCUAAGGAAAAGGAAAGCCAUGAUUCGAGCUUUGGAUAUUAACCAUGAAAAAAGAAGCUUCUUACUAGGCGGCCAACAAUUUCAUGAGAAUUUGAUUGAACAUCAAAGGCGUUAUUGCUUUUUAGUUUAGAAACAAGCUACCAAAUUUUUGAGACACAAGACUCUGCCAGCUGUUUCUUGAUCAUUGGCAAUGCCAUGAAGAUGCAGACUUUGUGCUGUAGUCAUUAUUUACAAAGUUAGACGCUGUGUAUGUAACUGCAGUAGUCCAGGAAUAUGAACUUUGGAAGCUACGACAUGGAGUGGAAAGAGGAUAUCAAUAGUAAUUUAACUCACACUUUCCCCUUGUAAGAUCAGCUUUGUGCGUCUCCUAUUGUUCUUUUUUCAGACAAGGCUAGUGAUGGACUAGGUCCAUUAGCUUGAAUUCUAUAACUUGUAGCACUCCAUGCAGCCUUAGAUGACUGAGUGUUUCUGAUGUUAACCUUCUUAGACAAGCCAUAAUUGUCAAUUUACAUGAUAAAGGGGACCUCUUAUAGCUUUUUACUGGAAACCUGAGCUACUUUGUUGUUGAAUUGAAAUAUAUAAUUUAGUAUCUUUUGUUGAAGGGUUUUCUUGGAAACCAUUAUGUUUGUUGAAGUAGUACACUUGAGGUAUUUGAUCAAGUUUUUGUUCUUGCCAUCUUCUUUUGCAGUAAUGUUUUUCAUAUGAGCUAUCUAUAGAAAAUGAUGCCAUAAUGAAUUGCUUGACUGUAUAAAUUGGAAUUUCUUAUCUUGCAGGCUAUAAGGACAGGAUGGGUUCAUCCAAACAUCAAUCUUGAAAACCCAGAUGAUGACGUGGUAUGUUUACAAUGCUUAUAGUAUCUAGUUUUCUCUGCUUGUGGAGUGACUGCUGUAGCAUCUUUUAUUGCUUUGGAAGGGACUUGGUGGGAUUAUGGCAUGGUGGUUUUUGCUGUUACUGUAGAACAAUUUCUAGCUUAGUCAGGAAAUGUUGUCUAAUAGCAUUUGCUGAUUUGAUCCAGAUGCUGCAUUAUUUAAUAACUGUCCUGCAUACACUCUUGCAUAAUAUGCCAAUCCUGCUAGUAAAAAUGCUUAAUAUGUAUUUGUAUUUAUGUUGAAGAAGAAAAUGCAUUUCAUGCUUACACGUAUUUUGGACUUUAGGGGUGGAGUACUUUUUAUGCUAUCAUUUUGUUUCCAAGCGGGGUCUGUCUGACAAGACACGAUGCUUUUAUACCUUGAAUCAGGACACUAAACUGUUGGUUGGCCCGGAGAAAGAACGACUUGAUAUUAAAAUAGCUUUGUCCAACUCGUUUGGAUUUGGUGGGCACAACUCUUCAAUAUUGUUCGCUCCAUACAAGUGAAUUUCUUUUGGGGGGGCUUGAUUCUGCCAGAUGUGAUGCUCUAGGUAUGUACUCAUUGGUUUACGUGGAAUAAUCAUAUUCAUAAAUAUUUCUAUUGAGGUUGUCCCUCAGAGGUGACCUUACUCUUGAUAGUGUGAAUCACAAGAAACAUGAUAUGUAUGUAACUUGAUUCUCAGGAAGAUAUUCAAUCUUUUUAACUUUUUCGAGUACUUCAGAAAUCCUCAAGGCUCUUGUGGCUGCUUUACUGAGAAUGCAUCAUAUACUAGUGCGCAGUGCACUUAGUGAUAUUCUCUGGAUUCCUUUUCCCGAACGAAUUGGAUGUUUGCCUGUGCCCGGACAAAGGGUCUUUUGGGGUGCUAUUCAAGGGAAAAACACGAGCUCCUCUGAAUCCCAUGAACCUAUUGCAGAUUUUAUUGGAUUUCUUCCCUCCAGACAUUCCCUUCAUUUCAUGCAUAUAAUUAUUGUAGGGCUUUGAUGAUGAUAUGAACUAGAGGGCAUUGCGACAAUACAAGGUGCCUGUGCUUGGUUUAGCCGUCUCCCUGUACAAGUAAUUAUUGCUGACCUGUACCACUAAAUUUUGAUCUAAAAAAUUUGCCUGUGGCAUUUAUUUUUUAUUGAACUGACGGUUCUUCCUCCGGUCCAACGGAGGGCAAUUGAAGAAGUCAAACAACUAUCAUAAUCGAACACUUCGUGCUCACAUCACAUCCGAAUUUAUUUUGGGCAAUGAAUAUGUCAGAAAAAUUACUUCAAAAUAGGGUGAGGGGCGGAUGUAGACGCCCCGGAUCCCUUCAAAUACGAACUUGUUAAACCAAAUUUCUACCACCAAAGCUAAGCUCAAAUGUGAGUCUGCCCUCGUUGUAAAUCUGCAAAAUCAUUACUUUGCAGCGGUAAAUAAAAUGCUGUAAAUGCCAAUAAUACCAAAGAAAAUUGUUGGAAUUUGGCCUCUUUAUCCAUGCUUGAAAAGGGUCAAUGAUGAUGAAUGAAUAAUUAUAUCAAGUAGACAUGCUUCAGCCAAAAUGCACUUGCCCAUUUUGGCUUGUCACUGUUCUAAAAAUCAAUAUAUCUUCUUUAUUGCUAAUAUAGCUGGAUUUCCCUUUUUUUUUCACAAAACUAUCUGUAAACACGUGCAUAUAUACAUGAAGAAUACACUUUCUCUCGGUUUGAUACCAUAUCACAUACAAUAUCGAAAACAAAAGCACGUAUGAUCAUUAGGAUCAUUGAAAAUAUCCUAUCCCUCGUGCCUCCAGUUAUAGAAGCAGAGACCAACAUGAGAAAUUCCCCUUCGAUCCUUCAUGAACCAAACAAAAUGACAGCCGGAGCUAAUUAAAAAUCAAUUCCUGUGUAAAAUCUUCAGCAGCCGGCACCACACACAAUUGCAUCUCUUUUUGACGACUCUAGUCUCGACAAAAGCAGACCGCCAUGGCAUAAGUACAAAAAAACCACCACGGUACCUUCCAGCUUUCUCCCACUGGCUGAAAAAAAUUAUGUCUCGCAUCUACCUAGUCUUCUUCUGGCCAUCCUUCUUCUUAUGCUUCUUCAAUUUUACUGCCUUCAUGGAAAGUGCACUUGAGACACUCCUACCUUCGAGCUUCUUUGUCAGCUUCACCACACUAGCCAUGCCUUUUCUUGCGGCAGCCUUGUGCUCAGGCCUCCGGCUCAACAUCUUGCGGUCAAGUGGCCAAUAAGCAUACGGCUCAAGUUUAUCCUUCCUCUUCAAAUCCCCACCAGCCUUCUUGCUUGAAUACUCAUUACCAGUGUAAGCCCACCCAGACUCGGAUGUCUUCCUUCGCUUCUGGGUAUUUCGAGAAUUUAUUGACAAAUGACUAUCUGCAUGGCUCUUUCCAUCUGUGUCAGGGUCAGAUGACACAUUUCUUUUUGUCUUCUGUUUCUUAUCACCUUCGUGGAUAAUCAACCGUCCUUCAGCAUCUAUUUCUAGCUCAUCGUCCAAUUCAGGUUUUCUUUUUAGAUGCUUGGAUGAUCGAAGAGCCGAUCGUGUCUUUUGUCGAUCCAGCAGAUCGAGUGGUUCAUCAUCUACUUGGUCAAGCAAGUCUUCCUGCAAGCCCUUGGUAGCUUUACGCAUCCUAGAUGUUUGCAAAUAAGUACUUUUCAGAUUACUGUUCAUUGAAAGCUUAAAGCAAAAGCGCUCUAAUGCAAAUAUUAAACUUCUUAUUAUUAGUCAAUUGGCUAGCAUAGAAACCCCAGGUUCAGAAACAGACCUAGUGAUGAUCAAAACAUACAGAUUCUACUUUUUAACAGUUCGGAGUACGUAUCACUGUCUCACUAACGAGCAUGAAACUGCCAUCCUAAACCUUUCAUGUGGUCUUGGUUUAAAAAGAUGUAAAAAGCUAAAUGUCCAUAAACUGACCUAUGUGACGAUGCUCUGGAUUUUGACACUGAUGACGUGUCCAUCUUCCGGCCAUUAAGUGUCCUCACAUCCAUGAAAUUGGUAUCACUGUUCUCACUUCCUUCAUCAUCAAAAUCAGAAAAUAUCCUGGUAUGAUUCCAUUUACUCCGCCUGUAAAAAGAUUGAAAAAUUUGUCACAAAGAAGUAUACGACUGAUUAUGUGAGGAACCAUACUAUCUUUGUAUUGCCAAUGAAUCACCACGACUGUUACAACAUGUUACUAAAAUCAGCUAUAAGACUUGCUCAAACGUUUCCAUAAUGCUUUUAUCCAAGUCCAUUUAAUAAUUCCUUAGCAUAUAUUACUCUAAAUUCUUGCUCAAUUCUAAACCCUGUACUAGGGUUGCCCCACAGAGAGAGAGAGAGAUAGAGAGAGAGAACAUGGAUAUAGGUGCUUAAAGUAUAUUUCCAGAGUCAACAAGCUCGGCUACAGCAACAAUAAAAUCCUAGUUAAACUAAUACAAACUCCAAAGGGUGGUACCUUACCAAAUUCGCAACAAUGAAGCUUAGUUGUUAGGUUUCCUAAUUCUGUGCUUGUCAAGCUUAGAAUUUCUUGUAAAAAUGCAGUAAAUACAUUAAAUCUCUCUACAUUAAACAUGCUUAAUGCCUAUUUUGUACAGAAACAGAGUAAUACCAGCAUGCUUCCAAGCUCAAAGGCUCACAAAGAUGGAAGAAAGAAAAACCUGGAUGUAGUAGCUUUUGACUGAUGAGAUCUGGAUUCCUCGGAGUUGGAAGCAAGUUUCCUUUCCUUGCGCUCCUUAAUCUGCAUGAUCAUAAUAUGAUAAAUGUUCCUGAUCAAGCCUUUCAAAAACACUUUUCUUCAGGCAAUCUCCAACAAACCUUUCUUAUGUUGGUAAGAAGUUUCACGUGUUCUUCAGGCAUGACUUCUUUAACAGCCUCCAAACCACAUUUUUUGAUAAGCAUUUCAAAUAGCAUUUUAACCUGCGCGAAGAAAGUCAGGUCUGAUGUACAAAGUGAAGUAAUGUUGAAUGAGAAAAAUAAGAAAAAUUUCCAAUUUGUGUAAAAAAUAUUACAAAAUUCAUUUAGUUUUCAAAAUGGCCUCACUGAAGUUAAAACAAAAAUAGGAUGCGUAGUGCUUUCCCAUGUGCAAAAAUAUGUGAACCUUACCCAACCAAGAAAUUAGAUUCCAAAUUUAAGCAAGAAGCAAUCAGAAGGAAAGGAAAGACAAACCUUUGCUUUGAAAUGGUUCUUCCUGCUAUCUUGCCAAUUCAAUAGGCCCUCCACCAUUCCUUUUAAGUGUGUUUGCAACCAUUCAACCUGGGACUUAGCGACCAGCACUUUCAACAAUCCUAGACUAGCCUACAUUAGAAGCAAAUAUUAGAGGAUCACAGUAUUUCAUGAUUGACAACCUGAAGAUUAACUGGUUACAACAAAGGUUACAUCAACACAAGUGUAGCUAUCUAUUUGGUAAAGCAAACCUUGAUUAUUUCCUUGUUCUUUCUCUGGAGGAGGAGAAACAUGGAUGGAAGAACUGUAUAAGUAACAGAAACAAGAUCGCUAAACUCAUAAGCCAAGCGAGCUAAACCCUUCACAGCUGCACUAAUCAUUUGAGGGGUCUCUCCAGCCAAUCCUCCAGCAACCUAUUACAGUAAGAUAUGCAUCUUUAAGAUGGAAAACAGACAAAAUUGAAAUAUUUCAAUAGGUAAGAACUCCAAGAUUCUGUACCAUGUUAAAAAACUGGUGCAGGUCUUCUUUUCUGCCCCCUUUAUCUUCAUCCCCAUAUAUGUGUCCAAUUUGAACCAGAAUAUCAUAUGCUCUAUUUCUUGUUCUUUUAUUGACCUAGGAGAUAGGAUACAAGCAAAUGAGACGUUUUUACUGUAUCUAAAACUGCAUUAAGCUGUAAGCCAGGUUUCACAGAAUGUGCACACACUUACAGUAGAAACCUCUCUCUCUCUCCCCCCUCCCCCCCCCCCCCCCCCCCAAUAUAUAUAUAUAUAUAUAUAUAUAUCCCCCCUCACUCAAGAAAAAAGAAUGAUAAUCCGAAGUAAUACCAUAUUUGUCCAAGCAAAACUAUUAUAAAUUAGUAUCCAAUUCUAGAACUGCAUUCCCCAGGUUUGUCAUGAUCACCAAGUGUGUCUGUAGCUUUUGAGAUUACGAAUAAUAUGCAAUUGAACCUUCCAUAAAUGAUCAUGUCAACAUUAACUAUGCUUACAAUUCCAAACCAAUGUUAGAAGGACCACAGGAAGAGAAGUCGCUGAAAUUAAAAUUAGGAAGGAUAUGAGAAGUAAAACGUGAAGUCAUUGUAAUUUGAAAAUCAUAAGGAACAUAAUUUUACUUGUCAGAUAUGACACGUGUACUUAGCCCCUACUACAAUGUUAAAACCCAAGUAGUGGAUUCUACUUUUAUCAAUUAGCUGUGUAUAUUGGAAUGGCAGUGGGUACCAUAAGUCAUGCCUCACAUUCCACUUCUACUGAAACCACCACACCUUCUUCACUACCUGAACCUCCUCCCCUUUCCCCAAAAAUUCACCAUUACAAGCCAUUUUUCCCAUGAUUGUUGACACCUCUCAACCACCCAGUGAAGCCUCGCUACAAAACCACCUCAUCAAUAUCCCGAACAGCAUGUCAUACCAAGCUAUACUAAAACAUAGCAAGACAACCAAGAACAACUCUUCAAUUAGACACUGCAAGACAAGCAACUCAAGAAACUUUGGAUUUCAAAAUCGCCCCUUAUAAUAAUAAAAUAACCAAAUACAGCAGAAAACUGAAGGUCAUGGCGAUUAAGAUGCUGUACCUCUUUCAAUGCAAUUACCAUAUCAGUCGGGAAACCAACAAACCAAAUACAGCAAAAACUAAAGAAAAUUAUGGCAGUUAAGAAGCUAUACCUCUUUCAGUGCAAGAACUAUUUCAGUCAGGAAAGAAGAGAUGAUGUCACGCCGAUUCUGCCCAGAUAAAUCCUGCAGCCAAAGGUGUAGAAGUGCAGAUAAAUUCUCAUGCUCGAGUUCAGACAAACAAUUUUUCCAUGCAUUCUCAGCAACAAGAUUUUUGCAAGUAAAUGAAUUUCAAGAUCUUGCUAAUCACCUUUGACAUAUGGACAAUCAAGAAAUACAGAGAGUCAAGCCUAUGACGCUUGGCCGAGAAAUGACAAUAAGGAAGAACCUCAAUCAUCAGAUUAAGCAGCUCUUCAAGCUUUCUCGAAAUAAAUUCAUCUGAGUUCUGUGAAAAAAAUAGAAGGCUUAUAAGUUCACAUAUAUUUGAAAAUUGUAUAAGUGGAGCACAACUCAUCACUUUUAUAUUAAAUUUAUCCAUAUCCAACACAGCAAACACAAAUGUUAUUCACCCCCCCUCUCCCCUCCUGCUGCUAUAUGGAUUUAAUUUCUGUUUGGCUUGUUGGGGGGGCAGAAUGAAGGUACUCGCAUCCAAAAUGAACAUCACUCAUGUACCCUGCAGUGUCUAAGAAGCUACAGUACGUCAAUGUUCCUGGUAACAAGAUAUGUCCAGUUUCCAAAAAUUUGUCAAGAUUUCUCACUACCAUUGCUUCCCUAGAGAUUAUUCAUUAAUCUAAACAGAGUCUUGUACUACAGAAGGUCAAACUUGCAACCAGUCUAAUACCACUCCUUUGCAAAUCCUUGAUAAAAGUGCUAUAAAAAAGAGAGAACUUUCUUGCAAUACAUGUUUAAAGCCUCCACCUAUGGCAUACUAUUUUUUUUAAAUAAAAAGUCACAAACAGUUUGACCACAUCAAACAACUAAAUGAUCUUUUUUAUAGUGAUCCCAGCAGCAGAGUAGUCAGAGUAAAAGGGGGAAAAGGGAAGCAUUACCCGGAGAAUAAUGGAAAGAACUUUGUAACACUUCUUUUGAAUUAAGCCCUCAACAUCCUGCACUCAAAUUUUUUCUACAAUAGUCAAAAUGCAGAAAUUUUCUUCUUUCAUGAAAUUUAUGUAAGAAGAGGAGACAUUUGACCUUUAAUCCAGGCUUUAUAGCAAUAAAUAGAAGAUCAAUUUCUUUGGCAUCCAAGCCAGGCAAAAGUGAAACGGCCAGUUCAAAUAACUGUGCCCUGUACAUACAACAAACCAAACAAUAGAAAGUCAAAAAUAACAUAGACUUUCAUAGCAGCUCAUUCAUUCCAGUCAAUUUUCUGUGAGUCACAAAGUGGCAUACAAUUGCAGAAUCUAAACAAAGAACCCACCUUGCUGUUGACACCGAGCUUUCACCAGAAAUGUCAUCAACCUGCAUCGAUUUGGAGUUUCUAAAGUUUUCCGCUUUACUUGCCUCUUGAGUCACCUUCAAAAGCUUCUGCAUUGUGGUCCUAAAGAACCUUGCAACUACCUCUUUUUCUGACACAGAAGCAAGCUCUCCUAUUGUACUCUGUAAAACAUACCAAUUAUACAAUUCGUCAAACUCGACAAGGUUAGAAGGGGAUUUAAACACAUGUUCAGGAAAUGAGAUUCAACAAGUUUUCCUUUUCUCUAUUUAUAAGGAAAAAAUUGGCAAUGAUCCCAUAAAGUGAAACAGCAAAAUUAUUAACUAUGUAUUAUAUUUCUACUAGACAUCAAGAGCAUAAGCAAACCCAUUUAAGAACUCCACUAACUGUUGAGAACUAUGUUACCCACCAACGCUUCCUCAAAAUUUUCAAAAUUCAUAAAAGGUAUCAAACAAAAAAAUAGAUAUUGAAUUACUAUCAAAGUAAGUAAAUAACACACUAUAUACUUUGAAUGAGGUGUUGCUUAAAACUAAGACCAAAAGAAAAACCUCUCAUCUACUUGCUGCUUCCUCAAAAUUCUCAAAGACUCUUAAGUACCAUGAUAAAACGUAAGAGAAAAGAUUGUUAUCUUCAUCACCAUCCUAGUUUUGCACAAUAAAAAAGAAUGCCAUAAUUUUGUUUGAAAUGAGAUAUGGCACAAGACAGAGUCAAGUUCACCGUUUAAAGAGUUUGGAUAUUCACAUUUGGAAAGCAUCUUCAAAUUGAAAACACAGACAGCACCCCCUGAAUUCCAAGAAAAUGUAACCUACAAUCUAAAAGCCAACCAAUCUUGAGUUCUGACUUAGACAGCGCAAUUUCUAAUUUCAAUUCUAAAACCAUACUCCAGUCUCCAUUUGAGAUGAACUCAUAACAUUGCACAACUUGAUGGACAGUCAAUUUAAAUUGGAAGUUAAUUCAAAGUUAUACUGUAAAAUGUGAACAAAAUAUCCUCAUUCAAUGCAAGCUUUAGAGGAAAUAUUGAGUUGCAACUCGGAGAUGUAAAAUUUUGUGAAGUAAUGACCUGUAUAGAGCCACUAAUAUCUUUGGGAGCUUUCAAGAAGACUCCCGACAUAACAGAUAACAAUUCGCGAGCAGAGGACCUCAAGACACUUAAAUUAUUGGCUGCAACUUGUGGAUUGUAAAGUGCAAUUGCUCGUUGUUCUGGAACACUUAGGUCAAAGAUGGACAUGUCCUCUUUUCCUUCCAGAUGUCCCCUAUUCUGCUGAACAAGGAUUUGCAAACUGGAGCAUAUUAUGCCCCAAACAUCAGGUUCUUCACGAAGCGCAGAACAAAGUGCUUUCUCCAGAUCCCUAAAGCUUUCAGCCGUAUCUUGAGGGUAAUUGCAAAAAGAUGGCAGCAAGGACCACAAGGAGUAUACAAUUCCAUCUAUACUCCUAGCUGAAUAAACUUUUCCUUCUCGUUCAAGCUGGCACAAGCAAAUGAAAAUAAAGACUCUGCAACACGAAUUAGGAGGAGGCUCGAAGGAACAUUAGCAUCAAAAUAUCAUACCAAUGCUGACUUUCGUGACAUGGCUCCAAUCAUGGGUAAAAUUGACUCAGUAAAGAAGCUUAACCGAGCACCAAUAAUAUAUUGCUUCAAAAUUGGAAAUAACCAAAGAUUCGCCUCAGUUAGGACUUCAGAAUCCAACUUGAGUGGUAAAAUGCUCAAAAAUGUUUCAGGUCCCAUUGCGCGAAGUGCAGAUCCAACACAUUCAUGCAGCUUAAUCAACAAGAAAACUAGAUAUCAGAUGAUAAUUGAACACCUGUCAUAUGCUGAACACAAAGAAGCAAAAUGAUAGAAGUCUGUACAAAUAAGAUCCACCAAUGACCUCUCCCAUAGGCAGUCUUCUCAUCUAAAAUUUUACAGAAACCGUCCAUAUAGCACAUUACUAGCUUUUACCAAGCAGCUUAUAUAAAUAUCCAUAACUUAUAAGCUAGAACUAAAAGCACUUAGUGACAUCACAUAUUAUCACAUGUUUAUUGAGACUCUUAUCUAUCAGACGAACUAUUAAAAUCUCCAAAACAUAGAAAUAAUUUCAGGUUAAAAAGAGGGGCUUUCUCGUGGUCAGCUAGCCAAGGAUUUCACCAUUGCAUGCAAAAGUAAAUGCUUUUUCUUAGAAAUAAUCAAGGUAAGCACCGCAUAUCUCAUAUUUGCAUUCAUCAAAAGUUAGCAUGUUAAGACUGCAAAGCACCACAAUAUAAGACCAGGAUACAGAAGCUUUUCAAUCAAUAACAAAGAGAAAGCAAAACACAUGAAUAGAUGAUAGAAAGUUUUCCAAGAACACGCAUAGAUAGAAGAAAAUGAGCUAGAAUCAUGUCUUGAGGCACCUAGACUUAGAUAAAAUCUGUAUCAGAUUUUGCAGAGCUGAAUAUUAUGGUGGGUACAGUAGGUGCCAAGGAAACAAUUAAAAAAUCAUUGAACAAAAAAGGGAAAAUAUUCCAUCGGAGGCACAAUCCUAAUGAGGUAUCUAGACUUCUUAAAAAAUCUAUUCACUUUGAAUCCAUGACCAACUUUAAAUUUAGCACAUGAUCAGGAUCGAUCGCGGUCCAUUCUCAGGGCAAAGGUAUUUUGUAGGACAGCACAAUUCUCAAAUAAAAAUGACAACUUUUCCUAGGAGACAAAAUACUAAGAGCCCAGAACUGCAACAAGGAAGAAUAAUGAAACAAGUGGGUUCAUUUGAAAAUCAUUAUUUAGAAAAUAUUUCCCUUGGGAGUGUUUGGGUACCACAUUAAUUCGAAAAAUUAUUUGCUUGCAUCGUAAACAUGUUUUCCAACAACUUUUCUAUCAUGCCAACCAUCUUUUUGACUCACACAUGUCACGUUACAAAAAAUUCUACAGAUUAUCCUAAAAAUUUUUUCCAAACACGCACCUUAGUAUUCCCCAAAAACAUUUACCAACCACCUUUUUAUCUCACAUCACAUCAAAAAAGUGCAAGAGUAAAAAAUGCAAGUUUUUCCAAAUAAUCUUCAAACCAAAAAGAGCCAGGGUUAUUCCUCAUCUUAUGUACGUAAGCCAAUAACGCAAUGGUGUAAGAGAAAAAAAAAAACCCACCUGUUUUCUGAAUGGGAAGUCCUCAUCUGGCAACUUUUGCAUAUCUGCCAAGCUCCGAAGUGUACCACUUAAAAAAUAUGAUGCAUAUUGGCCUGAAAAAUGCAUUUUGGCCACACAUCAGUACAGAUUUCUGACAUUAUUUCACUGGGUUAUAUAAGAAUUACAUACUUGGAAAAAAAUAAAACUUGAAGAAAAAUAAAGAUGGUGGCAUUAUAUCUAUGUGCUUAUAUACGUAUACCAUACUAAAGUGGAAGCCGGAAAAAAUUUACUAUGUACAUAAAAUAACAAAAAGUAUUUCAUCCUUCAAUUUGGUUUUUGUGGGGAAGGGUAAGACCUUCCUACGUAAAUUCUGGUCAAUUAGCAAUCCUAGUUACAAGUGGUACAUGGCAGAAACAGCCCCGGUGUAGUGUUAUUUAUACAUUUGUGCUGUGCUAUUGUGAAGAUUAGGGAUAGGUUAAUAGUCAACUCUUUAUUAGAUUCAAUGAAACUUCUUAUAAGAAUUUAUUUGUAUUUGCUUUAAUCUCAUACUGUGUCAUAAGCACUUGGAACGUUGUGUGCACUAUGCUAUGUAGUACUGCCAGGAGACCUGUGCACUAUGGGUGACUGACAAUAGCAACACGUAUAUCUGUCUUGUAGAGCCAAAAAAUGAUGCUAAAUUGAAGUAGACAGAAGAUAAAGGAAUGCACUUACCGAAUUUACAGAACAUUGCUGAAAUAACUUGUAAUGACACAUCCCAGACAGCAGAGAAAUUAUAGUCAACUAAUCUUCCAACAAUUGCACACACCUUUUCAAUGAUAGUUGGCACAGAUUGCCUUGCGUUUGACAUAACCUGAUCGACACCCUGUUUGACCAACUUUUCAUCAACGCAUGCAUCUAUCAGGCUCUUGUAUGCAUGCAUUGCUGCUAAUACAGCCUCCUCGUGUUCAGAAGCCAAAAUAUCUGUAGAAGCCAAAUAUCACAUAAGAAACUAACCAACAACAGAUCAAAUUUCUACUAUCAAACUUUUGAAUUGGUUUGUUGAAACCAUUUGUUGAGGAAAACAAAAAUUCUAUGCUACGUUAAUCUACUUCAUUAAUGCCUUUAUAAGCAAAUCAUUUUAUUUUCUUGCUGAAACUUUAGGAUUUUCUAAACUAGCUUGAUUACGGUGUCAAUAAUAAGAGCUUUCCCAUGUUAGCUUUUCUUUUCAUAGCCAUCCAGGAGUUUCAAAGUAUCAAAAUCAGUAAACCAAGAGUGCUAAAGCAUGACAACAAGAAAUAUAUGAAUAACGACUGACGGGACUUAAAGUUUUCCAAACAAGAAGAAUAACCUACCACUGAGGGCAUUGAAUACAAUAGGAAGCUUAACAACACAAAUAUGCCUGUUAAGAGAAUAAACUUUUCUUAUCCCAACAUCUAACAAUCGAGCUGUAAAUGUCAUGCUCUCAGCAGAUGUUUCAUUUGAAGAGACUGAAGUUGCCAAGGAGCAUAAAAGGUCAAGAAGGGCUUCAGGGGAAACUUCUCCAGGUGGGUUGAGACAAAUUGCAUUCAGACAAUCUGUUAUUCGCCUAGUGAGAAGAGGUUGUUUUAAAUCCAAGAGAGAUUUGAAGUUCUUCAAGAUGUUGGUUGAAGACUUUCCAGACAUGCAAGGGAGACAAACUUUCAGAGCAUCAAGAACAUACAGAACUUCCUGUGCUCCUCUGGGGACUUCAGAAACGUUUGAGUUGGAUCCUCCAGCUAGCAGAAGAGACCGUUCAAAAACUUUCAAUAUGGCUUCACUAGCUGGUGUCAGCAUGCAUGCAUGCAGUGGAGACAUACGAUACAAUAUCAAGACUUCACGUAGACAUGCAUGUGCCUGCUUUCUUACCUGCAUAUGGUAAAAACAACAUUCAGUGCAACUGAAUAUGUCUUAAACAUAUGAAACUUGAGAAUCAAUAAGCUUUGACUCCUAUUCACAGUUUUUCCCUCUUGUCAAACAGAGCAAAAUGUUUUUUUUUUCCCUUUAACACACGUCUAUAUCUUUUCAGUGUCUGGACUUUAUCUCGACCAUGUAACUGCAAAGCUAAUGGAGAAAGGAGAUAAUUUGGUUAUCAUAACAAAACAGAUCCCUGAAGCACUUUGAUUGCGCUUGCGUCUUUCGCCAGUAUAUCAUAAAAGCUCUAUUGCUUUCUUUGGUGGACAACACCUAUUCUAAUUCAGAUGCACUAAGCAUUUCACAUGCUCAAAGUUGUAUCCUAGUAUACUUGAAAUCCUUCUUAACUAAUACACAAAUUUAAAGAAUCAACCUCGCUACUGAAUAAUUCAUGCUCCUGCUCCUCGCUAAAGAAUCAACAUUUUGUUACUCACAGUUUACAAUAACUGAUAGUACAGACGCUCAUAACUUGACAGGAUUAACAAUUGAAAACGCCCAAAGAAUAAUUGAAAACACAACUAAAAGAAGUAAAAUUUAACACCAAAAUUCCAAUAUAUUAAUAUGAUAUACUCUAGUACGGUCAAAAUGAAAUGCAUAAAAGGCGUUGAAAAACCUCAAAAGCAACAAGUUUAUUGAAAUUUUAAGUUACUGAUUGCUUAAUUUAUUAUUUUUGGCUGACCUUUGUUCUAUCAUCCGUUAUGCAAUCAACUAGAACUCCGUAAAGCUGAGCCAUAUCAGACCAGCUGAAUUUCUCCUUUGCUGCAGCCAACAAAUGCGAGACGCACUUCAGACCCGGAACAAUCCCAUUGGGACCAACCGACUUGACCCGAAGAAUCCGAAUCAAAAGGUCCGACAAGUAACCAAAUUUCUUCCUCAGAACCGCGUUAUUAGACUUCCCAGUGACGACAGACAAAAUCGUAAUUAGGGCAUCAACGAGGUGGCCGGGAGUUUCCGUUUCGGAUGCCGAAGAGAGGCGGUGGAGAGAAGAACAGGUGGCGCCGAAGUACGAGAGGGGUUUGAGCGGGAGAUUUUGUUCCUUUAACUCCAGCGUCAUUGCACCGAUGGCCGUGCAUACGUGGAGGUGAUGCUCGUUUGCAGCGUCGCCGAACUGUGAGAGAAUUUCAGCGCAUACGUCAUCGUGUGGGAAUUGGGGGUCCUCCAUUUCAAUGCCUCCCAUUGUUAGGGAGUGAGAAACCCCAGCCGGCCAGCAGGUGACGGAGGCAGUGGCGCUAGGGUUUUAGGUGGAAAUGGGUUUAACAGAACAUAUUAUUAACAUUAUAGUAUAUUAUUAUUUCGUUUAAAAGAAAUGGAAAUAAGGUAAAUUACAUGACUGCCCCUUAGGUCUGACAUAACCACAAUAGCGUCCCAAGUAGUUCUUAGCCUGAUUUUACAUUUUAUUUCAUGCAUUUACCAAAAGAAGAAAACAAACGAAAAUUUCAUUUCAUGUGAUAAGACCUCCUUUGCUUGCUUGUCUAAGAAUGGAAUACGUGUGUUUGUGAUUAACAAAAAUGUCGUUUUCAUGUAAUUUUAGCAUUCAAUUUGUUUGGAUAGAGUAUUAUUUGAAAUAUUAUUUGGAAUAAUUACUGUAACACUUUUUGUGAUGUGAUGUGAUGUAUGCGAGAUAAAAAGAUGAUUGGCAAUAUAAAAAUAUAAGUUGGAAAUGUAUUUAUGAUGCAAGCGAACUAUUAUUUGAAAUAAUAAUGGGUUUGUUUGGAUAGGGUAUUAUUUGAAAUAUUAUUUGGAAUAAUUACUGUAGCAUUUUUUAUGAUGUGAUGUAUGUGAGAUAAAAAGAUGAUUGGAAAUAUAAAAAGAUGGGUUGGAAAAUGUAUUUAUGAUGCAAGUGAAAUAUUAUUUGGGAUAAGUUUUGUAUCCAAACACUCCCAUUAAUGCUAUCCAAACACUACUACUCCCUCCGUCCCACUUUGAUAGUCUUGUUUUCCUUUUUCGUCUGUCCCAAAUUAUAGUCCACUUUCCCAUUAAAAAAUGUAGUAAUCUUUCAAAUUGUCUAAAAUACCCUUAUUAAAUAUCUUGUUAUUAAUACAUUGUUAUUAAAUACUAACCCACUACAUUGAAUACAUUGAGUUUUUCCAAUACAUUGUAACUGAUAUUAAUUGGCACUCUUCGUGAUUAGCAUAAGGGUAUUUUAGGAAAUUAUUAAUCGAAAUUUAUGUUUCCAACCAAAUUAAUUACACUUUCUUAAUCUGUGUGAAAAAAAAACCAAGACUAACAAAACGGGACGGAAGGAGUACUAUUUUGGAAUUCUUAACGAAGUCGAGACUAAACAAUUUUAAUAUUACUUUUGAAAUUCUUAAUGCAGUCAAGAUCAUUAAUCAUAACUUUAUGUACAGCGACAAAUAUUUGCGGAAAAUAAAACACUUGGAAAAACUCUCUGUUACUAAUUUGCGGAUCGUAGGGAAUUUCUGUAAUUAAAAAUUGGUUGGAAGUACUUAAAAAACAAUAACAUAUUAUUGGUUGUCGUAUAAAAAUUCCAAGGAGCAUUAGCUUCAAUGUAAACAUUUUGAACAGGAAUAACUUAAAAGAUGUUAGAAGGAAGUGAAGUAACUUAAAACAAGUCAAAAGUUCCUUCACAUCAAGAAAACAGUUUCUGAUUUUGAGAGUUCCUUAACUAAAAGAUGCUAUACACUAGUCUUUUAUUUAAGACAAUCGAUUGAUGUUGCUGUGCCAAUUAGGUUUGAAAUGAAUUAGUGCUGCGUGAGUAAGAAAAUAUCAUCAUCAUCAUCAUCAUUCGUAGCUUUGAUAUGAUGAAAUUGUUGAUUUUAUCAGUCCUCCGUGCUGCAGAUGGUAGAACAAACUCGUUUGCUCGUUUCCAAGACCCCAAACCCAAAACUUUUUGGAUUCCUGAGUUGUUUGGUUAGAUGCAUUUCCAGAUUUUCUUUUGAAGGCUGGUUCCUUUGAUAUGAAUGAAUAUUACAGACAGCAUCUGGUAUCUUCCUUUUCUUUUCUUAAAAUCCUGAUUAAUUAGUUCAGACCCUGCGGGGCAAACUAUGCGCAUGCAUUGCUUUCGGCAUCUGCAGUUGUGCGUCAUACCAGAACACACUUUUUCCUAGUAGUAAUAAUUAUGGCGAGUGGGCAUGAGACAGGCGCAUUUAUGAGACAAGGAUUUAUUGAGCUGAAAUAUUUAACUCCUCACAUUUGUCCUCAUUCUUGAAUAAUCCGAAGCCUGAAUAUUGCGCAACUAGACUAUUAUUACUAAUACGAUUUUCCCUAAAUCCAGCUAAUAGAGACAAUUAAUCCUUAGAAUGCCUGUGCUAAAACAGACGGUAAUCGUGAUGCUUAAGAACAAGUGGUGGGGUUCUCCGGUCAUGGCAUCCCAUCAUGCUGUUGGCUGAUCAUUUCGGCAUCAAUAUGCCAUGUACGUACAGCUGCUACUGCUAUGCCAAGAUUCAAGAGAGCAGGAAACGAUUUCUUUCAAACUACGAAAAUGAAUGACUCACCAGAUACUUUUGUCAUACAGGAUUCAUGGGCAGUAGUCAAAUCAAUUUAAAAACUAUUGCAAAAUCUGCUUCUUUUUCUUCAUUCAAUGAGAAAAGAAGAAAGAAAGAAAGAAAGGUAACAAUAAUAUGCAAAAAGAAGUUGUACAACCACUACUUUGACCAAAAAACAAAAGAUUAAUAAUUUAACACUCUCCAAUCAGCGAACACAAAUUCAUACAGACCUGAUAAAAACUCAGAAAAUCCAUUGUCAUCAUGUGACAAAAAGGUUCAUAUUUAUAUAUAAGUUACAGAAAAGCAUGGUACUACGUACUAGGCAUCUCUUUUCUUUUCUUUUCUUUUCUUCACCUUUUUCUUGAAGGUUGUAAUUCCAAGAUUGAUUAACCACGGGAUCCAUCAAGACGGUUGAUGAGGUAGAGAGCAUUACUAGUAACUUUAGCAACAUUGGUGAUGGCCCUUUUGACAUCAGACCUGACCUGAGCAUCAAUCUCCCUGAAUCCAUCCAGACAAGUAUCUUCAUAAGUCAAGGCAGCGCUCACCCAGGUCUCUGCAUUGCUCAAAUGCCACUUGAAUUCGCUGCCCAGGCGGAGAUUUUGGAGCUCUGAAAGAGUCUUGGUGAGUUCAUAAACAGACUCACUCAUUUGUUGUAUGCAGUCACCUAAAGCCCCCCGCUCUCUCUUGUUGUGGCCUUUGAGUCGUGCAAGGAAGUUGGAGGCUUUGUGAGAUCGAGAAAUGCUGACCUUGACUGCUGCCUGGGCUAAGCCCCGGAGGCUGUUGGCCUGGCCGGAGUAGGAGGAGAGGGUUCUGAGGCAGAUGUUGGGGUAGCUGGCAUGGGCACAUGAUGCAUGGACGAGGUCUUUGGGGGUUUUUGAGGCGGUGGAGGAGAGGAGGAGGACGAAGAGGGAGAGGAGGAAAGAGAAAGGCAAAGCCAUUCUCGGACGGAGUAUCUCAGUGUCUUGUUACUUACCUGUUGGUUUCUUUUUCUAAGGUAGGUUUGGGGUGGGAAAGGAUAGUUCAAUCGUUGGCAGCUAGGUACAUGGACAGUGUGUUGUGUGGGCUUUGAGGGUGAGAAAGAGGGAAGUUAUUGGUUUUAUUUUGUAGGGAUAGGUGAGUUUAGACUAGAAAGAGGUUGUUUAGUAUAUGGUCUCGAAGUUGGAGAAAAUUAAAAUAUGAGAAUGUCCUUAGCUAUGGUGGUGAUCUUUCGGGCUUUGAAAGAAUACAAAAUGUUUUGGUCAGGUUCACAAUCUGGUUACUAUAUAUUUUUGCCUACGAGUAAAAAACGUUGAUUACAUAUAUUCAUCGUAAAAACAAAUGGACCGCCCCAUAGAGGAGUUAAUGCGCCGCAGGCAAGGCAGCAGUGGCAGCUACACAAUUGUCCAACAUUAAUUCCACCACCUAAUUAAAUUUACCAGCCAUGCAUAGUUUGCUUCACCAGGCAAGGUGCCCUAAAAUCACUGGUCAGCCGUAAAAUCACUGGUUGCAUGAUGAUGAACUUUCACUACUAUUACUAGAAUCCAUAAUAGUAGAAAUAAUACUCCCUCUAUCCCACUUUGAUAGUCCUGUAUUUCUUUUUCAUCUGUCCCAAAUUAUAGUCCACUUUUCAAUUGAAAAAUAUAAUUAUAUUUUAAUUUUUCUAAAAUACCCUUAUUCAAUGUAAGUAGUUAUUACUAUAAACCUACCCCAUUUAAUGAAAGUUGAUUCUUUUUUUACCAUCAAUUCAAGCUCCCAUAAAGUUGUACCAUAUUUAAUGUGAGGGUAUUUUAGAAAAAUAGAAUCUAAAUUUAUUUUUUCAACAAAAUUAACUACUUUUUCUUAAACUGUGUGAAAAAAAGAACAGGACUGUCAAAGUGGGACGGAGGAAGUAUAAAUAAAUUAUUCCCUCCGUCCCAUUUUGAUAGUCUUGUUUUCCUUUUUCAUCUGUCCCAAAUUGCAGUCCAUUUUCUAAUUAAAGAAUGUAGUUGUAUUUUAAUUUUCCUAAAAUACCUUUAUUCAAUAUAAAUUAUUGUUACUAUAAACCUACCCCAUUUAAUGAGAGUUGAUUCUUUUUUUUACUAUCAAUUCAAGUUCCCAUAAAGUUCUAUUCUAAUUAAUGUGAAGGUAUUUUAGAAAAAUAACUAGUUAAAUUAAUUGUUCUAAUAAAGUUAACUACUUUUUUUUAAACUAUGUGAAAAAAAAAGAACAGGACUAUCAAACUAUCAAAGUUGGACGGAGGGAGUCCAAUUCAAACUAUCUCACAAGUAUUGCAAAUCACUACUCAAUGCCAGUGCUUGCUGCAAGCUAACCGAUGAUAGCGAUUUCCUCCUCACACAAAUUGUGAGAAAAUUAAAAAAGUUAUCUUGUCUGCAAUUGACGGGAUAAGUCGGACAAUUUCUUGAUGUUCUUAAUGAAGUGCUUUUCGCAGUUUUGCUAUAAUGCCUUUCAUUUUCUUUUGAUUCGUUCUUCCCGACCUGAUGGAGUUAUAAUCUAGUACUAUUCAAAUGGGCCCUUUUUUCUUUUGUUUUCUUUUUGUUGCGCUACUCCCAUGACAUGGACAGCGAUUCACGGCUUCCAGAAAUUAUGUAGUGAUUGGCCAGCAACAAGCAUGGACACGAAAUCAAACCCUCUCAUCCCUCCCGUUCAAGCUUUGAAUUUGUGCAUCCUUACCAAUCAAUUACUCCUAAUCAAGUCUCAAAUGGUCACCAAAACACCUCAAAAACCAACCAAUUAAGGGAAUGGACGAAGUCAUGUUUGAUUCGGAGUUAAACACCAGUUUGCAACUGUUCUUGAUAUUUGGUUCUCAGCCGCAGUUGGAAAACAAAUGGUACGACAAAGGGCUCCAUGCCAAGUCAAAUAAUUGGACGAAACCUCAAGGAAUCAUGUGAUCUAAACGUUGUAUUUCUCCUUCGAAAGCACUGCGCUUUUGUUGGAGGGUAGCAGAGCACGGCAUGUGCUUGCUGCAGGACAUUACAGGUUUGAAAGGGCCCAGACUCCUCGCUGUGCAUGGGCUAUGAUUUGUGUGUGAAUGCUAAAGCCAUUUAUUUGAAAGAGUUUACACGUCACUUAUCAGCUGCGUUGAACAACUCGUGAUGCCUCCGUAUUCAAUAUGCACUUUGACCGUCUCUCUUGAUCAAUCCUUAUCUCGUUAAACCUGAACCCCUUCCCGACGACAAAAAAAAAAAUAAAUAUUGCAAUUGCACCAAGAGAAUAGAAGCUGCCCACAACAUCUUUGUGCUGGUUGUACCUAGGAAAAAAGAAGCUACACCAAUUCUAUGAAAGAGAUCAAAUUUUCUUUCUUCCUUGCGUCUGUCUACUUCUUCUUCUCUUCUUUUUAUUUGCAAGACGAGCUUCGACUUCGAAAAGUUCUAACCCAAUGACUGCCCCGGUUUAAGCAAAUUAUCGCGCACCAGCAGGAUGUAAUCCCAUGAAAAUAAUUGAGUCAGUGGUUACUCAAGAGUCAAAACUUGGUCACUAGUGUUGUUAAUCGAGAGCCGAGUGGAACCGAGUAUUUGACUGUCGAGUUUAAAUCGAGUUAGGUUCGAGCUCGCUCGACUAGGCUGACGAGUUUUGAAAUAUAUUCGAAUUCGACUCAUCAAAUGGGACAUAUGACUCGAGUUCGAUCUCGAGCUCGGCUCGUUUAUCACAAACGAGUCGAGUUUUCAUGAGUUCGAACUCGAACUCAUAUAAAUUAAUCACAAUAAAAACCUAUAUUUUUCAAUUUUUAUUCUUUUAAAUUGUGAAAUGACAUAUAUGUCUUUUCUUAUUGAGCUGAAUCGAACUACUCGGAUGAUAACAACGAGUCGAGUAUAUCUCGAGCUCGAACUCUAUUCGUUUACCACAAUUAACGAGCCAAGUUCGAGUCGAGCUCAAUCGAGCUUUCGAGUUGCUCGUUCCAUUUAACAGCUCCAUUGGUCACCUUAUUAAAGCUUCUCCGUUUUCAUUAUUAUGUCACAUGCAUCAGCAAUUUUUUGUAAGUUUGCUAUGGACCAGUUAAGGUGAGCCGUUGCCCUUGGAUAUAGUGAGAGGUUCUUAAUUAGUCCUUCGACGUAUCAUCAUAGCCAGAUCUUCACGGUGCGUGUGGAGGGGGUCGGAGGAGAGAAGAAGAAGAAGAAACCAAGAGCGGAAAUAGGUUGGGAUUUUAGAAGCUGAAGUGUAGCAGUCACACUAUACCUAACUCAGAAGUACUAGAAGAAACAGAAACAGCUCAGACUGGAUUAUGAUAAUAAUUUCCGAAAAGCUAAGAUGAUAGAGAUUCUGCUGAUAAGCUUGCUAGGCUUUUAGAACAUGUUGUCAUAUGGGAAGCUUCAAGGCAUAUUAGGAAGUAGGACUGUCAAUGGGGCUGGGCCAGCCCGAGCUCGGCUCGUUCGGCCCGACAGAAAGCCCGAUGAGCCCGAUCAUUUAGUGAGCCGGUCUGAGCUUGAGCCUAAAAAUUAGGCCCGAAUUAAAUGUGAGCUGAGCUUGGGCCUUAUUAGGCUCAAACCCGAUAUAGGCCCGGCCCUUUAAUUACCUAUAUAUAUAAUAUUUAUAUUUUGAUAUUAUGUAUAUUUAUAUAUCCAAAUAUAUUUUUACUAAAUACUAAAUAUAUAUAUAAAUUACAAAACACAAAAAUACAUCUAAAGAUUCUUUCAUGAGAUUUAUUGAGAGCCAAUAUUAGUAAUGCAUAACUAAAUCUCUAAUUUUUCUUAUUGGUUGAGUAAAUUUUUGUAUUGGCAUAUUAUUGGUUGAUUUUUUUUUGGUCUACAAACACAAAAAUCAUCAAGCAUAUUUGGAUUUAAAUCACAAGAUUAUAAAAAAAGUUUCAACUUUUAAAGAUGUAUUGGCUUAUGAUCGCAUGUUUUAUUACUAUUUUUCAUGCAUUUUAAAUGGAUUAAAUAUAAAUAUUGUUGAAAAAAUUUUUGGUUUAUAUACUUUUUAAGAACUAUUGUUUGUUCAUGUUUAGUUUUAAUAUUAUAGUCUUGUAAAUGUUAACUUAGUUUUACAACUUAAUAGUUAUAGUAAUUAUAUUAAGAAAAUUAAGGAGUAAUAAGUGAGCUUGGGCUAAGCCCGAUUAAGGCUCACAACCCGAAUAUUAUGUGAGCUGAGUAUGAGCUUCACAUUUACGAAUCCGAAACUCAUAGCCCGAAGCCCGAAAAUGUUUCAAAUUAAAUGAGCUGAGCUUGAACUCAUCAAAGCCCGGCUCAUUAGGCCCGAUUGACAGGCCUAUUAGGAAGCAUGAUGUUACGUGCAGGAGGCUUUUUUAUUGAUGGGAAGUAAUUUGCCCCAGAUAGUCACGUCAAUGCGUUGGUGCACACGGACUCGGGACACCUGCAACCGUCCCGGGCAAUUUUGAUCAUUAUCAACUGCGCGUAACUUUCUUUGUACAUCGUGUAACUUUUUUUUCACAGGAUGUAUUUUCACAACAGAUAGUGGUGGGCCCCACGCUUGACGCGAAAAUCGAGUUACAUGGUAUAAUUUCAGCCGCACAAAAUUUUGAGGGCAAAUCUUGGCCCUUAACCGUGCAGCGAGGUCAUACUGAUGACCGUCCCUGCCCCAAAUCCGGUGCACACAUAAUUAAGCUAGCUUAGAACAGUUGAUGAAAUUCCCAAAUUAAUGAUGCCAAUAUUCUCACAUAAAAUUCUAAAGAAAUUAGUUUUAACGAAGUAGAAGCAGUCGUAAAACUCUAAAGAAAUUGGUAUUAAUAGGUUAUUUCUCUGAGAAUGAUAUAAUCAAUGCUUCAUGGAAUGCCGAUCUUGCAAGCUGUUGAUACAGCGUAGAUGUCGCAGCAAUGCAAUAAAAUCCAUCCAGUAAGUAUUUUUUGUCAACAGUAACACCAGAAUUUCUCAGAUAAUGUUGGACUGGACCAUCCAUGUGGUGCCCGCAUGCUUGGCAUUGGGCCAAGAUAGAAAUUUGUGCAUAGCUUAGAACGCAGAUAGUCCAUAUAGACUUGCACAACAACAGAGUGACGCUUGAGCUAGCCAUCAAUUUUAUAUACUGUAUAAUUAUUUUUGCACUAAUAGGUUUAGAUCAUGCCACUUAAUAUGAAUUCAAAUUUAAAAUUUCAAAUCAUGCACAUGUGGCAUAUAUUCAAAAUGUCUCAUAUUGGGGCAAUACCCAAUAUGAGUUCAAGAAUACAAUGGUAAAGAUUGAUUGCUUCAUCCACAAUUGAGACGUAUUACUCUUAACUACUACACAACUAUGUAUUGGUAUAUGUACAUUAGGUAAAUGUGUCCACAAAUUUGUCAGACCUUAAAUUCAUUUCCCAUAUGAUAAUUUAAGGAGUUUCAACUAAUGAAGGCUUUGCAAGCUUAAUUUGGAUGGCACUACUUUAGCUGAAGCAACCAUCUCAUGCAGUGGCAAGGCUAGAAAUAAUUUUCAGUGGAAGCAAAUAUGAUACUGUAAUUUACUUUUUUGUUAAAAGGCAUAACAAUAAUAUUUAUAUGUCAAGCAAAAGUAAUGCAUUUGCAUCAUGAUUAAUAUAACCCAGGAAAACUAUUUUUAAUAAAAAAGUAUACUAAAUGUAUUUAAAUUGCUGGUUAAUAACGUAUUGUGAGAGUUCUAGGUAGUUUUCUUCUCUUCUAAGAUUCGUAGUGAGAGUUUUAGCUAUUUUUUUUCUAUUAUUAUAUCUGAAUUUUUUCAGAUUUUGAUUGUCAGGUUUAGAAUUUGUUGAGUCUACUCAACAUGUUGUAAUAUUUGAACUCGAAACAGUUAAUUAGUAGAUUUGGCGAUUGAAAUCAUACAUACACGUUCUUAGGUUUACCAUGAUUUUAUCUUAAUUUUUAUUUAUUCUUUAGGUCUGUAGUAUCCAUUCUUUUCAAAUCUUUUCUUUGAUAUUUGUGUAUAUGAUUGAUGAUGUAACUUCUACCAUUAGUACAGAUUUUUAUCAAAUUAUAAUGUUUUACUUAAUUCUAGAUACACCAUUAAAGUAAUGUAAUUUGUUUUUUAAGAAAGAAUUGGAAAACGUCUAGACACGUCAUUUUGACUAAUAAGGAGCAAAUCCUUAUAUAAGAAUGCGUUUAGAGUAAAGAUGUUCUUUGGAUUUCAACCGUAAGGAUAGGAUUAUUUUGGGAAUGUAAAAGUAUUUGAAGUGCAAUUGGAGUAUUGAAUACAAGUCAUUAUAGCUAAUUUAGUUUUGUUGUAAUUACUUAGAUGUCCUUUUAGACAUUUAAAGCUAGGGUGACAGAUAUCUGAUUGAACACUAGGUAUAACUAAAUUUAGCUUGUAUUUUUAGUGAAAUUACAUAAAAGCCCUUCUAAUUAUUUAAUUGUAUUAAUAUCCAAGUUUCUUAAUUUCCUAAAGCAUUUCUCAUCAGUUAUUUGCAAACUUAUGAUAUAGAUAUUAAGACACAAUUAAUGCCAAUUAGUAGAGAAGUUUGCUUUCUUGGCCGUUACCCCGUCUGUUCAAAUUCAUUUCAUUUACUUACAACUUUUUUCCACCACAAUCAUGUAGCCUAUUAAAUUCGGAUGUUGCUACAUUAGCUACUCCUCUUCCCCAUUUUGCAACACCUUUCUCAAUAGGUAUAUUUUCUUUAGCCAAUCUACUUUUUGGUUGUAAGAAAUCUCAAUAGGUAUGUUUCUUUAACCAAUCUACUUUUUUGUUGUAAAAAAUCUGUAAUCUUAAUGGUUGUAUGUGCGAUAAUUUUUUAGUGUUUUAAUUCAAUUAUCCAUGUGCAUGAUAGGGAGGAGAUCAUAUUUGUUAAUUAUUAUUUGUGGUUUAAAGUAAGUUUAUUAUCAUAAAUUUUUCCAUAUGCAGAUUACAUCUACUUUUGUUGUUUUAACUAUUAGUUAUGAUAAUUUUCAAAUUGUUUGCUAUUUUAUUGAUGAUUCCAUUUAGGCAAAUUUUUCACUUCAUUUGAUUUGCCAAUAGGUUUAGCUAUCCACUUAGAACGAUUUGGCUAGAAAUCUAAAGUAUGUAUUUUAUUACUUUUAAUUGUUUUCUUGAAUUGAGUGGUCUAAGAUAUUUUAGUACUUUAUUUGAUAUGGUUAUUCCUCUAAAUUAGCAUGUUAGUUGUUGUAUAUAUUUGCAACUAAAUCAAAAACUGAUAUUUAGUGAUUGUAAUCCCUAUCGAGAAGGAGGUGCUUUACUAUAUGUUCUAAAUUAUACAAUAAAUCAUAAUUAAUUGAUUGGUGAGUGUGAAGGUCUCAUGGUGAUAUGUUCUUGGAAUUAAUAUAAAUUCAAGAAUUUGGCUUGCAAGAACCGAAAUUCCACUAGCAAUAAUUUUCUUCAAAUAUGCUAAUUGUUCAAAUCUCACUUAUAUGACAAGAUAAUGUAAUGGAUUGCCCUUAUAUUAAGGUCAAAUUCAAACUAAACAACAGAUUUUAAUAUCUAUAAAGUGCAUGAGCAGAUAUAAGUAGGUCUUUUAUUUUAUUAGGUUAGGUGCAAAGUAGUUGAUCAUAUCUUAUAAUUAUGUUUCAUUGCAUAUUAGUAUAUUUUUUAACUCAAUAUUUAACUUAUGAUUUUUCUGUUUAAUAUCAUAUAUUAAAAUUGUCAUACUUCAAUUCGUAUGCUAUAAAAUAUCAAAUAAUAAUUAUUAAUCAUUUUUAAUUAUAGAUACUAAACUUCCGCACGUCAUGCGGGCUUUUCCCCCUAGUCAUAUAAAUAACUUCCAAAGAAACUAAAUGACCAGAGACAAAACUUUUUGAUUUGUGUUUGUUCAUAUUUCAAUUUCAUCAAAUCAUAAAUUAGUCCUACAAUAUAUUCAUACCUGAAAAUUUUAUUGGGAGCAAACCUAAAAUUAAUUGAAGGGAUAUGCAAUUGUGUGGGCACAGCCCCGUGGCUUCAGCGUCCCUGCCUUAACCCGCGACCGGUCUGGUGUCGUAACUCAGUACAAGUGCCCCACAUGGCAGGUUUUUUAAACUCAAUUAACGGAGGAGGAUUCAUUUCCAAUCCGACAUUUCCAUAUGAUCAUUGCAAAAGAAAGUCAUCAAGACAAUUAUCCACAAGCGUUAAUAAGGCAAGCACCGCACGCCCACGUCUUUGCUUUUUGCAUGCUCACAGGUAAGCUGCAAACGAAUCCAACUCGAACUCGAGCUCAAAAUAUUAAAUUCGUUAGCUCGCGAGCUCGAAUAUAUAUAUAUAUAUAUAUAUAUAUAUAAUAUUUUUUAUUUUAAGUAUAUAUAUAUUUUCUUAUUUUAAUAGUAAAAUUACAUAUAUCCUUAAUAAUUUAUUAUUUAUUAAGAAAAAAUUAUUUUAUUUAUUUUUUAAAAAAUAAAAUAAAUAUUUUUUAUUUUUUUUUCGAGCUCGAACUUUAAAUUGCCAACUCGUCGAACUUGAUAAAAUUUAGUCAAAACUAGAUUCGAUUAGUCCAAAGUUCAACUCGACUCGAUUCAUUUGCAGUCCUACUCACUGGCCAACUUUUCCACCUUCCUCGAUGUUCAGCAGCCAUGGUAAUGAUUGACUUUUCUUUUUCUUUUUUUUUUUUGUGUUAAAAGGCGUCCUUUCAAAUUUCCACCAUCGUAGUAGAAGAAAAACAAGAAAAGAAUAUAACAACAAUUUUCUUUUGCCAUCAAGGCGGGAGCGUGUCCUUGCAAAUGGGCGGGGUAAUGAUUGACUGGAUACAAAACCAGCAUUCACUUAGGGAAAGAAGAAGAAGAAAGAAUUAAGGGGCCGCUUGGUUUAUGUUUAGGAAUCGGAAUUGUAAUUGGAAUCAUUUACAAAAAAUUAGUAUGGAUUUUGGACAAAGGUAUGAUUACAAAUGGGGGUGCUUGGUAAAUAUUGGUAAGGAAUGGGUAUCAAAUUUAAUAAUCAAUUUUUUACCUUUAAUUUCUUUUUUCAUUUCAUAUCUUUCUUCUUUCUCGUUCAAAUGCUUAUCCCACAUACCCAUCCACCAUAUAUAUAUUCAUAUAUAAAUAUAAUAGGUUUGUUUGGAUUGAGCAUUAUUUCUCCAAUUUUAUUUGCUUACAUCAUCAUUACAAUUUUCAAUAUACCUUUUUAUCUUUUCGAUUACCUUUUUAUCUCACAUACAUCACAUCACAAAAAGUGCUACAGUAAAAAUAUUCCAAAUAACUUACAAUCCAAACAAACCAAAUAAUUUUCUGUUUAAAUAUAUUUAUAUUUAUAUUUAUAUAAAUAUAUAAAUAUAUUUAUUUAUAUAUAUUUAUAUAAAUUUAUAAAUAUAUUUAUUUCAAUUUUGUUUUAUAAUAUGUAUAUUAAUAUGUAUAUUUCAAUUAUGUAUAUUAUAUAUAUAUAAAUUAUUACUUAUAUUUAUAUAAAUUUAUAAAUAUAUUUAUUUCAAUUUUGUUUUAUAAUAUGUAUAUUAAUAUGUAUAUUUCAAUUAUGUAUAUUAUAUAUAUAAAUUAUUACUUUUAUUUAUAUAAAUUUAUAAAUAUAUUUAUUUCAAUUUUGUUUUAUAAUAUGUAUAUUUCAAUUAUGUAUAUUAUAUAUAUAAAUUAUAGUAAUAUUAAUAUGUAUAUUUCAAUUAUGUAUAUUAUAUAUAUUAUAUCAAUUGAAAUAAAUAAUAUAUAUUUAUAUAUAAAUAUUUUUGUUUAAAAUAUAUUUAUAUAUAUUUAUAAAUUUAUUUAUAUUUAUAUUUAUAUAAAUAUAUAAAUAUAUUUAUUUCAAUUUUGUUUUAUAAUAUGUAUAUUAAUAUAUAUUAAUAUGUAUAUUUCAAUUUGUAUAUUUCAAUUAUGUAUAUUAUAUAUAUAAAUUAUAGUAAUAUUAAUAUGUAUAUUUCAAUUAUGUAUAUUAUAUAUAUUAUAUCAAAUGAAAUAAAUAAUAUAUAUUUAUAUAUAAAUAUUUUUUUUAAAAUAUAUUUAUAUAUCUUUAUAAAUUUAUUUAUAUAUAUUUAUUUCAAUUUUGUUUUAUAAUAUGUAUAUUUCAAUUAAUAUUUAUAUUUUAUUAUAUAUAUAAAUUAUAUUAAUAUUAAUAUGUAUAUUAGAUAUAUUAUAUCAAUUGAAAUAAAAAUAUAUAUAUUUAUAUAUAAGUAUAAAUAUUUAUAAAUAUAUAUUUAAAUUUUUUUAUAAUAUGUAUAUUAAUAUAUAUAUAUUAAAUAUAUAUUAAUAUACAUAUUAUAAAACAAAAUUGAAAUAAAAAAUAUUAUAUAUAUAAAUAAAUAUUAAUAUAUAGAAAUAGAGCCAGUAUAUAUUUUAAAAAAAUCCCAAAAAUAAUUUUUUUUAAGAUUUUGGAAUCAAAUGUGGGAUUCAUCAAAAUCCUCCAAUCUACUUGAGUAUGGAGAGUUGCUGAUUUUUCAUGAAUCAUUCCAAGAUUUCAAAACCUAUACCCAUUAGCCAAGCAACAAUUUUGGGACUCAAUCCAAUUCUUGAUUCCUAUACCCUCCAACCAAGCACCCCCUAAGUGAAGAAAAUACAACGGAAUUACUGAAUGUGGCAAGCAGAAAGACGCGCAAGUUGUUGGGCUUCCCACCUUAUUAUUUUGAUGUUUGGACAUGAAUAUGGAUCAGGCCCGCCGCCUGACAGUGACAGCAUAAAUUUGCAGCGCAAGUUGUUGAUCAAAAUAAAUGAUAGUAGUAGCACUACUGCUCCUAAAAAUGGGCAGACGCGACGACAAUUACUGCUAAUGUCCUGUGCGAGCAAUUUAUUCCAUUCAUGCAAUUUCACAGAGCUGGCGUCUCGCUGGAAAGACUAUUUGAGCAGUCAAUUCCGGUUGGAUUUUCCAUAUAGAUAUUAAUAAUACUCCUGGUGCUGAUUUUCUUGGACGAGUCAAACAGAAACAGAUUUUUAUAGUUUCUUUUUUUCUUUUUUUUUUUUUUAUAUAACAAUCACAAGGUCCUGAUAUUUUAGGAAAAUUCCGUGUCAGUUUCUGUGUCUUUAUUUUAAUUUCAUAGCGUACUGCGUAAAUUACUUCAAAUUACUACUUUCAGAAAUAUGAAGUUGGCCGGAAAACUCUUCUGAUAGAAAUUAAACGACUGCUACGGUAGGUCUCAUAAUUUUACACGAUAUUAAAUAUAAAAAUAGAAGUAAAUUGCCAUUAACGGCGAGAGGAAUUGUCAAAAUGACAACUAUAUCUGCGGCGGCUGAAAUAUCCCCCCAACGUCGUUAUAUCCAAACAAAAAUUGUCGAGUUGGGGCCCCAAAAAAAAAAAAAAAGAAUGACAAAGGUUGAAGAGAAAACGAUUAUAAAAUUCCGGGGAGUGGUAAAGAAUUUUGUGUGUGUGUGUGUGUGUUUUUGGAAUAAGAAAGUUUGAAAUUAUGCUAAGUGAUACGGAUAAGGGUGUAAACGAAUCUAAUCAAAUCCAGUACAUUAGCGUUCAAAUUUAUUUAAUUAUCUCAAAUAAUUUACUAUCCAAACACACUUCUAAUUAGCUAUGAUUUUGUACCGUCAAAUGAAACCCGAAGAUUACAAAGUUAUAUUUAUUGAUUUCUUUUAACAUCUAUCAGGUUGUUAUAUACUGACAGUGUGUGUUUGCAUAGAGCUCUUUUUAAAGGACAAAUAUUCUUUCUGCGGAAAAAGAAAGGAAAAAGAGAUUAUGAUAGGACAACGAGUUAACUGAGUAUCCAUUUAAAGUUGAAAAGAAACAAAUUUGGGCAUACUUUGAUUUUAACACCCAAAAAAAAAAAAAAAAGCUUUUAUGGCAUUCAGUUACAUAUUAAAAGGAGAAUUGAUAUGAAUAUGACGAUAUGAGGAAAAAUACAGAUACUAAAAUUUAAAAAUAAAGACAAAAUGAAAAAAAAAAGAAGGAAAUGGCUGAUACUACUUUAAUGUUUAUUACAAAAAAGAAGCAAAAAAUGCAAAUUGCCGUCAAAUUUAAGCAGUUUCGAUUGUCUAAGCUAGAUAAAAUAAAACAAUGGAAAACUCUUAAUAAUUAGGAAUCAAGCAAGCAAGAAAGACGACGACACCAUAGGGUCGCAAGGAAAUUAAAAAAAAAAAAGAAAGAAAGAAAAAAGAACAAAAGCAGACCAAAGCAUUUUGGAAUCUGGAAAUUGAAUAUUCCUUUAAAUAAAAUGGGGAGAUGAAUUCUCCCACUUACGGGCGUUGAUUUUGAUGGAUCCUUGUACUGUUGGCCAACAAAGAUAAACAUCUCAUCAAUCUACUUUAGGAAUUGGAAAAAAUGAUAAAGAGGCCAAAUGAGAAUUUGCCUCUCGGUGACUACUUUGAGGGGAAAAAAACAAAAGGCACAAGCAUUUGACCUUUAAGCAGUCGUGUACAGUGUAAUUAGAAAAAGUAACAGUCAUGUGCUGUUCAGUGUAUUGUCAGAUACAGGAAAAAGAAAGUUUAAAAAUAGGCUUGUGAUAUUAGACUUAAACGUCAAUCUAAUUAAGUGUCUAUCUUUGAAAAAAAAAAAAGAUAAUAGACUUAAACCUCAAGGAAAUUUUGAUGCUUCGCUUAAUAAAGGGAAGAAUGGAGUAGAGAAUUCACAUUUUGGCUUUGGCGAAACUAGUCCGUCAGCAACAUGCAUUAAUUAAUUAAGGUUUUCAAGCUAAAGAGCAUGCAUUAAUUAAGGUUUUAUAUCCCUCCCUUGCAGCAUGCAAUUGAUUUGACCUUCUUUCUUCUUCUUCUUCUUCUUGUCCCCAGCCACCUUUCCUUAAUAGUAAUUAGUAUUGCUUGGGUAGGUGCACAGUGACAGAGAUAAAAAACUACACUACCAGCAAUUACGAGAUGCUAAUCAAAGAUUAGUUGAAUUUUAAUUGAGUGUGGAUUCUACUUAAAGAUUAACCUGACAGAACCCAUUACUCUGCAUUAUCAGUACUCCCUCCGUCCCACUUUGAUAGUCUUAUUUUCCUUUUUCGUCUGUUCCAAAUUGUAGUCCACUUUCCCAUUAAGAAAUAUAGUAAUCUUUUAAAUUGUCUAAAAUGCCCUUAUUAAAUAUCUUGUUAUUAAUACAUUGUUAUUAAAUACUAACCCACUACAUUGAAUACAUUGAGCUUUUCCAAUACUAACCCAUUAGCUGUAACUGAUAUUAAUUGGCACUCUUCGUGAUUAGCAUAAGGGUAUUUUAAGAAAUUAUUAAUCUAAAUUUAUGUUUCCAACCAAAUUAAUUACACUUUCUUAAUCUGUGUAAAAAAAAAAAAACCAAGACUAACAAAAUGGGACGGAGGGAGUAUUAUAUUUACUAGUGCGCCUUUCAUCAGUCAAAUACGCUGAUUAAGACUAGCUAAUAAGUCAAAUCAAUUUCAUGAGAAUUAGUGUCAGCAAAUGUAUGCAUUAACCAAAGAAAAUGAAAUCAACUUCUCUACUGUUGUGAGGUGAUUCAUCCGUUGCUUUAACCCUUUUUUUUUUUUUUUUGAGAGCGCGAUAAAUUCUAUACCAUACAUACUGCUGCUUUAUAUUAGGAGAAGCGGGAGAAAGACCCAAAGGGAUCAAAAGAUAAUCCAACAAUGAUAGAAUCACCACCAACUCAGACAAGCAUGUAGACACCCACUAAUCGAAUAUUUCAGGAUAUCCCGGACACUAGAAUGUAGGUCAAGGAAUCGAUUCAAUCUCUCAAUCUUUACACGACCAAUUGAUCCCUUGGCCUAUACACGAUCUCCUGAUCUAUACAUCCAAGUAGAGUCUCUCUUUUGGUAGCCAGCUACUUAGGUUUCAUCCGUUGAUUUACCGGUGGUCAUAAAUUUUGGGUGAAAUACGUGAAGUCCCUUAGCUGUUAUUGGUUGGUGAAGAAGAAAGGGAGUUUUUUUUCCGAUAAAAAAGAAAGGGAAUUAAAACCAUCCUUUCGAAUUUAUUGUCCAAAUUUGAAAUGGAUGGAUAGCAAUCCAAUUCAGUCAACAUUUGAGAAUGAGGCCACAAGAAUUUGAGCCGUGUCAUCAUCGAUUAACUCUCUUUUCUCUUUCACUCAGCUUGAGAUUCCUGUGGACUGCCUGCCGUUUAGCGCUCGUGGCUGACAAUUGAGACAGACUUCGAAAUAGAAGCUUUGACUGGAUAUGGCUUCUCAUCAUUAUAAUCUGUAAUCACAUCACAUUAAAAUAAAAAAUCCUUAAAUUUUAAUUCUAAACUCCGACGAUAAUUGAGUCAAAUGAAGCUACUAAAAAAAUACUGGUAAUGAAUAAAAAAAACUCAAACACACACCCCAAUAACCGGAAAAAUUAAAAUACGCCAGGAAAUGAAGCCCAGGCACAGUUCCAGAUGUUGUGUUAUUUUGUAAUUGUUGUGUUUAAUGAGAGAGGGACAUUGUAGAAAUGCAAAUCUUAAAUUAUUAACAAGCAGAAAUAUUUGAUACUAUGUACAAAAUUUUUUUUUUUUUGGGAUGAUCCUUAUCAAUUGAUCACCUCCAAAACUAAAUAGUAAAUACCACUAUCUCUUCGUAUUAUUAAUUAAUUAUAAUAAUAAUUUGCUUCUAGUCAGGGCAAGGCAAGGCCGGGCCAGUCCGCCGGCUAUUUGAUUCUGCGCUGCUGCAUCCACCACUGAAAAUACACCUACCACAUAAUGGUACCACCUUCACCGCCACCGCAGCUAAUUAACGGGGCGCAACUACUUACUCCAUCUCUCAGCCGGCAAACCGUCCCACAAUCUCACCACACUUCCGUCUAGCACCAUUAAAUCCUGAUAACGGUAGAACCCCAUAUGAUCUCCCAUCCUCAUUCUCAUCGUUACCUCCCACCAACCUUCCCCGAACCAUUGCUUCUCAUCCCCGACACAUCCGUCCUGGCAGUCAAGUUCUCCGUUUACGUCAUCACGUCUAUCCUCCUCCUCGUCCUCCUCCCUCCGAUCAUAGUAAAGUGUAAACUUCCCGCUCGUUCUUCCCUCUGCAUUGAACAAGUACGGCGAAGAUGGAGCCGCCACAGUCGAAGGUUUAGCUGCCUCGACUAUAGCAGAAGCCACCACAGCCGUCGCCGAUGCAGGCUCAGCCACCAGUCUCUCAACCGGGCGCGAUGCUUCACGUGGAAAGUUGCUGCCAGGUAAUGACGAAGCCUUUAAUCUCCACACGCUGACGGCAGCCGUAACAACGGCAACCCACGUCCAGACGUUGUUGACGAGCGUUAACAGGCCGAAGCGCAGGUAGUCGAAUGCCAGAACCUCGAGCGGAGAAUCCAGAGCACUCAUUUCUGCUCACUUUCUCUCUCACACAGUCACACAGUAGCGGUAAGAGGACGGUUCCUUUUAUUAGUAGAGUAUUUCUUUCCUUUCCGCCUUCUCGGAAAAGCAUGGUGAAAAUAUGAGUGGUAUUUAUGGGAUGAGAGAGAUGAAUGGGGGCCGUUGGAUUGGAUAGCUGGAAGGCAUCUGAGAUUAGAUGCCAAGAAUCGAGAGUGAGAUGCGAAAGGAAGAUCCGAAUAUUGAUACCCGAACUCUAUCAAAUUAGCGGAUGUGAGUUGCCACUUGUAUAGUUUGGAGUGGCUGUCGUGCUAAACUUGGGUACCUUACUGUUUACUUGGCAGCCGCCAGAAAUUUUUACUGUCGUGCUUGAUUAUUUUACAGAAGAGUUUUAUUUACUGUGGAAAAUAACAGAAGAGGAUAUCCACAAAUUUUGCAUCUUUCUCGACUUACACAAAGGCCUCGUUUGGAAUUAAGGUACUUUUAUUUAAAAAGCACUUUUACGCGCUAAAAGUAUUUUUGAGACGUUUGAUAAAUAUUAUUUGAUAAAAUUAAAAAUAGCAAAAGGUUUAAUUUAAUGCUUUUAAAAUAACUUCUGUUGUUUAAAAAAUAAAAAUAAAACAUUGAAUUUAAUCAUUUUAUCGUAUAUUAUGAACCAAACAAAGAGAUAGACAAAUUUAAAAAAUUUUAAAUUACAUAUUAUUCAAUACAAUAAGUACUUAUUGAAUUAUGUAUCCAAACAAUAUACUUAAAAAUACUUAUUUAUCAAAUGCUCCAUCGAUGAAGUACUUUUUAACAAGUUAUCGAAUUUCGAAACCGACCCUUAAAAAUCAUACGCAUACAAACGAGCAAUGCUUGCACAUAAUUAAGAAGCCCAUCAAACAAUUAAAAAACUUGGCGUGACUUUACAUACGGCAUAAUCAAACACAAUGAUCACUCUAUGCGAACCAUCAUUACUGUUGGUUGUUUCAUGUUUGGAUGUAAUGAAGGCUCCGGGAUAAUAAUUGAAGAAGAAUUGGUUGAUUAACGAAGUGCAAGAUGAUGUAACCAAAACCACUAAGUACAAGUAAAACAAUACGCUGACAAAUGAGGAAAACCAACCGAGGAUCAGAACCCAAUUUUCUUGAAUAGUAAUAAAUUGAUGGACGAUCCAAUUUAUGGUGGGAUUGUUAUGUAAGGGGUUGGUUGGUGGACCAGACAUGACUAGGAAAGACGGCAAUAAUAAAUUGAAGGUGACAGCAUCCUUGACCAGGAGUAUUACUGACUAGCAUAGCAUAUUUGAGGGCCUUGUUUGGAACCUUGGGGCCUGUUUGGAACCUGAGUUUUUUGGGAGUUUGUCUAAAACUUUACUGUAGUGCACUGUAGAAGUUUUUGAAAAAAUUUUGUAGAAGUUUUUGUAAGGUGAAAAACUUUUUUGUAAAAGUUUUUUUAAGGUGAAAAACUUUUUUUCCUUUUCUUUUUUUUUCUUUUUCUCUUUCUCUUUCUUUUUCUUUUUCUUUCUUUCCUUUUUCUUUUCUUUUCUCUCUUCUUCUUCUUCUUCCUUUUCCCUCCCGCUUCCCUCCCCCGUACCUCUGCCUUCCCAGUUCCCAGCAGUCAUGGCCUGAAGGCCCUACCAUUUUUUUUCUUUUCUUUCUUUUUCUCUCUCUUUUUCUUUUUCUUUCUUUCUUUCCUUUUUCUUUUCUUUCCUCUCUUCCUCUUCUUCUUCUUCUUCUUCCUUCCUUCCCCCUCCCUCUUCCCUCACGGUACCAGACAAACCAGCAGCCCCUCUCCCCAAAUUUUUUUUUUCUUUUUCUCUUCCCCUCUUCUCCCUCUCUGCUCCCCUCUCCCCCUCUACUCCCCUUCACCACCCCUCUCUCCCUCCCGAAGCAGAGAAGCAGCAGCCAUGGCAGAAUACAAUUUUUUUUUUGUUUUUUCUCUCCCCCUCUCCUCCAUCUCCCUCUCCCAUUCUCCCCACCUCCCCUUUUGCCCAAUUCGGUCGUCCGACCAGAUCGCAUCAGCGAUCUGGUACCGUCGGUAGCGUGCGACCAGAGACCUUGAAUUAAUGGGAGGGUGGCCAGGGAGAGAAGGAGAGGGGGGGAGAGGGAGAGUGAGAGGGAGAAGGAAAAAAAAAGGGGUAGGCCGGCGCCGGAAUAGGUGGCCGGCGCCGGAAACAGCGACGGAGGUGGUGGUGGCCGGCGACGGAGGGGUGGCCGGGAAGGUGUGGUGGAUAGGGGUGGGGGAGAAAGAAGAAGAAAAGUAGAAGUUUUUUAUGUAUUAGAUAUUUUGAAGUGUGUAGGUUAAAAAAUUUGAUAAAUUUUUUUGGGUUCCUGUAGCUAAAGUUGUUAAAAAACUAGUAGCUAAAAAACUUGGCCAAAAAACUCGGUUCCAAACAGGCCCUUGGUUUUUAGGCAAGUUUGUAUAAUACUAGUUUUUUAACAACUUUUGCUACAGGAACCCCAAAAACUUCUCCCAAAACUUUCGCCCCUUUUUGAAACAUUUUAACAAAACGACGUCAUUUUGGCUGGUUUUUUCCUUUUCAAUUCAUAGCAACACAGAAGACUCCUUCCUUUGUUUCUUUCGCUGCACAAAAGUUUUUGCUCUUUCUGUUAGUUCUCCGGAGUCGACCUACUUCUAUGCCGGAGUCUACAGUUGAUCAGAGCAACGAGAAGCUAAGUGAGUGAUUCUCCAUUUUGUUGGUGAAACCCAUUCGAAAAGCUUCAUUGGUCAAUUGCGAGUUCAGAAACUGGGCGCAGAGGGGAAGGGGUGGCGGGGCAAAGGGGGAAUGGGCAGCUUGCUUCCACUGGUGGCUGGCGGGGCUAAUUCACUGAGCCUAUCCGCUCGCAAUCCGUAUGGGACGUCUUCCUCUGAGCUGGUGAGGGAAGGAGGAAGAGGCAGCGGGGGUGGCGGGGGAAGGGGUGGUGGGCCAGAGAGGGGGGUAGUGGGAGAGGGGGUGCGGGGUACCGAGAAGGGGCAGAGGGGAAGGGUGGCGGGAAGGGGGGGUGGCGUGCGGGAGGGGGAAGGGGCAGAGAAAAUGGGGGGGAGUAGCGGGGGAAGGGGCACAGGGGAAAGGGAAGGGCAGGGCAGAGGGGUGGUGGGACAGCGAGGGAAGGGCUGGCGGGGGAAGGGGAAGGGGCAGGGGCAGAGAAGGUGGUCGGGGGAGGGGGUGGCGUGGCAGCGGGGAGAGGGGGCUGACGGGGGAAGGGGGUGGCGGGGGAAAUGCAGAGGAGAGGAGAAGGGGAAAGGGAGGAGAGAGGGUGGCGGGAGGGGAAAGGAGGAAGAAGAAGAAGAAGAAGAAAGAGAAGAAAGAAAAGAAAAAGGAAAAAAAGAAGAAGAAGAAGAAAGAGAAGAAAGAAAAGAAAAAGAAAGAGAAAGAAAGAAAAGAAAAAAAAAAUUCACCUUACAAAAUUUUUUAUCUUACAAAAAACUUCUACAAAAAAAUUUUUUACCUUACAAAAACUUUUAUAAAAUUUUUUCAAAAACUUCUACAGUGCACUACAGUAAAGUUUUAGACAAACUCUCAAAAAACUUAGGUUCCAAACAGGCCCGAGGUUAGGUCAAGGUGACGGAAUGGAUUCUUGAAGGCAGCUUGCAAGACACUAUUGCCAUUUACCAUGAUUGGUUAGUUGGCUCGUUGGAGCGCUAAAGGCUAAACUCUAAGGGGGUUGUGGAAUUUGAGGAUUGGAAAGGCCCCGGGAUCUGGAGAUGUGUGGUUCGCCUGCACCAGCCCGCUGAUUUCAAUUUUUGAUAUGUUUUUAAUUGGUGGUCCUCCAGUAUAAUUGCAGCAAUUUUAUGAGAAAUUGCCCUCCUCCGCAGGUUUUAUUUUGUGGGCUGCGAUGUUAACUGCUCGUCGAUGGGGCCCAAAUUUUUUAUCGUGGUGUCACUAAAUGGAAAGAUGCUACUCUUUUGCCCCCAAAAGAAAAUGAAUAAAUGCAAGGUCUUUUGUCCAAUUCAAAAUAGAACUUGACCCAUUCGCCGUUUUAUUAAGUAGGCUUCAUUCAUCUGAGCGUUGCUGCGUACAUCUCAGGGAAGAUACCUAUAUUUGUCAUUACCAUUUUGGUAUAAACCACAGCUAUUCGCGUCCGUUUUACGUUUUGCGAUUGAUCCUAUUCCAAUCAGGUUAGGCCCUUUGUAGGAAAAAGCUCUCCCAACAUUAUCCUUUCCAUUUCCAUGAAUAUUAAACCUAAGACCUUAUGAUUACGGAACGCAAGCUCCUUCCAGGAUUUUAAAUUAAGUAAGUGGUAAUUUAAGAUACAGAGGGUGAGCGGUAUCUUUGCUCGUUUCCUGCCACUGAUGUAUGGCAAUUGGGUUGAGUAUAAUCUUGGUACUUCCUCUUCAUUGCUUGGAUUGUGUGGGAGCUCAAAGAUAUAAAAUAAUCACCGUUCAUUUUGUGAAUUCCUUUUUUUGUUGUUUUUGAGGAAUUUUGUGAAAAUAAGAAUAAAUGGGAUCGAAGUCACAAGAGCAGAAACUAGUGAACAGGGGUUCCAAAAGCCAAUUAGUUAUAGUUAUGUCAAUUUGCUAAAAGCUAAAGCCAACUUUUUACAAGCCAAACUAAUUAGAUUUUGCAACCUUUUACGCUAAGUUUCUUGUGAUCAGUCGGCUGAUUGAGGGCUUUAAGCCCAGAAGGAGCGAACUUGGGCCGAAGGGUUGCCUUCUCUAAGUCGUCCCAAUUUGCUCAUAACAAACUCAGAAGGCCUAAUCGUCCCACCACCCCUUGACAACAAAGGCGUAGUGAAAAGACCACGCUUUCUUGCUCUCUAGCACUUAAGAAUGGCUUCCCCAUUCAGAAAUAUACGUUGGUAAUCUAGGUCGGAAGGCUUCAAUCGACCAAAUUAUCCUAGCAGAGCAACCCAAGCAAAGAUCAGUAAAUUAUCGUCUGCUUCUUCUUCAUAUGCCUUGGUGCUGUGAAAAAGCGUCAUAUUCAGAAGAAAGGUGUUAUCAGUAAAUUAUCCUAGUAUGUUAUUUUAAUGGAAUUUCGUUUAUUACCCAAAAAAAAAAAAAAAAAAGUAAACUAUGAGUGUUGUUUCCAUCACCUACUUCAAAUUUAAAGCAUUGCCUCUCUUCUUCUGUAUUUACAUGCUUAAGAAUUCACCAAUAAAUGAAAAGCACAUAUACAAGAAACCGGUUCCUUCACUUUUGCAUUGAACAUACAGACUAUAGAGAGAAGUAAAUGACGCCGAAUGUCACUAAAUUAUUAACGUUUUUGGUCACUAAUCUAAUUUUUUUAGCCAAAAAUAUCGCUCAACUGCUAAUUACUUGCCUAAUCAGGCUUUGUAACUGUUCUGUCAAUUUGCUGACUGAGGGUUUCGAGCCCAUCAGGAUUUAAUUUAACUCGGCCGGAUGUGUUUUCAUUUCCAGAGUCGUCCAAAUUUCGACUUAACCAAACAUAUGGCUUAGAAGGCCUAGUUGUCCCAGCCCUUCACGACGAAGGCUUAAUACUCCAGCUCCAAGAAUCCAUAAAUUAUGGUCUGUUGAUCCUUCUUGAGAUGCCUUGUUACAGGGCGUAAAUUAUGAGUAUUUGUUUCCAGCACCUACAUCAAAAUUAAAGCGUUAACCUUUUUCUUGUAUCUGUACAUGCAUACGAUUGAUUCUUGAGACUCUAUACCUUUACUACCAGUUAAGGAGCAUAUAUUAUAUACAAGAAAUCGAUUCCUCUACUUUUGCCUUGAAGAUGUAGGAUCCAUUUGGAUUAGCUGUUUUUAGAGGUGUUAUUAAAAUAUUUUACUGUAGCAAUGUAAUUGAAAAACUUUUACUGUAGAUAAGUUUUUUUUUUUUUUUUUUGUGUAUUUUUGGUAUUUUUUAAGAUUGUUUUUGAUAUUUUUGAAGUUGUUUUUGAUGUUUUUGAGGUUGUUUUUGUUUGUGUAUUACUCGACUCCCGCUACAACUUUCAGAUUCAUAUAUUAUGUACAAACAAUUUGGCAUAUUUUAGAAUUCGUAAUUUGUAUUACCUAUAAACACAUUUUCUUGAAGUAUGAUAACCAAAAGUUGUGGCAAAUUGAAGACUUGAAUGUAUGCUUUUGAGAGAGGAAUCGAACAAUUUUAUGGCUCGCGUCAUGUGAGCGUUGAAGGAGAACAUGGACUUGGAUGGUUCCGAAUUUUGUUAUGCGUUUAAACCCGUUUUCCGGGUAUACCGAACCUCUACUGUAGGCUAAUGAGAAGGCUUAAACUAAUUCUAUAUGGCCUUCCACUCUUCUAGAUCAAUAUGCAGAUUUCGGGCAUGUUUAUUGAUUGCAUGACGUGUACGUUUUCUUAAUUACAACAGAAUUCAUAGCAAUGGUUUUUCUUGUCUGGGGUGCUUUGAAUCAGAAGAAAAGCUUGGAUUUCUAGAACAAGUUUCAUUUCAUUCCAUUUCUUGGACCAUCAAAUCGGUACUCCCUUCAAGAAUAUUAAAAUGAAAUGGCAGGCGAUGUCAUUGUGAUCUAUCAUUAUUCAAUUGCGCACUAUAUUUUCUCUUACUGGAGAGAUUUUCUUCACUCUUAUAACAAUUGUGUUGCAGGCAGGAAGAAAGCUAGCGGGGUUUGAAUUUUUCAGUCUACUGACUCACAGAAGUAGUAUCAAGGUUCCGUCUGCACGGUCAUACUGAUGGCUCUGAAACUCCAUUUUGGGAUAUAAUUUGAUUAGAGAGAUGUAUGGACUGGCGAAGUCACUGAAUAGGAAGACGGAAUAGAAAUUCAAAUUAGCGCACAAUUUAAUAGAGAAAUUCAACCCCCCCCCCCCCCCACCCCAAAGGUGGUCUAACUUAACGAAAUCACGUCCUGUCCCUUGAAGCCCCUGAGAAUCAUUUGUUUAGUCAAAGGGGGGGAAAAACUGGAAUUCCGUUUGGUUGACGAAUGCUGAAAUGAUAAUAUGAUUUAUGCUUUAAAUAAGCCUCUGUUUGGAACUUUGAUGACAAUGAGAUACAUAAAUUAAUAGGAUAAAAUACUUAACCAAGAAGUUGUAAAAAAUGAUCUGACAAAUUCAACCGAAGAAGAAACAAACGGAAAAAAAAAAAGAAAAAGAAAAAUGGCAUUACGGCUACUGAUACAGGCAGGAACAACUGAUUGCAUCAUCUUAUGCUACUUGCGGAGACACUAAGCCCAAUGCUUGGCAGGUUUGUCCCCUCAAGAUAUAAGUUGGUAGCUAGGACAUUUUCGAGUCUUUUUUUUUUACGUAUCCUUUUGAAGAGUCGAAACUAUGAGCUCUUCAAUAUGGGUGAAGUAAUUGAACUUCUUCUCUUUAUAUGGCACAAGUAGUUGCAAUUUAUUCUUACCGAAUAAACAAAAAUGGAAUUAUAGAGUUAUGUAUAUUCCUAUCAUGCAUGAAAUUCAAAGAAGUAAGUUAUUGUGGCUGAAAGGAAGGCUAUGGAAUGGUUCUGGCUUGAUAAAUAAAGUGUAAAAUACAAGUAAGGCUAUAAAUGUAUCAUAAUAAGCAUGUAAAAAAAAAAAAACUAAUACUUUCCGUGUGUAUGUUGAUGUUUCCAAUAGGGGGGUGAUGGCGAUGAUUCUGUUGAUUCUUUUCAUCUUUUGUUUGCCCAAAAAAAUCCUAGUUAGCUGGUCAAUCGGACCACGGCUGACUAUUUGGGGGGGUAGGUACGGAGCUGCUAGCCUGGAAAUCAGAGUUGAAAUUCAAACUUCUCCAUUUCACGAUCCAGGAGGAGUCUAAGACAUUCUUUUGGCAAUGUUUCGUUCCAUUCCCAGCAAAUGGUUUUUUUUUACCCUAAACGGGCGUGCAUCGCCUCAUGCACUUGAUGUCGAGGCGCUGUUAACUUGGAACAUUGUGUGAUGGCCUGUCUCUGUAUUCAAGUCCAUAACCAACAUAGAGUGCAAGAUUCCAGUUUUGAUCACCAUAGUCUACUUAAGAAAGUAUUAAAAAAUUGAAGCUGGUUGUGAUUCUUCGCUUUACCUCGAAAUUUCCAGACGAUUUAUUUACUCAAUGUGAAAAUUGUGAAGGUCCAAGCAAUGUGUGUAUCUCUUAAAAUACCCUUGAAAAGGACGGCAGUCCUGCUCUCGUGCAAAUUGCAAGCUAGACAUCCAUAGCAAACUUUGAAUAAUGGAUGCCGUUCGAUGCCUUCCCUUUUAUGUUCAUAUAUAUAUAUAUAUUUUUUUUAAUUCUUCUUUUCCAAAAGAACCAUUCAUCUAUUACAGGCAGGAAUUUUCAAAACUGUUUUUCCGGCUUUCGUGAUACAUGCAAGCAGAGCAGAUGUUUUCGUGAUACAUGCAAGUGAAGCAACGUUGGUUGAUACCAUCCGGUAUAUUGGAGCCUCAUGAAAUGAUGUGCGCCAAAGAUUCAGGAGAAUUGGUCGCUGAUUGUUGAGUGCGUCGUGGGGUAUUUUUCAUAAGCGUUUUGAUACAGUUUGAUGAGCUGUAUUGAAUUUUGGGUUGUGAAUAAUUGUAGAGACUCAUUGAUGUAUAGAUAGCGUGUGUAUAUGCUACUUCGUAUGUGUUUUAGUCCUCUAUCAAUAAAAAUUUGCAAUUUAACUAAAAAAAAAAAAUCUUUUAGAUGCUAAUUAUCCAACAUAAGAGUUUAUGGUGUGAAACAUGGAAAUUAGCUAAAAAAUUUUGAAUACAUCUUAGAUACGCUAGCUAGCAGUGUAUACACUAUCGCGAUUAGGUAUAUGACAUACGAGCAAAAUUUGGAUUUCAAAUUUUAAACUUAAAUAAGUUAUCAUCCAUUUAACGGUGAUAUUGUAUGCAGUGUCGGUGUAUAAAAAAUUAAUCCAAAAACUGUAAGGGUGCAAAUUGAACAUGAUAAUAAAUACUAGCGCCUUGCUUGCUUAAUUGAACAACGUUUGGCUUCUAACAUCGGUUCAAUGCAUUAGCAUAGGUGCACAUAUAGCCUACAGUACUACACCAGUUUAACCUACAUCCAACACAAUUUUCUGUCCAGCCAAAUCAGGUUUUGACUUCAUACAAAAUAUUAAUUCGAUUAUUCUAGCACCCGGCAGGUAGAAAAGGUUAUUUAUUCUUAUUCAAUGUGAAUGGAAAGCACAAGAAAGUAUGACUUGAGGUGUAUAGUGAGAGAAUUGGGCCCGGCCAACAAGUAAAGCAUAAGAAAGUGAGUUUUUACUUCUUUAUUGUUGAUUCUUUAUGUGAGUUAAGUCAGAAGUGAGGAGGCGGCUUAAUUUGCUCAGUAUGCUCCACAAAAUUGAAUGUGUAGAUUUCUAAUACAUAGAGUUACUAGAGAACUUUGACCACAGACAACUCACAACUUCUUGCAACGAGGGAACAUGAUGCAACUGAUGAUUGUCCAUUUUAUACUUGUUCUUGAAUUUAUUAGCUAAACAGAAAAGAGAAGAUGAACUUCGACUCAAAUGCUUCGAAUGUCAUGCGAGAAUAAAGAAUGAGAUCGGUCAUUAUAAGCUAAACCUAGAGCCGAUUUUUGACACUUUCAAAUCUUGAACAGGUAACGUUUGAUUUGAAUUGAUUUAUGCCCCAGAGUCCAAGUGUUUAGAUUUGAGUCAGAGUCAAGGUCAAAUCCACGAUUCAAUUCGAUUUGUUUGACAAAAGGGCUUGAUUUAUCCAAUUACAACGCUCGAGUUCAAGAUGUUAGUUAGAUUGUCCUUCUUUGAACUAAGAAAUAUAUAAUGUAGAAGCCAAGAAAUAUUUAUGGAACUGAGCAACCUAUUGGAAACAGAAAAAUUGAUGAAAGAAGGAAAAAAAAGAGAGAGGCUCGAGGAAACACAAUGCGUAAAAUAUGAAAUACUCCCUCCGUCCCACUUUGAUAGUCUUAGUUUUUUUUUUUCCACACAGUUUAAAAAAAAGUAGUUAAUUUUGUUGGAACAAUCAAUUUAGGUAGUUAUUUUCCUAAAAUACCAUCACAUUAAUUAGAGUAUAACUUUAUGGGAACUUGAAUUGAUAGUAAAAAAAGAAUCAACUCUCAUUAAAUGGAGUAGGUUUAUAGUAACAACAACUUACAUUGAAUAACGGUAUUUUAGAAAAAUUAAAAUACAACUACAUUCUUCAAUUGGAAAGUGGACUACAAUUUGGGACAGAUGAAAAAGGAAAACAGAACUAUCAAAGUGGGACGGAGGGAGUAGAAUGUAUGGUUAUGCGUAAUGAUCUUCCCAAUGCUCAACUAGUUCAGAAAUUUCACUCAUCCAUUAACUUGCUGAAUACAAACAUGGCUUCAAUUUCACUUCAAAUCCAAAAAAGGCGUACAAUUCGGGUACAUAAACAAAUAAUAAUGAAUACGGUAUGGUGCUAAUUUCUUCAAGUGAUUCAAACUUCUUCCAGUUAAGUUUGUUUUUUGGUCUCCCUCUAAAUAUUUUCUUCCCAAACUAACUAAAAAUCUCCAUGUCUGGCCUCUUAUUAUUGUUUUUUUUGGGGGGGGGGGGGCUAAGAAUCCUAGUGCCUGACCUCUCAUAUUACAAGUGAGUUAAAUCAAGAAAACCGCCACAACCUUGGUAUUAACUAUUAAUUAAGUGGUGAACAUUCUGUAGAAUUUGACAAAAUACAUAAACAGCAGUCAUAUACAAAUCAAUUUACUACUGUGGUCUACAGAUCGUGAGAAUCACGAUUUCUGGAGCGGAUAACCUGACAUUACAGUCAAACUUACACUUUUAUUACCACUCCUUCAAGGAAAAAAAAAAGGGGGGGGUCAGAUGGCAAGUAAAAUAAACUAUACGUUUACCAUUCGGGAAUAGCUAGGAAAAAAUUAAAAGAGAGACAGCUGUUUUGAAUAUUGAAUAUUGAAAACGACUUCCUAAUCUUUGACGUCACGUGAUUCACAAAAAAGUGAUUUCUAGAGUUUUGUGAAUUACCACUAGCACCUUGGAGGCUUGGAUGACCUUCUUUUUUUCUUUUUUUUUUUUGUAGAAAAGAAAAACGAAUGCAGGAGGAAAAGGUCGGUUUGAACUACGUAUUAACGUAUUCUUACAGCUUGGACUGAAGAUAGAUUGAAGGUUCCUUGAUCAAUAAAGCAUGAAGAUAAUAUAAAAAUUAGAAAAAUUUUGAAGUACUGAACAUUUAUGCAUUCAUAGGCCAUUUGGGAUAUCUUUUAUGGAUCACAGAAACUGUUUUGUUCAUCCAAUUAUUUGAUAUCAGCGUAGCAUGAAAGAUUCAUAUAUGUGAGUUUGUAAACUUGAAGAAUUACAGAAUUUGUACUACUAUCUAUCGUAUAUAGCCAAGUCUAAAUCCAACAUAUUCAGCUGCAUAGGUGUCUAUUUUUGAAAGUUAUGUGCGGGGACAUUCCAAUUUCCAAGCAAGUAUAUCUCCCGGAGCCGCCCGCAUGCCAUGCAAGAGUGGAAAAUAGCGUUGCAUUCCCUUUUCUUUCUUUUUGUUUCGGGUAGGUAGGCUACUCGGUCGAAUCAAUUUCCUAGAUAAGGCAUAGCUUUUAUAGAAAAUAUGUAUACCGUAAAAUCGGUGGUGCUGAUUAAUAAUGGAGUCAAGAAAGAAUGAAUCUUCAAACUGGAGAAAAUAAUGGAAUCUGAGCUAAAGAUGGUCAUGGUUUUGUGGAAGAUGGAAUUCCCGUUACAUUACAAGAGGCGUGCACUCUUCAAAUUUCUAUUGAUCUGAAUGUCUGUGUUUGAUUUCCAUGGCGUCGUCCAUUCCCCAUGUUCCUUCUUCUUCUUUUCUGGGACGUUUCCAUUUAAUCAAAUGGGCUGCAGAAAGUGAGAAGGCAAUUCUUCACUUCUUAGAUUUGAGAACGAUAGAUCACAUAUUCACGGUACGUACUGAUCUCCCGCAGACACACAUUUGUCUCCGUGCGUCUGUGAUGUGUGCUGAGAUUUUGUUGUUUGCCCCCCCAACCCACCUAAAAAAAAAAAAAAUAUAUAUAUAGUCAGAAGUGCAGUUGCUUAUUCCCGUAAACAUUUUUCUACAAAUUUAAGAGACAAGGGAGGUGUCCAAGGGAUAAUAUGUAUAUGUAUAUAUGUUGAACGUAAUUUAUAAUGGAAGAAACUUCUCGGUCAAAACACAUGUAAUGUAAUCAAACUAAAACCAACUCCUCACGGUCAAAAAAUAACCAGUCCAGAUCGAAUUGGCCUACGAUUUCAUCAACAACAUGAAGCUCGAUCCGUCGUCUCAUUUGCUCUGCAUUUUCCAUCUCAUAACAAAAUUAUAUACCACCACCAGCGCUCUUGAAGAAUCGGAUUCUUGUGGACCGCAUAAUGAGAUCAACGAAGCCGAUCGAGUGGACCCGAUUUCACGAAUUAUUUUUUUAUGAAUCGUUCGUUUAUAGUAACAAGUUCAUGGUCAGCUGUUGACCUGUUCUAAUUAACGUUAUUAUUAGGGAGCUCAAAUGUGUUUCAAUAGAGAUAUACGAGGAAUUAUUCUAAUGUUCGGAAAAUAUGAGGCAUUGAGGAGUUGAUAUGAUGAAUCUAAGGAUCGUACAGUGAACAAAAAUCGAAGUUGGCACACAGAAAUUGUUUAAGCUCAACAACCAACCACCGGUUAGAAACCCAACCAAACCGCUGGUUUGGACGAAAUUUCCUUACUAACUUACUAAUAUAUUACUAUAAUGCAAGAAUUAAUGUACAUAUGUAUUUAUUUUGUACAAAAGACACGGUCUUCACUUGUAAUCUUGUCUGUGUCUGUGUGAAGGGCGAGAAAAGAAAGAAAGAAACAAAUAUUUCUUAAUUUUCUCCAAGUCCGGAAAGUCUGAAGUCCGCUCACGUGCCCCCAACAUGACCUUCUCGUUCUCAUUUUUCAUGCAAAAGCCCCCUAUAAAUACCCCUCCAAAUCUUCUCUACGUUCACAAAACCAUCGUUCCUAGCUAAUCAUCCUAUCCUAGACAUUAUAUACUAAGCCUUUGAAUACAUACACACCCCAAAACUCCCUUCACUUUCUAGUCUCGAGCUAGCGCCUUCCCACCAUUUCGUUCCCUGGUAGCAAUGGCCAUCUUCUCCAAAAUUGGAAUCGUAGGGGCUGGAAUAAGCGGCAUAGCUGCUGCCAAACAGCUCCGAAAAUACGAUCCAAGUAUUGGAAUACUUGCACUCUUAUGCUACCCAUUUUGGGGUGGUGGAACUCAUCAAAUUCAGCUCCAAGGUGGUGGAAAUCAGGUUUGUUGGUAAUCAUGCCAAUGAUCCUGAUGAUCAGGUUAACUCUAACGGCUAUGGAAAUUUGCUCAAUGGCCAGCCCGUCUGGGAGGUUGCUGUCCAGACUAGCGAAUCUGACACAGUUGAGGUUGUUUUCCUUACACUGCUCACAAAUCAUCUUCAUCAAACCACAGGAAAAAAAAGAAAAAACCUGAUUUUUUUAAAUUUAAAUCUCACACUAACGUUUUAUUUCAUCAUUCAGAAUAUAAGCUUCAUCUGUUGAUUCAUCGUGAUUUCUAAGGUUAUUUUUGAAAUUUUAUAACUAUAUAGAUCUGGUUAUUUGGACUUCUAACAGGAAAAUAACCAACUAGAGAUCUUUUUCUUCUUCUUUUUUUUUGUGUGUGCCUCAUUCUUUCAUCUAGAUGGCGUAAGUGAUAUUAUUGCCACAGAACUGUUUAGUACCAAUAAUUGUACGUUUGAAAGAGAUGCAGCACGAACUGGAAUAUGUCUUGCUGGACCAUUUUUUUUCCUCAAAUUGUGAUAAACAAGAAGGUUAUAUAUUACGUACACUCUGUAUAAUAUAUUGGAUCACCUGAUAAAUCAAAAAAAAAUUCCUGGGGAAGCAUUACAUAAAGAGCUUGCAUGGCUACGGUUUCCAAAGGAUGCUAAGGGCUUCUAUUUCUCUUUAUAAAGAAUGAAAAAAAAAAAAAACAUUUUCGAAACUAAUCCUACUAUUGUCUGGUUAGUUCUAAUCAUUCUCUCUUGAUCAGCUCUUUUUAUUAACUUUAUCAAUGUAAUUACUUUCAGUGGUAUGCCUUUGAAUUGUUGGUGAUUUGCACUGGGAAAUACGGUGACGUCCCAAUAAUACCCCAGUUCCCACACAACAAGGGCCCUGAAGUGUUCAAAGGACAAGUCUUGCAUUCCCUUGAUUACUGCAAACUGGAUGAAGAAAACUCCGUGCAAUUACUCAAGGACAAAAAGGUUGUAGUAGUCGGGUACAAGAAAUCAGCUAUUGAUUUAGCUGUCGAGUGCGCAAAAGCAAACCAAGGUAUAUUUACAUUCCCCAUUCCUAAAAGGAAGAUAACAUAACUACGCUCACGGAUCAUGAUGCAAAAUAAAGAUGAACUAGUUUUAUACAUGAAUAGAGGACCCUAACUCGACUAUAUUCUUCUCAUGGUCAUGGAACUUCUGUUGCGAUCCUAAUCAUGCUUGGGUUUUUGGGCAUAUUCAAGUAGUUAACACGUUUGAGCAAGAUUUAUCAAUCUCCUAUACUGCUAAUGUUUUUCCACGUAGCUGAAAAUUUUGGGGUUGAAUCCAUUUUCUUCAAGCUGGUGAGUAAAAAGAAGAGGGACAUUUAGUUUAGUGGAUAUGAUGGGAAUCAACAAUAAAUAAUAAUAUUGAUGGAACUGGUUCCAAAGAUAAAACCUUUAUCCAUAGGAUUACAACGUACUUAUUCCAAAAAAAAAAAAAAAAAAAAAAAAAUGAAAGAACGAGUACACGUAAUGUUUAUAUUUACUGUGGGAAUAAUUGGUUCUAUAUUACGUCUUGCACACUCUUUUUGAGUUUGGGACAUACUAUUGACAAAAUCAGGUCAACUUUGAUCCCAAACAACAUAAUAAGUCACUCAUUGCAAGAAAACUUUUACAAGUCAUUGCUGGAUAUUGAAAAUGCUAAAUUUGGCGCUUUCUAUCUUUUGACUUCUUCUAGGGCCUGACGGACAACCAUGCACCAUUGUGGUCAGGACGUUACAUUGGACAAUUCCACAUUAUUCUAUCUGGGGUCUGCCAUUUUACUUGUUCUAUUCAACAAGGGCUUCUCAAUUCCUCCAUGAAAGACCAAACCAAGGGAUUCUCAGGAACAUCUUUUGCAAGCUAUUGUCUCCAGUGGUAAGUCUUAAAUUCUUUGUCUUCUUUCAAAGCUUAUUGCCAGGAUAUUAAUUAGUCAGUCUGAUCCAUAAUGAUUUCAACAGAGAAAUGCAAUGUCAAAGAUAAUCGAGUCUUAUUUGGUUUGGAGGCUUCCACUGGAGAAAUACGGAUUGAAACCUGAUCAUCCGUUUGUGGAGGACUACGGAUCCUGCCAAAUGGCUAUCUUGCCAGAGGAAUUGUUUGAGGAGGCAGAGAAGGGGAUGAUUGAUUUCAAAAAAGCAUCAAAGUGGUGCUUUUGGGAGGGAGGAGUUGAAUUUGAUGACAAUACCAAAUUGGAGGCUGAUGUUGUGCUUCUUGCUACCGGUUUUGAUGGCAAACGAAAGCUACGAAACAUCCUCCCUGAGCCUUUUCGCAGUCUGCUUGAAACUGAAGGCAUGAUGCCCUUAUACAGGUAUUGAACAAAUGCCGCCACUGCGACUUCACAAUCCACCAUAGAGACCUUAAUGCUUUGGGAAGUUGGCCACUACUGAUGGAAAUUUAUUUUACAUUAAUUGCAGGGGUACAAUCCAUCCACUGAUUCCCAAUAUGGCAUUUGUGGGUUAUAUUGAGAGCGUUUCAAACCUGCACACAGCUGAGAUUCGUUGCAAAUGGCUGUCUAGACUCGCAGACAAUUAUUUCAAGCUUCCAAGCGUGGGACAGAUGCUUGAACAAACACAGAAAGAGAUGGGGAUCAUGAGGAAGACCACCAGAUUUUACAAGAGAAGUUGCAUUUCCACUUUCAGCAUCAACCACACAGAUGAGAUCUGUGAAGAGAUGGGAUGGAAAUCAUGGAGGAAAAACAAUUGGCUCGCUGAGGCAUUCAGCCCUUAUUGCAGCCAAGAUUAUCAAGAGCAAAAGCACAUCGACUAAUAAAUAAGAUCUGGACGGUCCUAGACAUAUGGCAACUCUAUUUAUUGUUUUAUUAGUUCCUUUUACCACAUAAUAAAGAUUGCGAGGAGUCUAGGAGUACUAUAAACCUGACCAUAAGAGUCAAGAAGGUUGAUUUUAAAUGUAUCAGUAUACAAAUGAAGCUUAUUAAAAAUGAGAAUAACUUAUUUCUAUCUGCGAUCUUGUAAGGACAAUCAACGUUGCAUCAUUCUCUGCUUCAAAGGCAAUGAGAUCAAUUACUUUUCUGUAUGCAAAUUAAGGAAAGAUGACAGUUUGACAGGUACCAAACAUUCUAAAAUAGCAGAUAGUUGCAAUAAAUUGAAAAUCGCUAUAAUUCAAUGGCUAUAACAUAGAGCAACCAAGCAAUGCGCAUCAGCAAAGUUCUCAAUCACUUGCAUAUGAAGUUAAAUUCAAGUUUGUCUACAGAUGUAAUACAGAUGUAAUACAGAAUUUCCUUUACAAAAUCAAAUUCCCAGAAGAAUGGCAUUCAUACAUAACCACGUUCCUUUGCAGGGAAAGAACAAAAGAGGCAUAAAUUUCAAAAUUCUGAAAUGCUCAGGCACUUUGAAGAAACUUCAAGGUCUCAUCGAUGUGCUUUUCAGGCUGGAAUUGGUUAUUGUAAAUGAGUUGAACCACUCCAUUCUUGUCAAGAACAUAAGUUUGUCUACCAGGCAAUGUACCAAACAGGUCAGCUGGAACUCCCCAAUCUUUCCUGACCUUAUUACCCUCAUCGCUUAGAAGGGUAAAUGGAAGCCUGUAUUUCUUGGCAAAGGCCUAAUUGAGCAGAUACAGUUCUCAUAAAGACAAGAAAAUGGAUAUAUCCCCAAGCUUGUAUGACAAUAGGUCAACAAAUUCAAUGUUGAGAACAAAAACUCAUAACAGCAAUCUUGUGUAACGUCUAUGCAGGCAAUUUUAGAAAGUUUCGGACAUAACAAGAUGAAAUUGGAAAGAGAAUAGUGAAACACGCUAGUAGCAAACAAAGACAUGAAAAAAUUUGGAAUUUUCAUGACUUUUGAAGAUCUCCUAAAUGUGAUGCAUAAUAAUUUAAAUGAUAUAAUUUAAAUGAUCUUUAUCUGGUUAGAAUAGUUUCUUUCUGAGUAUAUUAGACAUUACCCUAUUUUUUCGAACAAAAAAUAAGGUUCACAACCAACUGGAAACGUCUUUGAUACCUUGUGUGAUGACGGGUCAUCUCCACUAAUUCCUAUAACCUCAGCUCCUGCUUUCUUGAAUUUUUCAUACGAGUCUCUGAAGGCACAGGCCUGCAGCAGCAUGAGCAAAAUAUAGUUUAAGAGUCAUGGUUAAUCUUGUAUGGCCAAUCUAACUAUUUUUAUGGCAACUUAUGCGCCCCAAGGCAUCCCUCCUGUUUACAGAUCUGUACAACUUGGAAGUUUCAACAGAGAAGGGAAAAGAACAUCUCAACAAGGAAUAGAUGCUCUUCUAAGUCCCGAGCAAAUUCAUUAGUUUUGUUUCAGGCCUCCAGUGGAUUAAUAUCUGACCAGAAUGGGCAAUUACACAAGGAUUGUACCAAACUAUGACGGCGCUACUAGGGUAACUUCAUUAACUUCAUGGUAAUUGUUAGGUCUGCCACAUUUCGGAACAAGUACACCUCUCAUUCGUCUAAUGCACAUCUCCAAUUUCCAAUUAGGCAUGAAACGUUGAGCAGCUUCAAAAGGAGAAAAACCAAAACAAAACUAGGUAUCAUCACAAGAAUAUCCUAAUUAUCCUAAUGGCAUGUCUUUGUUCCUAACAACUAAUCAAACUUAGUACUGGAAAAAUGUUAAAAAUAAUUUGCAGCAAUGUCAAAUAGCUGACAUUAAGUGUGGAGAAUCUUCAAUUCUAAUACAAGCGAUACUCGGCUUAAAAUUGAAAAUUGUACUAAAACUUUCAACAACGUAAUUCGCGUAGCUCAAUUGUGCAAUCAGUAAAAAAUUGAUGCACGAAUAUUUCUCGUAAGAAAUGAUAAUGUGUAUUAUUACCUGCUUAGUGCAACCAGGGGUCUCAUCAGCAGGGUAGAAAUAAACAACGACAGGCUUUCCCUUGAACUUGGAUAAGCUCACAGUCUUACCGUCUUGAUCUUUCAAUGAAAAUGAUGGAGCCACUGACCCCUUUGACACCUUUAAGAAAGUUAAAGCAGUAGCAAUUACAAAUUAUCCCACAUUUAAAAAAAAAUGCAGCAAUGAGAUACGGAAAGUGUAAUGUACCUUAGCAAGAAUGGAGCUUUUCUUAAAAGAAGAAGGGACUGCAAAAUUGGAUGAAUGGGAGAGCUUGACCCCACAAAACUGGGACUGGAAUGAUUUGGGAAGAUUAGGAAGCUUUUGAGACAAAAGGGUUUUAGGCGUUUGAGCAUGUAGUAAAGAAGGAAGACUGUGUUUCGCAGUUGGUAGGGGGAUUGAAGCCAUCUCUCCAAAAUGGAACUAUCGGGAAAAGGGAUUAAUUUGGUUUCGUGAUUAAACUCAAAAUGCAAGAGUCGCUUUUGUUUUGAGAAAGCCGAACAGAUAAGGGGGAAGUGAUUGAGAACUGGAACCUAUGGCAGUUGAUAAUGUGCUUUGGCUGCUGAGUGGGUUGGUUUUUUGCGUGGAGGAUUGCUGACCUCAACGUACGAUCAACAAUACAGUCGAAACCAGCAAACCAGGACGGCAUCUAGUUUUGGGUUAAUUUCAUUUUGGUCCUCUGAAAUGGUCUAAAACCUUAAUUUGAUCUCUCAAAUUGAGAAAUGUCUCAAUUUAUAAUCGCGGAAGCUUCGUUAAAUCUAAGAGUUCAAUUUUCUUUUAGGACAGCUUUUCCAAUUUCGAAGACCAAAGCAUAAAAUUUAAGUUACUCAAGGUUUUUGCAUUUUAGACAAAAAUUCUUUGAUUAGCAAGAAAACGCAAAGUAAAAAAAAAAUUUUUGAACAAAGAGUUUACAUGUUGUUCAGAAAAAAAUGGAAAAAAAAAUACAAGGAAUGAGAAUAUUUUCUUCUAAUUGUUCCUUUACAACUACUACAUAUGUGAGAAAGAGAGCGAAGAGAUCCGAUUCAAUGAUUUUAAAGUUUUUAAUUAAUUUAAUAGUAAAUUACUUGGAUAAAAUUAAUAUAUGAAAAAAGAAAAUAAACAUUUAAAGAAAAACGAUCGAUUUUGACCAUUUCGACCGGUUCUUGAUUGAAUUUGACCAAUUUCAUUUGACUUUUUGGGUUAAAUAUAGAAUCGAACUGUAGUUAUAUCCGGUUCACGAUUUAAUUGCAGUUCAGGCAGAAAAUGAUACAGUAGAUCUUUCUAUGACGACUAUUUGCAAGAAACUGGCUAUUUCACGUUUGAGAAGCAAAACAUGUAGGCGUUACCGUUGCAAGGUACCAAUAACUCCGGAGUUAAGGACAGACCGUUAAAACUACGAGGUAGGAGUUUGCUGACAACUUCAGCCUCCCACGUCCCAUAAAUUCUUUGCUCUCAUCUUUCGUUUGCACUCUUUUUCGAGAAUUAAUCCCUAAUGGUUCUAAAUUUCAUCACAAGAAAAUAUUGAUUGGGAUAAAAGAAUAAUAGCCAAUAAUAGAGAAAUUCAAGACUAACAAUCCUGCUGAAAACAUCCGAAAUGGUGAGCAUCACGCGAGAGAGCAAAUUGGAAAACAUCUUCUUGUAAUAUGUGGAAAUUGUUGGGAUAUCAAGUGUGAAUCAAUAUCCCACAUCGGAAAGAGAUGAGUAGAAUGAGGAACAUACAAGUGGGAAUAAUCCAUAGACCUAAUGCCUUAAGGUUUUGGGUUGGAUGUGGUGUCAUACCCAUGGUUGUGGUUCCUAUUCUCGCUCAUGGUUAAAUUCUCCCAAAGUUUGGCUCUUUCAGAGCCCAACAAGUGGCAUUAGAGCCGAUGGUUCGGUUGGGCAUUGACUCCAGGAUAAAAAGUCAAUGGGAGUGAUAAGGCGUGGUUUGGAUAAGAGCGGGGAAAAAAAAAGAAUCAUGUAGACCUGCAGUGAGGCAAGGGCAUGUGGGCUCUUGAGCAAGAAUCAUACACUCCAGAUUGAAGUGGGCUUGAUGGAGUGGAUGGACUAGGGAGAGAGGUCCGAUGUGGAAGAGAUUCAUAAUUGAGGGGGAGAUUGUUGGGAUAUCAAGUGUGAAUCAAUAUCCCACAUCGGAAAGAGAUGAGUAGAAUGAGGAACAUAUAAGUGGCAAUGAUCCAUAGACCCAAUAUCUUAAGGUUUUGGGUUGGAUAUGGUGUCAAACCCAUGGUUGUGAUUCCCAUUCUAACUCAUGGUUAAAUUCUCCCAGAGUUUGGCUCUCGCAGAGCCCAACAGAAAUCCCUUACACGGACUACCCAUGAUGUCAAUGAUUACAUGCGAACACUUUGAGUUCACCAACCAAAUCUCUAUAUAUAUAUAUGUGUGUGUGUGUGUUAUGUAAUUCAAAUUUGACGACCUCCAGCACAAAGUCUCUAAGACAAAAAAAAAAAAAUAAUAGACAAGACGGAAGGUAAAAGUGCUCCCGUUGUCCCCAACCAUCAUCCCCUGCCUACAAAAAAAAAAAAAAAAAAAGAGAAAAAUGGGCCAAAAAAAGAAGAAAAUAAAAGAAGGAAAAAAAGAAACAACAAAGGAAAUGGCUGGUGCCGAGCUAAAUGUAGGGUGUCAAUUGGGUUUUGGAUUUUGGACUCAAAUCAAAAUGCUCAAAUUCAGCCACACUAUUAUAUGAAUUUUGGGUUCAAAUCGAUCUUGGCCAUACUUAUAAUUAAAUACAUAUUUAUAUGUAAUAUAUAUUUUAUAAUUAUGAAUUACUAUAAAUGUAUAUAUAAAUUAUUAAAAUUUUGCGUCAUAAUAUAUAUAAUUGUAAAUUAUAGAUAUUAUUAUAUAUUGUAUAUAUAAUUAUAUUCAUAUAUAGGUUGGGUCUUAAUUGGGUCGGAGCUCGAUAUGAUCCAAUUUUGGCUCACAUUUAAUUGAGACUGGUCUAAAUUCUGCUCGAUCUAAUUCAAAUUUAGGUUCAAUAAACUUGUUUUGGAUCAAACGAAUUGGAUUUAGACUGAUCCAACUGCAUUAAUAACUUUAAUUGAAUGUAUUCAAAGCAAGGCGGGGUUGACCUCCUCAUUCAAAUUCCAUUUUUUUUUUCUUAAUGUCUUUCGUAACUCCAUCAAACUUCCCCCCACCACUCUCUCCCCCCUCCCAAAAAAAAAAAAAAAAAAAAAACCUAAGACCUGCAGAGAGAGGUCUCUAAGCGUGAGGGACACAAAAACUCAUUUAAAAGAAUGUAAGGGGGUACUGUGCAAUCCCCCCCCCGCCCCCCCAACCCCAAACAAAAAAAAAAUCCUGACCGGAAAACCCUAUAACCCAAGUCCCGCCACAAUGGGAAGAAGCGAACGAAAUUGAGAAAGAACUUGGCAGAUAGUUGACCAAAAUCGGGAUGGAGGGGUUCCAGAAAUCUGUUCGUACCGCCAUGUCUCAAUCAAAAGACAGCUCAGACGACCUCGCCACCGCUCUUUCUUCCACCUUCGAGAAAGCUAAAGCCUCCUUCAACAACUUCUCUGCUGCUGCCACUACUGCCACUCCGUCCAAUUCCAUCCUAGCUGAUCCCCCUCAGCUCUUGCUCACCAGACAGUCCGGGUACGCCAAUUACCCUCGAACCCUUCUUUCUUUUUUCCAUUUUCCAUUCAUUUUCUGAUUUUUUUAAUUAUAAUGUCAUGUAUUGUUUUCGCCACCAGUCUCUUACCUCGCUAGAAGCAAAUUUAUAUCCAAAUCCAAACGAUUAAGAGAUAUAACGAUUAUAACAUAUUUUCACCGAGCGAUAACCCAUUUAUUAGUAAGAUACACAAUAGCAAUCUAAAGCAUAAAAGCCAACGCAUUUGCGUUUCAAAUAAUUUUUGUAUGACAAACAAUACUCUAGACCGUUUUUGAGAAGUACAUUUGGAUUUGGGUCCUUUUUCUGCGAAAUGAUUUUUUCUGAUAAGUUAUUCAAUUACCUUUUUAUGCGUCACAGGCAUGUUUAUCUAAAAAUUACUGCAUUAAUAGUUUCUUAGAAACUCUGUACAAGAUAUUGUGCAUGCAACUUACCCUUUCGGAUGCCUAUAUGAUAUAGGGGAUUUUCCACAAGUGAUGUAUGUUAUACUGUUAUGUUGGGUCUAAUUUAGAAUGCUUCGGGGGCUAUUUGCAGAUUGUUGCAUUUCUACAUAAUAGAUGAAGACGGUCUCCUGGGAUUCAAUUGUCCACUUCUUUACUUGCAUUGGUCGACCAUUACCUCCAACUACUGAUUAGUAUUUCGUGUCAUGCACUCCAUUCCUCUGUCUAGUGCAAGAGAAGUGGGCAUGGUUGUGGGUGUGGGUUUUGUGGGGAAAAUGCCAUGGAUUUAGUAGUGCUCUUAGGGGUUUUUGACUUUGAUGCUGUUAUUAGCCAGUGUUCAGGUCAAAGAAACUCAUCCACCCUGAAUACAUGUGAUGAUGUGUUUGUCUAAUGAAAUCAAGUGCCAAUUAAAAGUCUUUCCCACAGAAAUCUCUAAUUAAAGAUAAGAUGCGCAUCUUAUAUGACUAUGUGACUGUCAAACCUUUAUAAUUUUAUUGAUUUUUUUUCAUUCAUGAUUAGUUUUUGACGGAGCUCUUUCGACCUGCUUAUCUCUUGAUGCAGAAAGGUAGUGUCACUGUUGACUUGCUCAAAGCUUUGUGCCGUUUUCUUUGUUGCUGGAGUAUUUGUUGGCUACACCCUCAAGCGGCGUGUCCGGCGCUGGGCAUCCAAACUUCUUAGGGGGUUGAAAGAUGAAUGAAUCCAUAGUGCAUAAUGACAAGAAUUUUGAGCUUACCAUUGCUACAUAUGGCACAAGAUUGUAGUUACUAACAAAGGGCAAUUGAGGUACAAGAAGUUUUGCAUAUUCCACAAAGAAUGAAGCUGUUGGGGCUAUUGGAUUUUCUCCCUUGAUAGAAGUUACAUGUUUACUUUUACAUACCUUUGCCCAUGCUCUGUUACUAAUAUGAGUUGGCCGUACAAAAUUCCAAGUGACUCAAGAGUCUGUUUUUCUGUACUUCUAUAUAUUAAAAAAUUUUCACAUAAUGGUUCAUUUAUUCUGCAGACCUCAGCGUGCUCAACUUUGUAAUAUUUCGUCUUCCAAUGCUUUAUCAACUCUUUUGUUUAAAUAGUAGCUUUGUACCUUUGUUAUCACAUAAGGUGUAGUGCUUUAUAAACAUGUGAAGAGGAUUUUGCCAGAUAUCAUCUUUAAAUUGAUCCUGCAGCCUUCUUGUUUAAGCAAGGGUUUUUGGAGUACAUGAAAAAAGAAAUUAAGGAGGAGAAGGGAAUGAAAACCUGCUCCACAUUAAUUUUAAGCACUUGCUGUGGAGGCAACUCAGGAUCCCAUCUUAGGUGAGUUCCUGUCAAUUUCUUAUUUUGUAAGUUGAUGAUGUUUGUCUGACCAGGUGAAAAUUACUUCUCUAUCAAAAAUCUAUUUCCUCUUCUUGUAUUUGUAAAUGAAAGAGGAGAUUAUCUCUGAAAUAUGGCUUGUCAGAUAGCAAUUGAUAUCAAGAGAUAUGCCAUCCAUUAUUCAAGUACACAGAAGCAUCAAAAUUUUCUUCUUCCUUCUGGAAACUCUAAGAAAAUUUGACUACUCUAACUGUAUGCUGUGUAUUUACAUUUUUCCAUGUAAUUUGUAUAAUACUCCGUCUUGUUUAAUUUGUAUAAUUACAGAAAGGGUAAAACUUCUUCAUGUGCUUGACUGAACUUUCUCUGCUUCAAAAAUACUCCUUGUGGAACUCAAACCGUGUCGAUGUCUUGUAAGUUAACUCAUGUGAUAGAUUUUUCAGCUCCUUGGCCAGGACAGGCAUCCCACAGUAGAACACUCCUGCAAAGUGAUACGGCCUUUUUCUUCAGCAAAUAUGAUAUGCUUACUUCAUAAUAUUAGUUGCAAAAAACCUCUCAUGGUAUGUCCAUAAAUAAUCUUUCAAUCCCAUCUUGCUCUUAAAUGAGGAAGUAUAUCUGGCAUUUUAGGUUUACCACCUAGUAUAGGUUAUUGUAUGCAGCUGGUGGUUGAAUUAUAUAGGACUAACUUCAAGAAACACAUGGUGUGUUCCUAGAUCUCUAUAAAUUUGUUUAAAAACAAUAAUAGAUAUUCCAACAUUCGUAAACUUUUCUUUAGGAUUAAAUGUUAUCUCUUUCAGUCAUUGCUCUAAGUUCCUGGUUUUUGGAAAUAUUUUGAGGAUAUUAUCUGGUUAUUGUUGCAAUGACCUACUGAAGUGUAGCUUAGCCAUUUGAUGGUAUUGAAAGGGAACGACUGUUUUUGUCAACCUAUGAUCCUGAUCAGCAUGCAGCUUGUAAAUGAUGACAGAAUGCAUAUAAGUUGUUAGUUCUGGAUUUCUUAGUUUCUUUACCUACUGUAGAAUAUGGAUGCUUCAUGGCUAUUCUUUUGAACACUUCUCUCCAAUUUGGUCGUGCAAAAUGUGUCCUUACCUGCAAAAAUUUUGGAACAAAUUUCUUCAGUUUUGGAACUAAAUUGUGUUAAACACUGAUGUGCCUUCUACCGUAACUAGAUGCUAUUGCUUGAAAAGACCUUGGUUACAUUAGGUUGCUUAUGUAAUACUAGUAUAGUAUCUGUGUCGUACUUUGGUGCCAGAGAGGAUGUCCACCCCAUGUUUGGCAUGGUUAAGUGCUUGGAUCAUGGUGAUGAGAGUUGACCUCGCGUCACCCUCUUCAUAAACACUGGUAAGAUAAUUAUGCAUCUCAAUCUGUCCCUGUUUCAGCAUAAGAGUCAGCAAGUCUAUCAGGAUUUUAAUUAUAAUAUGUGAAAUUAUAACUGCAUUCACAGAUUUCCUUUUAGAAUUAGAUCUGCUUUACUUUAUGAUCCAUCUCUGCAACUUCAUGCAUUACUCCUUUAAACCACUCGAAGGAUCCAGGCUCCCUUGUAACCCAAUAGAAGUGUGCACUUUUAGCUCUCUGUGGUUUCUUCUUUGCGCUUGAUGUUGUGCUGGAAGAGCCAAUACUAGUCAUACUCUCAUCUGAAGUGCUGGUUUCUGUUGUUGAAUCCUAUCCAGAGUGAGAGAAUAGAUACCAUAAGUUUUAGGAAUUUAUCAUCAUUGGUUAGAGAGAGAGAGAGAGCUCUGCAGGUUCAUCUGUACCCCAUGAUCUUCCGUUUUUGUGUUGUUGAGUAGAUCCCUGAGAAUACUUAUAAAAGGUGUGGCUCCAAUUCCUAAUCCAACCAAAAGUAACACAUCAUAGUUCUGGUAAUCCUGUGCUGGAGCGCCAUAUGGUCCGUCAACAAGCAGUCGUGGUAAACUGUAUCAACAAUUCAUGUUAUAUCAACCUUCCCAUAGUUAAUUAUAAUGAAAAUGGACUUUGAUUCUGUUAUUCGCUUCAGGUAAGUUACCCAUUUUUGUCUAUAUUCCCUAGUUCUCCAAACUUGGCUCGACCAAUGGCUGUUGAUGAAGCAUUAACGUCUGUAAACACUCGCUUUAGUUCUAGCGUCCAGUCUCCAACCGUACGAAUAUGAAGGCUGAGGUUGUCAUCCCCAGGAGCUGAAGUUAUUGAAAAUGGAUGCCUGGACAAAUGUCAAUGUACAUGCUUAAUGCUUUGAGUGGUCGUACACAUUCCUCUAAGAAAGAAUGCACAAACUUACCAUUCAAAUGGGGAGAUUGUUGGGCACUUCAAGAAUAUAUACUGCCCGCUUUUGUAUUUGAAUCCAUUGGGUUUUGAAAUGAUCAAGCUGAAAACAUCUCCGGGGAGCACAGAAACCUGUAAAUGCCAAGGUCACCUUAACAGCAGCAGCUUGGAUGAGAAGGAAAUUCUCAGGUAGAUUUGUAGCCACCCAAGUGACCAAAUCAUCAUCAGCAAUGUGGUGCAUGCUGAUGUAAUACAAGGUAGGAUUUGGGGACUUGGGUAGGCGUGUGUGGGUCCACCCAAGAAUUUGACAGAAAGGAAAACUACUACUGUUGUCCGAGAGAGUUACCUUCAGGAUUUUAACUGCAUAAUGUCCUGACCGACACGUUCUCAGGCUUCUUUCUGCUACAUAGAGCAAGAGGGGAACAGAAAUGUACAUCCAUGUCUGCGACAUUUUAGAAUUCAUUAUGCAAUUAAAAUUUUGAAUUGACACGAUGAGUUUUUCAAAGUCCAUUCGCGUGUUGAAUGUUCUCACCGAUUUCUGGUACCAUUUGUGGACGAGGAACAGGAAGGAUCCGUGUAUCAGAAACAAUAUGUAGACCAGAGCUAGAAGAUGAUGAGAAUACCAGAAUGCAUUGAAUCCCGUCAAUCUGUUAAAUGGAAAUGGCAGCUUCACCACAUUCUUCCGGAAGAGUCGCGUGGCUAGGGUGAAUGCUAUUGUCAUCAAAAUCACCAUGCCGAUUCCAGACAACCCUACCACUCCGGUCAAAAGGCUUUUGUAGGUGGGUUUUACGUUAUUGAAAUCUGCAGCUAUAACUGCAAACUUUUCGGGGGGUGAGUUAACAAGGCGGGGGAAAUCACAAACCAUGUGGUUCCCUGCAUGGAUCACGACUCCAAUAGCUAUGGCGCCCGCUAUUAUCUGCAGAUUAAAAAUAAUGUAGUUGAGAAAAAAAAAAAAAAAUCGUUCUCUGCAUCUUUUCAACUGUUACAUUAGAAUUUACGGUUGCGCAUGCAUGAACUUAUCCAUCACAAAAAGACUCUGGACUCGAGCACAAAUUUAGCGGAAGAGUAUUUAUGUCUCACCUGAUGGAAAUUAAGGUUGUCAUCGAAGGGAAUGAAUAGCCUUGCUCUUGUAGAUCUAAGCCAGGUCAAGAUAUUGCGACACACCGGCAAGAGAAUGAGAGCCAUGUUGAGCUUCAGAGUCUCUGCAGCCCCUUUGGCAGUUGUCAAGCAGUAACCCAUUACUUGAAAUGCUGCCUUUCGCCUGUACUGCAAGAACUUCCAUGUAAACAGUCCGGCCAUGGCCAUCAGCCACAGCAGCAAGAUCCAACCCCUUUGCCAGUUCUCCAGUAAGAGGCAUUUCAGCGCGCAUCUUAGCCUCCGCACAGCAUCUUUGGGCCGAAAGUUGCCUAAAUUCUGACUCCAUCCUACACUUGCUUGGCUCAGAGGCCUGCUGUAGUUCAUGUAUGCGUCCCUUUGUAGAAGCAGUGUUUCCAAUUGCCACAACUGAGCGACGAAAAAAAAACAAGGGGAAUUUUCUCCCUUCUAUGUCUUUCCAAACAAGAUUUCUUUGUCUAAACCUUUUGGACAUGCCUUCGGCCUUUAUUUGAUAGUUAUUCUUUCUUUCUUCUUUUUUUUUUUUUUGGGGUGCAAGUGCAAUAAAUAGAUAAAAUACGAGUUAAUGCGAACCGAAAUGAAAUUGUUAAGUGAAAAUUUUGAAUUUUGAGUUACUGUCAAAGGCAGCCAAGGACUGACAAAUGUAUAUAUUUUUUUCUGAGUUUGUAGCUUCAUUUUUUGCAAAAAAAUUGUAUGGCUUUGUAGUGGGCAACGAUGGCUAUGGACACGGAAGCACACUGUAAAAUUAACAAAAGAUUAGACAACUCAUGUCACUGGUGUUGUUAGAGACGGCCGGCCAAUUCAGCUGUCUUUUCAUUUAUCUUUAAGACUUUGGGGCUGAGGGCCAAGGUUUGUUUAUGUAUCGUCAUUUGGGAAAAAAACAAAAAAGAGAGAAAAAAUCUAGCUGAGCUGUUUAGCAUCAAGAUUGAUGAUGGAUCUUCUUCUUUCACUACUAUUUAAGUACGUGUACAUGUCGAAAUGGUUUAAACAGGGAUCUUGUUUGGACAAGACAAUUAGGGGAGGCAAUCCCGAUAAUUGAAAGGGUGAGAUACGAGAAACCCGACAAAAGAAUUAGAGGUAGCUGUUUAAUUUAAUUAAUACCUCAAUGUAACCGAGAUUUUCUGGGUCUAAUUCUUCCAUUAUUAAAUCAGCAUACUCUUCGGCACGUUCUUUCAAUGUGGACAACUUAUUCGCAGAAGCACUCAGCAUUAUUAGCUGUUUUUUUCCAAUAUAACCACCAAAAAAAAAAAAAAUCAGAUAGAGAUUAGGCUUAUCUUAUGCUUAUCCCAAGGUCAAACCAAAAAUUAAAAUAUAAAAAAAAAGUAAAAGAAAAAUGAGUUGCCUUGCCUGAGAGAUACAUAUUCCUACCAACUACUACUUGUGUCUGGUAUGCAUCUCUUUCCCUUGAUUCGGAACUUUCUUUGGGGUAUAUCGCUGCACAUAUCUCACUUCAAACUCUUUUUCCUUGCAGUAUCUAGUUGAUCUUGCUGGAAGUGAACGUGCUUCUCAAACAAAUGCAGAUGGUACAAGGUUCAAGGAAGGGAGCCAUAUUAAUAGAAGCCUGCUGACUUUGACAACUGUAAUUAGAAAGCUAAGGUAGCAGCUCAGGGAUAGGAAAUACUGGUAGUUUAGCCUUUUGAUUUGAAAGUUCUCUGUAUGAUCUUGUUGGUUAGCUGAUAAGAGUUUUUCAAACAUAUCAAGCUAUUUCUCUUGCUGAUAUGAUGAGUCUAGGCAUUCUUUUAUGCUGAUUUUAGAAUCAUAGAGCUAGAUAAGUACAAAGGCAACAAAUGAAUAUAAUCUUUAUUUUGCUAUGUGCAGUGGUGGCAAGAGGAUUGGUCACAUCCCAUACAGGGAUUCAAAACUCACAAGAAUAUUACAGUCUUCAGUUGGGGGAAAUGCACGAACAGCAAUAAUUUGUACAUGAGUCCUGCUCUGGGUCAUGUGGAGCAAUCACGGAAUACACUCUCCUUUGCGACAAGUGCAAAAGAAGUUACAAAUAAUGCACAUGUGAAUCUGGUAUGUUAGCAAAAAAUUUUGGUUUAAAUGAUUCACCACUGUGUUGCAUAUUAUGACGUUGUUUGUUUGUCAAAUAUGGUCAAAAGUUUGUAAAACUUCCACUAAAAGAAUGACUUGUUACUAAACAGAAUUUCAUGUUUAACCAAUUGCUUACAAAAGGAACAUUUUUCAAUUUUGACGAGGCAGUAUUAUCAAAAUUGUCCCAACUUCUUGUGGAAUCUAAUUCUACUCCGGAUGGAACCUUGAAUUUGAAUAACUGAUCACAUGGAUUUCACUGUGUAUUUCUAUCAUUUUUUCCAGCAGGAUCUAACCAUGCCAGCUCAAGUUUAUUUUGAUCAAUGAAAUGAAGUAGAAAUAAGUAGGUUCUUCUAUCUUCAAAAACUGAAUUCUUAUAACACGAACUGAAAGUGCAACUUCCAAUGAAAAUAUUAAAUAGAUAAAUGAACUUUCAGCUUUACCAUGUUAGAUAUCUAAUUGAGUGGGAAUAUUUACCCUAAGGACUGAGUUUGACUUAUUUACUUUGUUAAUUGACUCUUGAGUUUGGUUUGAUUGGCUGCAAAGGAAAUGCAGAUGGCCACACUCUUAUGAACUAAUAUAUUACACUAGAAAACUUGGGGAUGAAUUAGUUCAGUUGACAAACUGAAAUAUCUUGAAAAGUCACAGCUAUUCUGGUAUUAUGCCUUCUGUAUAUCAAUAUCAUUUCAUGGAUAUUCUCUUUCAUCUUUGCACUAUUCUAGUACACUAUUGGAUACUCUCUUCUGUAUAUCAAUACCUUUGUACUAUUCUCUUUCAUGGAUAUCAAUAUCCUUUCAUGGAUAUUCUUGUUCAUCUUUGCACUAUUCUAGUACACUAUUGGAAAGUUGGGGACGAUUAGUCCAUUUGCUAAACUGAAAUAUCUUGAAAAUUCACGGACCAUUCUAGCAUUAUGCCUUCUGUAAAUGAAGAUUCUUUCAUGCAUACUCUCUUUAUCUUGCUGAGUAGAAGGAUUGUUUGCACUGCUGGGAAGCGUGGCAUAUUUAUUUGGUUCAAGCACAAUGAGCCAUCAAUAUGAUAAAAGUCCUUAGUUUGAAAUUUAUUUCCACUUUUCUAGGUUGUUGCAGAAAAACAAUUAUUGAAGCAUUUGAAGAAGGAGGUGGCAAGACUUGAAGCAGAGCUCCGAAGUCCUGAACCAUGUGGCUCCUCGUCUUUAAGGUCCUUACUAAUUGAGAAGGAAAUGAAAAUCCAGCAGGUAGACUACAAAGAGCUCUUUGGGUAGAUGUUAAUGCUAAUGUGCAGUAAACCAAGACACUUUCAGAUGGUUUUUGGUCAAAUUAUUGUUUCACUUCUGUUUCUCAGAUUGAUUGCAUGACACCCAAUGUUAGUGGUGCAUUUAGGAAUGUGCUAUAUACAUACACUUGAAUGAAGGCACAAGUUUUAAUAGCAAAAGUUUUAAAUGCAGAUGGAGAUAGAAAUGAAUGAGCUGAAACGCCAAAGGGACAUUGCAGAAUCCCAGCUUGAAUUAGAAAGAAAAGCACACAAGGAACCAAAGGGAUCAAAUCAGCACGGUCCGUCUCGUCGUGUAGUUAAAUGUCUUUCUUAUACUUCUGAGAACGAGUCAGUUUCUGGAGGGCCUCUUCCAAAAAUCCAGCCCAGGAACUUAACUGGAAGGCAAUCACUGGUUAGACAGUCAGCUACUUCUUCAUCCAUGCUGGUGCAUGAGAUUCGAAAAAUUGAGAUGAGCCAGAGGCAGCUUGGUGAGGAAGCGAACCGUGCACUUGAUUUACUUCACAAGGAGGUUGCUUCUCACAGAAUUGGUAGUCAAGAUGCUAAUGAAGCUCUGGCAAAGCUGCUUGUAGAAAUUAAGGAGAUGCAGGCUAUCGGUUUAGUUCCCGAAACUAUUGAGAUUAAAGACAAAGGUAGCUUGAAAGAAGAGAUUGCCCGAUUGAACACUCAGGAGACUAAUAUUGCAUCUCUAGAAGAAAAGCUUGAGAAUGUUCAGAGAUCCCUAGAUAAAUUAGUGACGUGUUUUCCAAGUGGAAAGGGGACUCCUGAUUUGAGGACUUCAGCCAAAAAGAAAAAAGGUCUUCCAUUUACACUGAGCAAUUCACCUAACAUGCCAAACAUGAUAAGAUCUCCAUGCUCACCUGUGGAACCAGGGAUUGAAAAUAGAGCCCCAGAGGCUAACAAUCUUUCAUCUGGUAGUGAUGGCUUCUACCUUCGAGAGAGCACUCCUCGUAGAAAUCACGAAGCUAACAAUAUCUCAUCAGCAGAGACUACCCCUGCACCAAAGCAUUCAACCUCUGUUGGUGUGAAGAAAAUGGAAAAGAUGUUCAAGAAAGCGACUGAGGAGCACAUCCGGAGUAUACGAACUUACGUCACAGGGCUUAAAGAACGUGUCGCAAAGCUGCAAUACCAGAAACAGCUUCUGGUUUGCCAGGUAAGAUUUAUUAACUUCAGGCUGUUCUUCUUCUCUUUUGGUUAAAUGAGGUUCUUAUUUAUAUGAACUUAAGAGCGGCGGAAAAUGACUCAACUGGUAUGAGAACAUGUUGAACCAUUCAACUUCCCAUUUCUUGUUUAUACAUAAACAUGGAUAUAUUAGGAUAAAGCUGGUAAUGAUAAAAGUACUUGAGUUUGAAAUGGUCUGCCAUGAAAUUUUAUUGUAUCAUAAUGUUGUAUGGGCUUGAGAAAAAAGCAAGCCUUUAAUAGCUGCGGGCACGUGGUGUAUUUUGUUUUUCAGUUGUUCUUUGAACAAAUGUUUGGUACCAUUUUAAUAUCAUUGGCAGCAGCAUCUGCCAUAAGUAUUAGUAUCUGAGCUUUGGAAUCUGAAUCAUUUUUCUCCGCUCCCAGUCUCUUUCUUUUGGGUAUUGCAUUCUUCACUGAAUGAGUUUCUUAUCUUUCUAUGGUCACUUUUUACCAUAUUUGUAUUAGGUGUUAGAGCUGGAGGCAAAUGAAGCUGCAUCUGAUGGACCCGAUAAUAUUGAAGAAUCUAGCAUCUCAUGGCAAUCAAUGUUUGAAGAACGAAGGAAGCAAAUUGUCAUGUUGUGGCAUUUAUGCCAUGUGUCAAUCAUACACCGCACUCAAUUUUAUUUGCUGUUUAAAGGGGAUCCUUCAGAUCAGAUAUAUAUGGAAGUUGAACUUAGAAGGUUGACAUGGUUGGAGCAGCAUUUGGCAGAUCUUGGUAAUGCAAGUCCAGCACUUUUAGGUGAUGAUCCUGCAAGCUUUGUGUCAUCAAGGUAUGUUAGAAGCGUUUCAGAUUGACUACUAUACAUGCGGGCAUGCAAGUGGUGUAGUUUUAUACCUUUUCUAGUUGAUUUUUUCUUGUCUAAGUGCUCUAUUACUUGCUUUGAAAUGCAGCAUCAAGGCCCUUAAGCAAGAGAGGGAAUAUCUAGCAAAGAGGGUGAGUACAAAGCUGACUCCAGAAGAAAGGGAAAUGCUAUACUUGAAAUGGAACAUCCCACCAGAAGGGAAAGGCAAAACAAAGAGGAGGCUGCAACUUGUAAAUAAACUGUGGAUGGACCCUCUGAAUAUGCAACAUAUAAAGGAAAGUGCUGAAAUUGUUGCAAAACUCGUGGGGUUCUGCGAAACUGGUGAGCAUGUCUCCAAGGAGAUGUUUGAGCUCAAUUUUGUCUCCCCUUGUGACAAAAAGACUUGGAUCGGUUGGAACUUGAUAUCCAAUCUCUUGCACUUGUAAUCACCAACCUGUUAUUAGUGCUUCGAAUUCCACUCAAGUUUCUGAGAUCAUAGCUCUGACCAACCGUUUGUAUAGAAUGUCUGCCUGUCUAUCUGUCUGUAUGGUCUUAACUCCAGCUUUUGUAGCGGUAACAGUUCAAAAUAGAUGAAUGAAGAAAGCCCGUUUCCAGAACAGAAACGAGUGCUUGAAAAAUGCCCGUUUUUCUUCUUUUCUUGGGCUCAAGUGUCUGUUUUUUGUGGAAUGAUCAUCACAUAGUUGAGCCUUCAAGUGACUUUACUCCCAAGUACGGGAUAGCUCCAGAUGUUGUUUGGACUCUGGACUAAAGAGUUCCUUGACAGCGCAAAGGCGUGAAGAUGAUGUGCUGCUUUGCCUGGUUAAACCAGUAAAAAAAACCAUGACCUGAAAAGAGGCGCAUCUCCUUUCAAAUGAGGGACAAUAAUGUCUACUGGAAUAAAAAAGGGGGAAGAAAAAAAAAAUAUAUAUAUAUAUAUAGUUGUCCCACUCAUAAAAAAUGUGAGCUAUAAGACAUGGUUAAACAAUUAAGAUUCAAAAACUCGUUUGAAGGUGUCAUUUGUUCAUAAACUUGGAAUGUGUGUAAUUAUAAAAUUAGAUGUUUAAUCGAUUAAUCAAUUAUUGAUCAUACAACUCACUGAUAAAGGGUAAACCAAAACUAAUCUUAUCUAUAAUAAUUUACUACUAAUCUUUUUUCAGUACUGGAAUAUAUUCAAUAUUCAUCCUCCUUUUUUUUUGUUUGUUUUGUAGAGAAAAAGAAAGUAAAAAAAAAAAGAAAAGAAGAAGAGAGACGCAGUAUAUAUUGGAAAAAAGUGAAGGGCAAAUGAGUCUUUUCAGCAAGUUAAAUAUGUCCCCAGUGUUAUGUUAUCAGCAGCUGCCCUAAAACCUCUUGAACGCUACCCGCAGUGCAAACUUCGGACGUAAGAUUACCUGCUGAACUACGUCGUAUUAUACACCUCCUCCGACCAUCUUGAUAUUUCAUGGGAAGAGAAAUUAGCAGCGGCGGACAAAAAUCCUCCUCUUCGUCGUCGGCGGGGAUGUCGUACACGGUGGAGCAGCUCGUCGCCGUCAAUCCUUACAACCCUGACAUUCUCCCCGAUCUCGAAAACUUCGUCAAUGAGCAGGUUCUCCUUUUUUUCUUUUGUUUUCUGAUGAUGAUGAAUAAGGGAAAAAAAUUCUUAUCUUUAUUUAAUCCAAUAACUAAGGUUUAUUUUGAAUGUUGAAACUAUAAAAACAUGUAUUUUUAGGUAUCUUCCCAAACGUACAACUUGGAUGCUAACCUCUGCCUUCUCCGCCUCUAUCAGGUUAGCCUACCGCUGCAAUUGGUCUUUAAUAUUUGAUUUUUAUAUUGUAAUAAUGCUGAAGUGAUUUUAGAAUCAUGAAAAAUGAACUACUUUUAAUGUUAUUAAAAACGGUUUCUUUUUUGCGGAUUUUGUAGUUUGAGCCGGAGCGAAUGAGUACUCAGAUUGUUGCUCGCAUUUUGGUUAAGGUAAAAAAAAGUUAGAAAACUAUUAACCUUUUGUUUUAUUUCAAAUUUCAUAGUUUUGGUCAACUAAUCAUUUAUCUAAUAUCGUUGAACUUUGUAAUAAUGAACAGGCACUUAUGGCAAUGCCGGCUCCUGAUUUCAGCCUUUGUCUCUUCUUAAUUCCUGAGCGAGUGGUACCUUUUGAUAGACUUUAUCUUUUUUUUUUUUUUGGCACGUUCUUUUUCUUUUUGCAACUUUGUCGAGUUGGGAAAGAGAAUAUGGAAGCUGUUGUAAACAAUGUUAAUGUUGGUUUCUUUUAUUCUUUGGGUUUAUGAAAGUAGUCAUUCUCUUAUUGCUGUAUGAAGGAAUUGUGUUGAUUGAAGAAGGUCACGUGUCAAAAGUAAUCGGGAAAAGUUGAAGCUUUACAAUUAUGAGAAAGUCUUCCAAUUAAAUUUUAUUUCUGGUGUAUUUGCUUUUUUUGUUGUUCCAGCUAAAUAUUUGGUUUACAAGUUACUUUCAAGUCGGUUCUAGUUCUUCCUUUUGUGAGAUCUAGUGAGGCAAGUUAUCUCUAGCUCGUUUGUUCCAGUUCUCUUUGCUGUUAAUUUGCUCUGUAAUCUUUUAUUGUUGUAUUAUUCCAUUGAUACCUGGGUUGUCUACUUAUCAUGUGCAGCCAAGGCAUUUCCCAUCAUGUACAGGGAUUGUCCACUUAUUCAAAGUUCUAGUUGAAACUUGUUUCAAAAAUGGUUCAGUGAACAAUGAGAAAAUCGACUAGUAAGAAACAAAAAGAAUUAUAUCAGUGUUAAGGCCCUUAAACAUAAGAAGAUGCUUCAAUAAUUGUAAAGUUAGGAUGGUAGCAUCUUAUGUUGCUCCUCGUUUUGAAGUGGGACGGUUAGUCUUGAUGAUUGAAAUGAGAAGCUUUUGCUUGUAUCUCUGCGUGGUUGGAUGGAUGGUCCUGGGGUAUAUGUUGGGGUUAAGUGGGAGGGAAGGGGUUUAGGCUGAGUGGCUCCGUGCAGAUGAGUUUAAUUGGGACUUUCUUGCUUAACAAUGCAAACUAAUUUGGCUUCUAGGUGGACAAUUUCCACUUGAAACUGCUAGGUGCCAAUUUCGUGGGGAGGUUAGAAAAUCUCUAUUACGUGAUCUUGGCUUGGUAUGCUAGUAGCUAAGAUUGUUAUAUAAAUCUCCUGUAGCUGGCAGGCUUUGAACAGCCCUUUUAUUUAGGAAAUCGUGGCAUACGCCUUUUGCAGCACAUUUGUGGUCAAACUUUGUUGAAGAAAUUAGUAAUUGAAUAAAAUACUUGUCAUCGGAAUUAUUUCAGGCUCUUUAUGCAGGAGUCUAAACUAUGCAUGAGGUGGUUGCUGUUCUGGAAAUAGACUAUCUUUUUCUAAACAGUUUUAUUUGAUCAUCAACUCAUCUCAUCUGAAUUGGCAGCAAAUGGAGGAACAGUUCAAGACGUUAAUUGUGCUUUCGCACUAUUUGGAGGUACACUUUUACCUCAGACCCUGGCAUAUAUUUUUUAUUAAACAGAUUAUAGAUCAGAAUUUUGAUUCAUAUUCUGCUGCAGACUGCAAGAUUCCGUCAGUUCUGGGAUGAAGCUGCUAAGAGUCGGCAUUUGUUAGAAGUUGUGCCAGGUAUGUCAUAAUGUCUAUGUAAGUUGUAGCAUGUAAGUCUAUGGUUGGUGGUUUCAUUUAAUGAGUAUGCAAAGCAGUACAUGGUUACGAGUCUCAAACUGCUGGAAUCAUCUUAAUAAUCUGUCUUGCUGUUUUUCACAUUCUGUAUUCUGUUGCCUCUUCCCCAGCUUGCUUCUGGCUCUUAUAUUUUACUUCUGCAAUGUAAGCUUUUGGUUGUCUGUAUACUCCUGUUAAUGAGGACGCAACUGCAGGUUUUGAACAAGCAAUUCAAGCAUAUGCAAUUCAUGUCCUCUCCUUGACUUACCAAAAAGUUCCAAGGUCUGUCCUUGCUGAGGUAUGGUUCGCUUCUGAAAAUUGCUUUAUGAAUUUUCCAGUUGUUCUUUUAUUUCAGUAAUGUGACUGCAGAUUUUUGCAAGUUUUUCUUUGUAGAUGUUACACCAAAAAGAAUUACCUAGCUUAUGGCAUCUGGUGCUUAGAUAUUCCCUGAUCCCUGUUAAAGUUUGUCUUGGAUUCAAAUUCCACCACAUGCAUUAUUGCUUUUGCAUCGGUGGUAGAUUUGGUGUUUAAUCUUGUGUUUUAAAACUUCACUUGUUGUUUCGCAAUUCUGCUCUCUCUCUCUCUCUCUCUCUCUCUCUCUCUCAUGGACAUACAUUUCAUGCUUACACCAUAUGAAACGUUUUAUUUGAGUUUAAUCAUAAAAUACUCGUCUGUACUUUUGCCUUGGUAUCAUACAGGCCAUCAACAUAGAAGGUCUGUCUUUGACAAGUUUGUUGAGCACCAUACAGCAAACUCUGGUUGGGUUGUAGAGAAGGGCCAUGUUAAGAGCCCACUCAUUACACUUCCAAGCAAUGAGUUCAACCGUCCAGAGCUUAAGAAAAAUACUGCAGACGGUGUACCAUUCGAGCAUGUCGCCCGUAUCUUCCCCAUUCUUGGCUAAGUAUUACAGUUCAAUGGGAAGGAAAAUAUCUCAAAAAUGUUGUUUGUUCUAACGGAAUUCUGGUGAUUAAGAUGAAAUGAGUUGUAAAAACAGUUUUGCCCUAUAUUUUAGAUGCUUGAAUUCUUCUUUUGGAGAAAUUUUUAGUUGUUGCCACAUUUCAAACAUUGGUUAAUAAUCUUUAGGGUCUCUUUUUUAUAUUAGGUUUGACAUGUUUGCACUGAUAGAAUCUUAAAAUCCAGGACGACAUAGGCACGGCACCCCCAUUACAGAAUUAUACUUUCUAAUGUUCAAUUAUACUCUCUUGUUUUAAGUUCGAAUUACCCAUCGAUCACACUCUAUCCGAUAAUCUGAAUAGCUUAAAAGAAGAGAAUUAAUUUUUAUCAAACUAAAAUCAAUACAUUAUGUUAAAUCAUCACACUAUGUUGAAUUUUAAACUUAGAUAUAGUCAUAGAGAAAUUUAACAUGUUAUGAAGGAUAAAUUUAAUAAUUUUCCAAAAGAAGAUUUAAACAACUACCUCACAAUUUCCCAACAAACAGUUUUACAUAAAAUAUGGCAAAUAACAAUCUACAAGGCAAACAUGCAUGCCAACUAAAUACAAACUAAACUCACAAAUGUCUAAUUUUUUCUUACCCACUGCCAUCUUUAUUGAUAAAAGAUUGAUGCUAGUCUACCACACAGUACUCCUUGGGGUGUUCUCAGUUGUAAGUCAGCUGUGGAUCGCAAUCCAUAGCAUCGAGAAGCCUACAAGGUCAAUCCUUCACACUUUUGAUGGGGAUACAUUUCAACCCAGGCAGCCAAGGAGGCCGACUGAUCUGGCAACCCAAGCAAGUCGCUGAAAAGAAUUGAGCAGAAAGAGUCGCAUAGUGCCAUCCAAUAGAAUAUUGUUUUCGCUGGUUUAACGCUAGAAUGGUACCAAUCAUAACUAAAUUCUUCAGAUGCCUAUCAAACACACAUACGAGAAACAAAACCUUCACACAGACUAAGAAUGCCUACCUUUAGCAGUGUUUGGCCAAAAAGAUUUACCAUUAUUUUUUUGCCCGUCUUGAAAUUUCUUCACCUUGGCUGAUCUUUUCUUAUGCUCCUUCGGAACCGAAGUAAAAUUUUAAGUCGAAACCACAAAAUCAAAACAUAAACUGUCCUACCAAAAGUUUAUUUAAGAGCUUAUUCGCACGAUAAAUUUUGAUAGAUUCAAAAAUAAAUGGACAAAACAAAUCAAUGGCCUAAAACUGCAAGAGACAGGAGCUCCAAUGAGUUGGAUCAUAUUUACACCACUGCAACUAAGAACCGGAGGAUUAGUUGUUGAAGAAAAUAACUACAACGAAGUUGAUGAGAAAGAGCUCCAAAAGAAUCUUUAAAAUUGUUGAUGGCUAUUUACUCGGUGUACGCUAAUGUAUCAGGCUCCGACCGAAGUUUAGACGAUCGAAUUCAUUCUGCAAAUCAGACGCAUGGGCAGAGAGGAAUAAUUUCCAGAAGCUCGUCAAACAAAAGAAUGCAGGCACAACAGCUCUUUUACUCGUUUCUUCAACUCAUUUUAGACCUGCCACUGACACCUCAACUCUGCCCCCACAAACAGCUCUUCACCCACCCCCUCCAUUCUUCCCUUUCCUCUAUCAUAAACCCAGUGACCAGUGCCUCCCUCCAUUCUUCCCUUUCCUCUUAUCAUAAACCCCAGUGACCAGUGCCUCUUUUAAGUAUAUCUGCAAAAUGCAUACAUCCAUGCAUGAAAACUCAACAAGAACCUCAGUGACAGAGAGUUUCUCCAUACGUCACCCAAUGUACAAAACAAUCUGAAAAUUCCUCAUGAACCUCACUACCAUAGCUAUCAUCAUAGCACAACUCAGUUCCAGUCUGGUCCCUACCCUGCACAGAGAACAAAGUUUCCAUUAGAAAUCAAAGGUAAAGUAACCAUUUUCUAGAAUUUAUAUGCCAUUUAUUAUAAGAGUUGACAAAUUAGAGAGGUAUUGUUAAUAGAUGGCAACGUAUUUAGCACAGAUGAUUCUUUGAAUCAUUUGCAACAUUAGGAUGAUACUGAUCAUUGAGUCGAGUAGAAAACCUAAUUUAUUCAACCUGCAUAACACAACCGUUGAAAGAAUGUCUUUUCUAUUUCAAAUCUCAUCUCUGCAUCUUUAGAAGAUAUAUGUCUCGAAAAAGUUUUUCCAUAGGUCUACGAGAUAGCCAGAUGAAUCUUAAUUCUAAAAGAAGUUUUGACAUCAAUUUGUUCACUGAACAAAUUCCCGCCACCACCCUGGGAAAAAAGAAUAGAAGGGGUAGAGAAGGAAAAAUGAAUUUGUUAUGAAGCCAGCUGUGGCAGUAGUUCACAGUAAAUCCGCAUGUAGCAUAAGCAGUUUCACAAGCCCAUGACUGGCAACACAAUCCUUGUAUCUAGUGGAUCAAUUUUUAAAGUAGGGUACGUGCAGAUAAAGCAAUUGCAUUAUUAUCUAAUUGAGGUGUUUUGAUUAUAGUAACCAAGUUACACAUUUGAAAUCCUAUAAACUUUUUUGCAUUCACGUCUUGAAAUAAUUUUUUAGUUCAUUGAGCAAGCUAAUUGCAAAGAGAGCAACGAAUACCAACCUUCAUGCUAGAUCCGCACUCACUGAUUGCUGGGGUUGCUUCCCCUGCCAAAUCACUGACAACAUUAUCUGAUGAAAGUCCAGCAAUUGGAGAUGUAAGCAGUGACCUACAACCAUGGAAAUUCAGUGAGUCUCCCAACAAAGAGAACAAAAGAAGAAAAGAAUGAACUUCACAAUAGAAGGCAAUCCAAGUUUUGUUGGAGACUGAUGUGUCAUUUGCGUUGACAAAAUAAUUCAAUCUCGAGCCUUCAGCUUUUUCAAGACCCAUAAAACUCUCAAUUGGCAAAUGAAGAAAAACCAUUCAAUCAAAUUUGAUUUUUUUUUUGGGCAAUCUUACCAUGACAAUCAAAUAUGAGAAAGAUUAUAACAAAUAACAAUAGGAGUAAAUGAUGCAUGUCAACUUCUUCGUGUUGAUCAGUAGAAUUAGUGAAGUUGCUGGAAAAGCAUCAGAAGUAGUGACUUCAGAAAGUCAUUCAAUAUGAGGUUGGAGAAGACAAUAGAAUGGGGAUUUAAUAAGAUAUGCUGUGGUAAUGAAUGAUGUAUUUACCCUCCAGUAUUGAUUGUAUUAAGGCAAACUAGUUAAAAGCGUGAAAGAAGGCCAAAAAGGGAGGAUGGUCCAGCAAUCAAUCCUUAGGUGGAAGAUUCAUGAUUGGAAGUAGACAGCAGAAAAUUUCUACGACCAUAAUAAAAGAGGUAAGCUCUUCAGCGGAAUGGGAUAGAGUAACAAACUUAUUGAGUUCUUUAUAGCUACACAUUCAAAGAGAAACGACUAAUAAAUUCUAGGAGGUACAAACUGAAUACAUGAUAUAUAGACAGGAAGCUCGGCAAGUGAUAAACUGAGGAAGAGAAAAUGUCUAUGCAAGUUAGUCUCCUUGUUCUCGUUCAUUGUUGGUUACGUGAGGAUUGAUUCCUGUGAUGUAUAAGCAAUAUCUUCCUACCACAGGUAUGAAAAACAUAGAACAAUGAAGAUUUUCUGAUGUCUCAAGAAGUCUAUCAACUUUUCAGCACAUGCGAACUGACUCUUCCUCAAGAAGAGAAGGAUAGAUGAAUGUAGUAGUCAGUCUUGUUUGAGGAAAAGAAAAGAUGAGAAACCACAAGUUUCAAUGCAGAACUAUCAUUCUAGAAUUCUUAGGAGCUUCAAAUUUGGAACUGUGCUAUUAGGUGACCUAUGCCAUAAAUUUAUGUGCCAACUUUUAUACAACUCAAUUGUUCUACAAAUACAAGAGUUAACUUACACAUCUUGCCUCUUUGCAAUAACUAUGGGACAAUAUAGACUGUUCUCCACUGAAGUAAUAACUUAUUGCCUUGUAAGCAAAAUCAAAUUUUCAUGGAAAAAAAAAAAGAACAGUAACUAUUGUUAAUCUAUUCUUCAACAGCUUCAGCUAAGCCCGGCAAGGAUUAAUCAAAGAAAACUAACUACCAUGAUGGUGUAAUAUCACUUUAUCUUUUCUUGAUCCUUACUCCAGAAUAAACAACAUAAGCUUGAACAAAAGAGAGGUUCCAAGAAAUUCUGCAAACUAAAAGUUCAAAACAUAUUAAUCACUCUAAUAAUUUAUCUAUAUAUUAGCAAUGCAUCAAAAAUAGUCCUAAAAUCACCUCUCCAAUAUCUCUUCUUCACAUGAAUUUCCAGAGGAAGAUAGCCAAUCCAAAUCAACAAAAUUUGAACAGUCAUAAGAAUCUCCAUUUUCAUUUUCCUGACAUCUGUCUCUUGGCAAAUCUUCGAAAAGUUCCCUCACAGGCAUUGAGGGUGUAUACCUGCAAAAGAACACCCAAAGAAGACAGAUUGAAUCACAACUCCAAGCAAAUGUGGUGGAUAGAGAGGUGGCGGGAGGGGAGAGAGAGAGAGUGAGUUGAGGCAAAUGUGGUGGAUGAGACAUGCCAAAAUUCUUUUUGACAUGUGGAGUCACUAAAUCAAUAGGAAAAGAAGAACAUAUAAUAAUUCUGUCUUCUGUGGGGGCAACAAGAAAAAGAAAAAUUGAUCUAUUACUUGUGAAAAUAAGAGUACUCAUAAGCUACCAAUAUUCUGGAUAGCAGGCAAUGAAAUAUUGAAUAAAAGACCUGCCAUAUCUCAAAGUAAAUAGAAAACAAUGUCAAUAUUUGUAACAACACAACAACAAAGUUCAACACAGCCUUCGGCUCAUGAAAGAAUCCUUUUGGUCUCAAAAGAUGAUAAGAAAGACACAGGUUUAAAAAAUUACUGAAGUUUAGCAAACAAAGGUGCACCUCAAAUGUGAUAACUCGUUUUCACAAGUUGGUAUAUUGGGUGUUGACUCAGAGAGAAUAUUGCUCCCUCCUUCAGGUGUAUCAGGCAAAGAAUUAGAAAUAUCUUUGCUCAUGUUAGAGGUGGAUACAGGAGUGUGAGUUUCUCGAAGAAUGUUUCCAUCUGAUAAAGAUCUUUUAAACAGUGACCUGCAGACGCAAAAGAUGAGAUUAUAACCUAAAGUGUCGUUGAAGCAACCAAUCACAAAAAUGUACCCAAGGGAAGCUUGUGCGCAGAAAAAAGGCAUCACAUUCUUGGGCAUUAAGCAUUUAUAAUCCAUACAGCCAAGAGACAGUUGGAAUUCAAUGCAACAAUUUUCUUAUCUUUCAUAGAAUAAGUUGCAGUUCAAAAGUCCACAAUAAUCACAGCAGAAUAUGUCCCAAUAUGGUCAUACCUUCCAUUUUUAUCAAUAUUUGAUUGCCCAUUCCUACUUUCCCUGUAAAGCUGGUCAGAAUUCAGCUCCCAGACUUCAGGUUUGCCUGGUUGAGGCUGAAAAUGCCCUAAGAAUCUGCAAAAUACCAUAAUCUGAAAUGAAUGGGACUAGAAGUCGAAAUAGAAAAGACAUCACAAUGUGGUAUUUCAGAUAACUCUUUAACCUGCCUCCAACGAUCAUCAUCUCCUCCCACUCGGAUUUAACUCCAAGAAAGUGCAUACGAUAUAACUGACUAUUAAGAGGGGAAGACAAAAAUGGAAAGAAUCUAACAUGUAAAUGAAAUGGACUUACAGGCAUUUUGUUUUUCUGCAUCCAUGUAAGCAUUGCUGUAAUACCGUUGUAGAGUCCUGAAAAACUCUUGGGACUGGGUGGCUGCCUUCCAUUGACCUCUUCGCUGAGAGAAAAUCUACAUAAAACCAAGCAUUUCAAUGUACAGCUCAUAAAAAAACUAAUUACUCCUGAAAUCAUUACUCAAAAUCAGAAGAGAGAUUGAAAUGUGGACUUCUUCCUCCUAAAUGUAACAAAUAUACCAAAAAAAAAACACUAAGGAUACUGUGCCUGUGUGUUUAUUGGGCAAUAGUCCAAAGGGCAGAACUAUCACUGUUCUGUCCCAUAUGAUACAAUUAUCAAACUUCACAGCUAAAAAGAGAAAGGGUUUGAAAGCUCUUGUGACACAGUCCAUAACAUUCCGUCAUUGUAAUAACGGGUUGCUAUUGCUGGUUGUUUCUUCUUGAGUAGCAGGUAAAUGUGAAACAGCAAAAGUCUCAAGUCACCCUAGUAAUAAGUGAUCUCCAGUAGAACCACACAUCAUCCUACCUUAUUGUGAGCAGCUGAGCCACCAUAUUGAUGAGCAAGUGUAUCACCCAUUCUUUCGUAGAAGCCCAUCAAUUCAUCAGCCAAGGGAUCAUCAAGGUCUAUUUUUGUGGAAUUUAUUAUUCCCAGAGCUCGCAGUUGAUGUCCCAAAGCAGCCAAUCCGUAUGCAUAUUGUGCCACAUUAGUACGAUCCAAACAAUCUAUGCAGUUUGUCCUGAGCACUCCCUUUUGAAGAAUUGGCGGUUUACCAAAACCACCACCAUUAGCCACAUUGUUCCCGGUACAUAAUCUUCUGUCAAAUCUAUCUAAGUUCUCACUACCAUCUUCAUGGUGGUUGUCAUUUGACUCGUUUUCAAUUUCACACUGUACUGGCUGCUGCGUGUCACUAUCAACAGAACUCCUGCAUCAUGAGAGUUGUCAGCCGUUAGUACAUGAUCGUUAUGGGCAGAAAAAUUAAAUAAGUUACCUCGUAAUUUAACCAGAAAACAAACCAUGUUUAGUACUAGUUAUUAAUUGUCUAUGAACUCCCAAGUAAUGGCAAUAUCUAAAAGACAUAUUCUCCCCGACCAGAUGAUAACCUCAACUCUUCUAACACACAUUCUGACACGGAUGAGAAUAGAUGGCUGGAAUAUCUAUAUACUUUAGGAUUUGAAGCAAUUAUAGACAUUAGAAGUAUUAUCCUAAUCUCUAUAACAUCCAUAAGGGAAUCCUUCUUGACCAAGGGUUAUGAAUUACUAUCCCGGAUCAGAUACAUAAAAAGGUUCAAAACCAAUUUAAGUUGGCUAUCCAAGGGUUGAAUGUUGGACCAAGAUGAAAAAUGAUGAGACAAAACAUAGGCACUAUGAUACUCUAAAGAGGCAGAUAAAAACUUCAUCUUCAUCAGCUAAUCAUUACCUUAAUAGUACUUUCUCCUUCCCCUUUUAUUCGUUUUUCACUGUUUCUUUUUCGAGGGGUGUAGGUGUUAUAGAAGGUUAGAGACAGCAUACUUCAUGAGAAUAACGAAGCUCCAAUGGAGGGGGGAAAAAUGGAAGAAGUCAACAGCACAACCCAAUUUUACAUCUCCCAUCAGGUCCUACAACAGAUCUCCAGACUACAUGAAACUUCCCCUAAGUAUUUCAAAGUUUGUCCUGAUAUUUGUUCAAGAGAAUAUGUGCCAUUCAAUCUGACCAUUAACGCUGUUCAGACAUACUGACAAUGGUAUUUUUUUAAAAUUCCUAACAUUCCAUUUGAAGUCAAUAUUUACUUCCAAAGACCUGAGUCUAGACUUUUGGAUUUCAACAUUGAGAAACAUGGAUUAAUUAUCACCUACAAUAUGAUUUGACAUGGUCAGAAUGUCAAACGACAACAGCUGGGAUACGUAGAAUAAAGAUUACUGAAACAAAAUCUCCUGAUUUGACGACAAGUAAUUGUAUUUGCUAAAACUCUUCGUAUGUUAAUUGGCAUUCUAACUUCUACAUAAGAUACAAUACUUGGAAUGGAACUAACAGAGUGUCUUAAGUACUUCCCAUUACAAGAACUUAUUGUGCUUCAAGAGAUAUAAUCAAUCUGUAAAACUGAGAAAAUAUAAGACAAACAAUUAUCUUCUAGUCAGAUUAAGACUUUCUGCAAAUUUCCUACAAUGAAGUCCAAUGAGCUAUGACACCAGGAAGAGAAAAGUAGGCCUUAUAGCUGAGUUUACUGAUAAGACAAAACCGAACACCUAAACAUAAAAAGAGGUUGGGAAAACAAUGGAAACCAACAAAGACACCAGCAAACCUGGAAGAUGGAGGCGACUCUCCAAAUGAAAGAUGGCCAACAUAAAUCUUAAAAGAUAGGAUUAUGGACAACUACAAAGAAGCAACUAUGGUAUUCCAAACAAAAGUAAGAGCAGGGUAGAGAGCUAACUCACUCAAAAUAAGGCCAUUUCAAGCAUCCCUCAGUUGCUAAGGCUGGUGUUACUUGGCAGUAGAAGAAGCCUGUCAGUGUCAAUGCAUAUGUAGCCACUUUUCCCAGAAGGAGCAAAACAUUUGUAGCUUUGCUGGUGUAGGAAGGGAAAAUGAGAUUCCACACAAAUUUAGGUAAAAACAGACAACUAUAAAUGACAUAAGCAGAAAGUAAAGUACCUUCGAGAAUGCUUGUGCAAAUCCCAGUGAAGGAACUUGAGAUGAUUCUCCUCUGACAAAUCUUUAUUGAUAUAUUCAAUGGCAUUGGCAAACUCUGCACGAAGAAUCGAUUCUCGAGGCUUCUUCUCACUCGUCUGUUGAUUAUCAAAUCUAGUACACAUCAGUUUUUUGCUUGUUCUCAAAUCAGUAAGCUCUUCACAGUCAAGGAGUUACUUUAGGCAACCUAUCUAAAAUUAUUCUUUCCUUAUUUUGCUGAUCUUUUGUAUUUCAGUUAUACAAGAGUCUUCUUGCAAAUAACCUCUUUUACAUAAGAAAAUUAAACAUUCAUAAAGUUCGUUGAAAUCCAAAUAUAUGUAGACCUCUCACCUUAAUCAAAUUCAAGAUGAUUAUGGGAUGCCCAUAUCUACCGACCAGAUUUUCAAAAUGAAGUCUUGUAGCCUCGUACCUUUGGUCCUUUUUUGACACUGCAAUGACAUGAAAACAAAUUUCAGUUGGAAAGAAUCCUAAGAAUGACGGUAAAUGAAAUCCUAAUAAUGCAUGUCUGACAGGGAACAAAAAGAAGGGGGAACAGAUACUCUAAUUCAUAAACAUACAUAUGAUAUCAGGCUUAAGGUUCAAUCUUGAAGUUUCCUGUGACCAGAAAAGUGGGAUUGAUCCACGAUUUUGAACCACAGAACUAAUUUGAAUAGGGAUCCCCUCUGGAACAUUCUCAAAUACGAUCUGCUCAGUCUCAACAUCAUUUGCAACCCUGCCCCUUUCAUUCACACCACGUUUCAGAUAUCUGUAUCAAGGGAAAGUAGGAAAAAGCAUUACACACUGCCAAUUCAACCUUCUGACAAAAAAAAAAACCAUAUUGCUAUCUUCAGAAAGAGAAAAGCUGUACUAAUGGAAAAGAAAACCAUGUCUAUACUAUGUGUGAUAUUUGACCAUUAAAAAAAAGGGUAAACAAGACUCCCAAAAACCUAUAUUUAUGCCAAAUGAGGGUGCACAGCAGUAGUUAUAGUUGGCUGAUGUCCUUAAUACUUUUGGCUAUACAUAUAGUAAAUGUUUUAUUCCAAGUCAACCUGAACUAAUAAAUAGUAAACAAGUUAUAAUAUUGGUACAAGUAUUUGGUCACAGAAAGUACACGAGUCAGACAGCAUUAAUCCUUUGUAUUUUUUUCUAAUUAGAGUACAUGUAACACGACAACCCCAGCUCAGGAGCCACGCCUUUCUUUUUCCAUAAAAUAUCAAUACAUGAAUUGUUUCAUUAUUUGUUAUUUCCUAAGUUUUAUCAUUGCAUUCACUUACAAAAAGAAACGACAACAGUACCAAUGCAGCACUUGCAUUAUGGUGUACUCAUUUUUGUUGCCUCGAUCAUUGAAUUCUUACAACGUUCAUUUAAUCAAGCAGCAUUCUUCUUUCAAUUAACUUUAGCAGAUGCAGAGAACUUUCUAUCUAAGAAUGGCUCUAGCACAAUAAGCAGAAUAAGACAACAUGAUCAAAUGAAGAACAAAUGGAAGCGUCAUAGGACUGAUGACCUAACUACUUAGGGUUCUUUCUCAUAUAUAGUUAUCCUGCACCCUCUGACCACACUCAAUCUAUCUAUAUAUGUAAAAUUUGACAGCCCACUAAGAAAGCCCCUCUGGAGAGAUACAAUUACAAGAAAGCAAUUUGAUGCAAAAUGUUACAAUAUUCUUGGAAUUAUUUCAUCUUCAGCAAAUAUUAUAUCUGCAAAUACAUAAAUGUCUGAACAAGCAAGCAAACUGUGAUUGCACUUAAGAGUGUGCUUUUUUAUGACAUUCAUCUUACUAACAAGGCCAAAUCAGUAGGGCCUUCUGCUCCAUGUUUUCCAGGACCGCAUUAGAGAAGCGAGUCACCAAAGCCUCUCAUCAACAUAUUCACAACCAACACUAGAGAGCCUUAUAGAGUAUGGUGUUCUUUAAAAAAAAAAAAAUUAAAACUACAAUAACUUAUAGCCAACUAUUUGACCUGACUACUGAAACCUAGAAGCUUGUAUAGGGGCUUCCCAUCUUCCUCUAUAGAAGACACUACACCGCCCUUAUCAAUAGGAUCAAAAUGCACUCAUGCAAUAUUAGACAGUGAUAUUUGCUGAAUAAGCACUAUAAACCAUUAAAAUGGCACUCCUAGGUUGGAGGAAUAACUAAUAGGGGUUAAAUUGUGUGCUAACAGAAGCGUAGCACAAGGUUGCAUUAUAAAUGUGCGCCUUCCUCGUGUUUACUUAAGAUGAGCCAUUUUGCUUUCUAAGUUCAAAAGCCAGUUCACUGUGUUAUCCUUUGCUCCAUUUGUCUCCUUUUAGCUCAUCUUAAGCCCAAACAUGAAAAAGUCUAUGCAAAAUUGCCCAGUUAUUACUUUGUGAUACCAGCAUUUACUUUUCAAACUUGUUGGAUAAGUUUGUAAAUCUUAAACUUUACCCAAUAGAAAAUUACCUUCUUACAGCACUAGAGCAAAUCAAAGCAUAGAUAAUUGUGUCAUUUGAGUGUAGGAUAGUUAUACAAAAAAGUAAUUUUCAAACAAAUAAAUAGCGUGUGCAUUGUUCCAAUCUAUAUCAAACCUUGUCCCAGCAUAAUGACGAGAACGUCUUGCAAUAAGUGUCAGCCUAAAUUGCGCCCAGAUAUGGACAGCGUAGCCUGGAUCCACAAAGUAAAAAGUUGUAACAACGCAACGCAGAAAGUAUGCACAAAAAAGGAAAAAAAUUCAAAAUCAGAAUCAAUAAUGUUCAGCAGCUCAUAUACGAAACUAACAAUUAAAUGCAAUACAAAAUACUGAAUUCAGGAUCAGCUAAAACAAUCGUACAACAAGUGCUAACGGCAUAUCCCUGUUAUUCUACCUUCAGUUGCCAAAUACACCUUUUGCUAAAUCCAAGGAAAGGGUUUAAAUGGAGUAAGGAAACAGUUUGAUUAAGGUUUCUAAAAAUAUUGACAAGGAUAGGCCUUAAACAGAACCAAUAUAACUGACAAGAAAUACCAAAAAUAACAUCUAAGCCCCUGAUUAAAGUGCAGAAGUAUUUUUUAAAAAUAUUCAGUUCAUAAAUUUUUUCCUUUAUUUCGUAAUUUUUUUCUUUAUUUGGAGAAAAACUAGUGCACUAGGUCAACCCUGUUCUGGCACUAACUAAGCUCACCUGCUGGAAGAACCCAUAGACUAGUGCAACUGUCCAGAGAGUAUUCUGAAGGAUGUUCCUUAUUCCGCGAGUCAAAAACUCAUUCCACACAAACAUAGUCUCAUACAGGACAUUCCCUGUCUCGGCAUCACAGAUAUUCUUUUGUACACUCCUCAUAACAUGAUAUGAAUAACUGAAGAAGAAAUCCUUUGUAAGAUCAACCGUGCAGAGAAGCCUCUUGUAUCUAGAAAAGUCAAGGGGGGAAAAAGGAAAAUCAACUAUAUAAUUAGAAGAAAUUCCCAAAACAAAAAAAAAAUACAAGCAGUAAAAAGACUACAGAUAAGAACCAAUAAUAUAGUGGAUUUCAUACCCCUCCUCCAAUAACUUAUGUUUGAAAACUUGACAGGGGACAUUGCAGGAAAAUGAGAAUAUCAAAAUGUGGAUAACUGCCACACAUCCACAAGUGUAGUUCGAGAAACAUAAGCACGGAUGCAUGUGAUUCAAUUAUAUUUUUUUAAUGCUGGGAAAGAAACCACCCCAUGCCUUAGAUAGCAACUUGAUUAAAUUCUGCAUCACCACGACUACACCCGCAACAGAGGCCACCAAGGUUAUUUAGAUCUCUGGAGGGUAGUAGUCAUCACUUAGAUUACUUGCAGACAUGCAUUGGAGGUAAUGUAGAAAAUUUUAUUAUUUUAGAGCUUCACAGUUCAAAACAGUGGGCUAACCAAGAUGACAGUUUGCGGAAGAACAUGUCUAGUACCUAAAUCCAGAUGUUGAACUUAUUAUGUAGUCUUACAUCUAUGACAAUGACACAUCUGCUACUGAGUAAUGCUCCCCUUCCUGUAUUAAUAAAAGCUCUCCAGGUGUACUGUUAAAAACGUUUUUGCAUGUAGUUAAUGAAUAACCUGUUUUCAUUUCGAUAGUCAAUCAUCAUACUGGCUCGAACUGCAGAGUUCGGAAGCGGGAUUAUCUCACUCUUCGAGAUUGCGUAUACAUUGUGACCAGAUAUUGCACCAAUUUGCCUCCUUUUGGUUAUAACCAACAUGUAAUAGGGCCCCAAGAAUUUAAUAAAACCUGAGAUAGGGAACCAAGGUGAAUGCAAAAUAAUGACGAUCAAGCUUCCAACGGUGGAAUAACAGACUUAAAAAAUUUACACAUACCAACAAUUCCAUAACAAGUGGUGACAAAUCUAAGCCCUCCUGUAGACAUAUUUCCCUCAUGUAUCCUCCUCAAAAGGUCAGAACAUUCCCUUUCAGUGUACGUUGUAGAAUCUUCAAGUAUAUUUAGCUCAUAAGCUUCCAACCUGUUAAUUUUUAAUACUCUCCAGCAUGUUCGGCUCUUGUCCCUACCUAUCAUAUAAUAAUUCUGCAACAAAAAAUUUGACAAUGGUUUAGCUAAGAUUCAAGAGAAAAAAAAAAUUUAAGCAAAAGCUUAUUCAUAAGUUAAAAUUCACAAAUGCGCAUCUACAUUGAUCAGAUAUACAACAUGUGCCACUGAAAACGUCAAACAAUAAUGGCUAUAGUUUUGUCAUCUUUAGCACAAUGCCAUUAAUGAGAGUAAAACAAUGAGAGUAAAACAAGGGUUUUCGACUCAUGCUGAAAUAUAAGAUCUUUAUGCCCAAAAGAAGCACUUAAAACAAGACAAGUAUGUAGAUCUCUAACACGUGGAAAGAUUAAUUGCAAUAUUAAAUGCAGAAUAUGAAAUUGUUAGUUAAUGCAAUCCAUUUGCCACGUAACAACCUGAAAACUCAAUCUUAUCUAGAACUAUCCGAACACAUAAUAUGAAUUUGACUUUUAGUUACAAAUAAAUCCCCAUACUGCAGAAUUCUACUGAAGCUUAUAUGUACCAUUCACUUGGAAAUUCUUAUAUACACUGCAUCUGACACUGUCCAAACUGAUAAAAGAAAGUUCUUUCAGAACAAGUUGGAACAGCCAAUCAUGGAAAGCUAAAACGAAAGGCAAAGAAUAUCAAGCGAUCAACACAUGGAACAGAUAGAAUAAGCUAAACAAGAAUUAUUCGACUUGCACUGUACAUAAACUAGAACAGAAUGUGAUCUCUCAUAAAUCAAGCAAUCAACAGAAGCUCAAAGAUCUAACUUUGGACAACCUAUACGCAGUGCCAUCUAGAAACAAACUUAAAAAACCGGAGAGAGCAAAAAGAAGAUUAAGUAUAGAGAAGAGAAGGAAUGAUAUACCGAUCGAGUUUCGUAAAGGCGGAAUUUCUGCAUAAAGCCCUCAGGCAGAGGGUUAGGGCGACCAGGAUAGCACUCUCCUGCUGUCCCUGAUCAUUUUCUGUCUGGUGCUGAUCAUUUUCAGCAUAAGUAUGAUCAUUUUCGGAGUAAGAAGUAAGCUGCUGCGGCGGCGGCUGCUCAUUCUCCAGCUCUUCCGCCAUUGGAUAAAUAUUCCGUUAACAAAGAUCCAAAACACAGUAAAAUUAAAUCCCGAGCCUCUGGCUCGGGAAUCAAUCACUCCCGCAUUCAAAGCUCCAAAGUAUGUUUUAAGUCAACAAAAUCUCACCUCUCUUCCCCUUUACCCCUAAAUCCUCUCAUCACCCACACCGCCUUUAUCACACACGCCAUUCUCUCCUCUAAAUUUGAUCUAACACCAUUUGACUUCAAAACAAUAGCAUUUCAAAACCCUGAAAACAAUCAGAAAAAUCUAGCAACUGGAUAUAAUAAGAAAUUAACAGCUCCUGAUCUCUGGAUCAAAUAAGCGUCUAUUAAAAUGAAAUUGAUAAAAAGAAAAUGACUUGAACAAAUUUGAUUAGUGAAAUUGAGGAAUAGUUUGAGAGAAGAUCGAAGAAGCAAAAAUUUCAGGAGGUUCUAGAAUAGCUGGAAAUGUAAGAGAGAGAAAGAGAAAUAGGGAGAGAGAGAUAGCUGGAUGUGUUUGUAUAUUUCAUUAUUAUUUCUGCUGUAUGUAUAUAUUUUGUUUGUUGAUGAUGAUAAUUGAUAAUAAUGAUGACGACGACGACGAUGUAUUGUUCCUUACUGCUUCUCACAUAUAUUUUUAUUUUCUUUUCUCUUUUUUUUUUUCAGUUGAGAGAGAGAAAGGGCUCCAGCCUCCAGAGAUUUGCAAAAGGCCAAAAGGAGAUGAAACGAAAACCACAUCUUACUAUGGAACUUGUCGAACCAUACGUUAUAUUCGUACACCCCCAAUCAAAAUCAUAUUAAAUGAAGGGAGGAAAAAGUUGUGACUGUGUAUUUUCAUUCCGUUGAAUUAAUUGUACGUUGAUUUAGGGCUUGCAAAUCAUGUUAAAAAAAUUCUUUUUAUUACGCCGAUAAUCAUUAGAUAAGAAUUUAAAGAGGAUAUGUUGAUUUAGGGCCUGCAAAUCAUAUUUAAAAAAAAUUCCUUUUAUCAUGUCGAGGAUCAUUAAAUAUGAAUCCAAAAAUGAUACAUUGAUUUAGGGCUUACAAAUCAUACUAAAAGAAACCCUUUUUAUUACGUCGAGAAUCAUUAGAUAGGACCCAAAGACGAAAAGAGAGACAAAAGAUAUCCCAUUAAUGUAUAAACGAAGAGUUUUUGAGUAAGUAUUACACAAUCUCCAAGAUAAUUUUUCGGAAAAGAACCUCCUAAGAAUAUUUUGAUGACGAGAGCACUGAUAAAUUUUACUCAGUUGUAAAAUUUCUGUAAAAGAAUGCAUAGUGUAAGGAUAUGUUAAAUAAUAUAUUAAAAGAAUAUUCUAAAAAUUUUCUAUGAAACUUCACAAUUCAAAUGGAAAUUAGCUUGAUUUCAUUAUGUAAGGCACGACUGAGACCUGAGGACUAUUACUCACGAAUCAAUAAUGAGUUUUGAAGGUUGUCGUUAUUAUAGAAACAUUACCACAUAGACAGUGCUGCAUUAGAUCAUAAAUUAAUUAGGUUGAAUUUUUAUAUUUGUUGAAGAAGCGACGAGUAGGAUAUACUACUAGACAAGGAAUAAUAAAUUUGAAAAAUUCGGUAUUAUAAGAAAAAAAAAGAAAAAGAAAACACCGGCAGCUAAAGAAUUUUAGACGAACCAUUAAUUAGUUGCAAGCUUUAUACCUACUCAAUAAUGAAAUUUAGAGGAAUAAACGAUGAAAUCAUUGGCACAAUAAGUUGAUUGUUUAUAUUAUUGUUGGUUCUUUUUAUUUUAUGGCAUUGCAAAAAUUGGCAAAUUGAACUUAUUAUUUUAGCUAGUUGACUAACGCUAAAGAAUGUUGCUUUUCCAUUGGUUUAACUUAAUGGUCAAUCAACAUUAAACGUACAAGACAGUCCAAAAGUACAAUUUGGUAAAGAAAUGGUCACAGACAUAAUAGUUGUAUGAAUGAUUAAUACAAGCAAAGAAUCAUUAAUUAUUUAAUACUUCGAAACGUGUUUCUCAUUCUAAAUUGAUGAUUGACUUUUCCUCCAUAAAAAUUCUUCAUCGAACAAAAAUAUAUAUAUAUAUAUAUAUUUUUUUUUGCGUUUUCCUGAUUUUUUAAAUUAUCACAGUGUAAAAUCAAAGAGGAGUUACGCCUGCCUACUUCCGGCAAAAAAAAAUUAAGAAAAUUCAAAAUUUUAAAAACACCGACCACAGUGCAUAUUGCUACAUGUCGCAGAGUGAUUUAUUUGGCAAUGGCCUCUCUCUCUCUCUCUCUCUUUCUUUGCUUGAAUCCCGUGGAGGAUAUCCUUUUCAAUGAUUGAAAGAAUAUUUUUUUAGCAGCCCUAUUUUAGUAGAGAAGUGUUGAAUGAAAACAGAACCUUGAGCCCACGUCUGCAGAUGAGCAUUGUUUCAACUUCAGAUAAGAAAACAAAAGAAGAAGAUUGUGCUGCUGAUCAAAACGGGUAUUUUUCAGCUACAUUUCGCCUAGGGCUGAUAGGCCAAACUUUGCCUUUUUCUGGCUUUUUGACCUUUUUAUGUGUUCUUUUCUUCGCUAGUCCGGCCAACUCCAUUUUUUCUAUGUAUUAUGAUUGAUUGUGCUCUAUCUUGAUUAGCUUGGACACUUGGUAGCAUACAAUAGGCUCGAUAUAUAGAUCACUGACUAAAAAAUUAGCGCGUGGGUGGGUUAGACGCGAAAAUGGAAAGUCUGUCUUUCGACUUUGGGGUAACAAUUAGUCUACGACCUAAGACCUCUACCCACGUCCCCCACCAAAAAAAAAAAAAAAAAAAAAAGAGCGAAGGAUGGACCUAAGUCAAAUAGCGAAUUAUUUUCGAAAUCCGACAAUUCUUCGAAUGUGUCGCGAUUAGAUCCAAAUACUUCUUUUUCUGCUAUCCGUGAAAGAACCGGUUAGUCAGUGCUACGAGAAGAUAAGAUAGAUGUACCAGUUCUUCAUUUUUCUUGUUCAUUGCUUUCCAUCUUGUUAUUGUUGUUACGCGUCCCAAAACACUAGUUAAAUGGGCAAAAUACACUACUUUAUCCCUUAUAAUUUAGCAAUUUUUUUUUAUAUAAUCUCCUUAUAGUUUCAAAAGCUAUAUAUAAUCCGUUUAUAAUUUGAAUUAAAGUGUCAAAGUGAUGAAAAUGAUCAUUGAUAACGCGAACCCAUAAAAAUAUCAAAAUCACCGACCGUUGUUUAAAAAUUAAGAUGGUUCAAAUGAUCAAAUUAUAUAAAUAUAAUAUGCACGACACUCUAACUCCGUAUGAUUUUAUGUUUUAUCAGAUAACCCCUUUAUGAUUUUCAAAUAUAUACAUAAACCUCAUGGUUAAUAAAUAAUUUUAAACUUUAUACAGGGAUACUUUUGACAUUUUAAUUAAUGCCUUUAUGGAAUGCAAGUCCCGUCAUUUUGACACUUUAAUCCAUAAUAUGAGGAAUUAUGUAUAACUUUUAAAAUCAUACGAAGGUCAUGUGAAAAAAACGCUAAAUCAUAGGAAAGUAAAGUGUAUUUUACCCAAUUAAAUUAAAAUGAACCGUCACCCUAACAAAUACUACUACUAUUUGCCUUUCUCUUGAUGCACUUCAGUUUCUACACUUACUUUAGGGCAUAUGUACCUCAUAACCACGCAUGAAUGGAUCUUCAAACUAACUAAAGGGUUGAGUUGACUCCAUUUUCUCUAAUGAAUGUCAAGGUAGGGAGGGUCUUUCUUAGACACCUUUAAAUUAUUAGACUACGUAACUCUUGCUUGGAGCUUGGAUGAUAACUGUAUAGAUUUGGAGAGCCGUACAAGGAAUAAGAUGAAAGUUUAUCUUGAUAUAUUGUUCAGUCGGGGUAAUGUUAUUUAUAUUCCUUUUUUUUUUAGACUAUAUGAUAUAAUAAAUGAUGAUCAUUUAUUUCUAAAAUAAAUUUAUGAAACACAUAUAGUCAAGACAAUAAAGAGAAUUGCCAUACCCAAAAAAAAUCAAAGGUAGAUCAUUACAUGUGGAGAAAUAAACUUUGCCAACAUCCAUAAUCCACUUUUACUGUGUAAAAUCAGUAAAAUAUCCCAAUUUACCAGAAUUUAUAGGGUUAUCCAUCUAUUAUGUACGCCGAGUCCGAUUUUUAUUUUUUCCUAUUUAACUAAUAUCGUGUCGAUUUAUGCACAAUGGCAAGUCUUUUGGUAUAAUAUCUUUGACCUUUCACAACCAUCUAUGGCAAUGAAGCUGGUAUAGUUUCCAUUUUGCUUUUGCCAAUAGUCCUAAACCAAUUAAAGAGUUACUGCUAAGGAGAAUCCAUUGGAUUUUUUUGAAAGAAAGGGCAUUACGGUGAGUCAAUCCCAUUACUAUGUGAAGUUGUGAACAAAUCGCCAAGUGCAAAGUGCAAACUUGUCUCUUAGAAAAAGUCUUGAACGCUAUGCCCUGUUCAAUUUUGGACUCUGCCAAAUUGUCAAUCAAUUCAUCAGAAUUUGAGCUGCAUUGUUCUUGUUAAACUUCUUCUUAAGUUGGGAAUUGUGCAAUGACAAGUACGCUUGAUUUGAUCACAAGCACAUGUUAAAGUAAAGGCUAGUCCUAGGUAACCAAAAGUACUAGUAGCUGAGUGUUACUAUGUAUACUUCUGAUUCCUAAGGAGAAGACAAGGUGUGGGGUUACUGCAAUUGGGUUUCUGCAGAUUCUAGUUACUACAAUUGAACGAAAUGUAUGCUCCAAAAUAUCAAUCAUAUGUAGAUACUAGAAACUUAUAAAAACCCAUAUAACUACUGUUUCCCACAAUCAUUCCCCUUCAUUCAAUUUGCAAAUCAGAUUAACUACUCUCCGAAUCCCGUAAAUCCAAUUUAAAUUAACCUACUUUCCUUGAUUUUUUUUUUUCAGAGAAUAAGUGAAAGUCUUCGGAGCCUUUUACUUACGAUGUCUUUCAUCUAUCAUGCAACCCAAUCCUCUCCAAACCGACUUCCCAUGAUUAAUUGUACACAUAAUUUCAGUUUCAAGUAUUCCAUCAAAAGAUUUGCCGAGGUCUGGAUUGUCGAAGAAAUCACUAAUUAGCUAUCGUUUGCUUGUCGAAGGAACAGACUAGGCUGUACGGCCCCAAACAAGAGGAUGGCCCCUCCCAGAGAACUUUAGCAAAAUGUUCACGGAUCCUUUCUGUUGGAUGAAAAGAAUCUAAGCAAGCAUAUGCGUGGUCAUUGUGGUUGUCACGUAAGUCGUAGUUUGGAUCCUUCUCGUUGCCUCCACAAGUAAGAAAUCCUCUGUUACGCCCUGUUCCACAGCAAGCACCAACUCCUUCCUUAAAUCCUGCAAAAAAUAGCAAUCCAUAGAGCACACACUUUGUGUUACCAACCUUUUCUUUCUCAGGCAGGAUAGGGGACUAACUAGUUUCAAAUCUCAACGCUGAGCAAAGUUGGCAUAAUCACUGGGCUACGACCCUCGGCCUCAGAUAGCCAAUGGGACUGAGACCAAAAAUAAAAAAUCUCCGCUUUGUGGAUAAUGCGUGUGGUUGUAGAUGGUUAUUCAAGGAAAAUGAUAUCAGCACUCUUCAAAAAAUCACAAGCACUUGAUGAACUUAAGGAGUGCUUGAAAUUUUUUGAGUAGUGCUAACAUAAUUUCUCUUAUAUAAUUAGUCGAAUGGCGGAUACACUUGCCAUAUUUGGUGGGAUCAUUAAUCCUAUCAAGCAAUACUUGAAAUCCUUGAGCAGGAGUUCAAGAUUAGGAAGGAUAGUCUGUGGAGCAUUGUUAUGUGCAAAUGCUAGAGCAUUAGCAGUAGGGGUGAGCAAAAUUACUCACAACCCGAAAAUCCUUCAUAUCCAAUCCGAUUCGAAAAUUAGAAUAUUCAAUCCAUUAUUAUUUGAUCGGAUCAAAAAAGAGUCGGGUAUCCCCUUAGAGGUGGGGUGGGCUAGGAUUACAUAAUUAAAAAUUCGUAGAUACUCGACCCGCCUCCGCAUAUAUACAUAUAUAUAUUUGAUUUUUAUGCACUAUAAAAUAAUAUUUUUAAAACUAACUAAGUAAUUUCAUUGAACAAGUUGCAUUAUAAAUAUGAAAGACUAUAGUUUAUUUACAAGACUCAUUUGUAGAAGUCAUUAUCUUAUGUUUUAUAGAAAAGAGUUUAAUUAAUGUGGAACAUAUAUUUAAAAAAAAUAUGUUACUUAUGUCAAACUUUUAUUGAUUUUGAAUUCUUUAUAUAUAUAUUUUUUACUUUUUCUUGUAUUCUCUUUGAAUGCUUGUUUCUUGGUGGGAAACUUUUUUGAAAAAAUUUUAGAUGAAUAUGUAAAAUACAAAAUCAAAUUAGUACAAAUCAUAUAUUUUUUUUAAAAUUAAAUGAUAAGUGAGGUGGGGCGGAUACCUGUUGACCUGAUCCUAUCUCUCCGGGCAUCUUAUAAUCGAGUAUCCGUUGAUAUACGGAGACAAAGAUCAAAAAAUGACUGGCCUGUAAAAUGAAGGUUGGGUCAGUCAAAUAAGUACACAGGACGGAUUUCGGACCCGUGCCCAUUUAGCAUGUUCAAUACAACCAGCACAUCAUGGCCUUUUGGAUUGAGGGCUCUCAGGGCUGGGCCGGCUGGCAAGCAACCCAAAGGGCGAAAGCUCAAAUGGCAAACUUUUAGGCUUCUUUCUCGUACAGGUCCUCAUCAAUUGAAUAAAGCACGUAAAGUAUUUGAUAUGUCAUAAAUCAGCAAUAAAAGCAAUGCCUAAAAGCUUACUUGAAUUCUGCCAUGAUUUCUCCUGCUUCUGCAAUUCCUAACUUCUCUUUCAAUGACAACUGCACCUUAUGAAAGUACUCUAAUUGUGUCUCGGAAAUCAAUGAUAUGUGAUUCAAGCAUUCCUCUAUUCAGAGGCUCAUAUAGAGGUACAAUCAAGUCGAGUCGAGUUCGAGUAGCACCAUACUCGAGUUCGAACUCGAUCAGAAUCAGUGCUACUCGAGCUCGAACGAGUAAAUAAAUUUGGACUCGAGCUCGACUCGAUAAAAUAAAAUUAAAUUUGAACUCAACUCGUUUGAACUCGAGUAAAUAUCAAACCCGAUCUACUCGACUUCGAGCUCGAGUUUUGAAAUAAAUCUAUAAAUUUUUUCUCAAAACAUAUAAUAUAAAAACUCGAUUAAACUCGUCGAGCACCCGAGUAUUUAUUUUUGGAGCUCGAACUCAACUUGUUGAAUAUAACGAGUAGCUCGAGCUCGAGCUCGAGCUCGAACUCGAUUUGAUCGAACUCGAGCCAAGCUUUUUACCAAGCUGCUCGUAAACAACUCACGAGCGGCUUGACUUGAUUGCACCCUAGGCUAAUAGUCCACGAAAUCAAUUUCAAACAAGCUAUUCAUUGGCGAAAGCUAUAGGCAGAGAAUAAUGAUAUAGAAACCACAAUAUUUCUUCAGCUUAUGCCUAAUUUAGUUAUUUCCGGGGCAAAUUUAGUUAAUCUCUAAGCAUCUAAAGCGUUGUUCAGUGCCUUCGAUUUUUCCUUCACUGAUUUGGUUGUUUGUCGUUGUAUGUAAGAAAAUAAUGGGUUGACAAACUUUUAAUUUAUCCUUCCACCCUAAUCAUAAGAAAUGUGCUGAAAGACGCAAUAGUACCAGUAGUAUUUACUUUGGGAAAUCUCAAACUUUGGUAAUCUUGUGGACAAAAAUUAAUAUCUGUUGCUGUCGAUCUUAUUCAUUACGUCAAUAUUUCUUUCUUGUGGCAGCUACUUUUCCUCUCUAUAUAAUUCUUCCAUUACCUGUGAACCAAAAAAACCUUAAACCUGUUUGAUUGAUAUGAAACAUCGGGCCUGGCUCAGCCUCUCAUAUUGCUGAUGAUAGACAAUAUUGCGACAGCGCCAGCCUGUGACAGAAACCGUUAAAUACGAAUACUAGGCUGAGCUAACCGCAGCCAGGGCCAGUGAAUAAAUUUGCAGAAAAUCCCUGACCGCUAAAUUACUUUAUAUUCCAACCCUCGCGUACGCUUCACAAGCCAAAUUCAGCUCAAGAGAAUUUAUCCAAUUUAUGCUGCAGCUCCUCCGGGGACCAGGCACGGUUGAAGUGCGGUCGGAGAAUACAUAGGUUAAAGUUUAAUUAGCUGUACAUAAUCGUUUGCUAAUUGUUUUGGAAACUAUUUUUGGUAAACAUCUUCGUAGGUCGGCUGAUGAUCAUAAGCUUUUUUUUUUAAAUUUAUUAGAAGAGCAAGUAUCUGGGAGGUCUGUAUACUAUGCUAUUUAUCAAGGGUCAACUGUUCUGGGGUCAGCGCAUAAUUGGCAUAUCUAGUAGAGCAUGCUUCUGAAGGGAAUGAAAUUUGUUCUGAAAUACUAGGCUGCUGAGGAUGGAAAUGAAGUUAGUGAACAAAUGAAUUUUGCAUGUCUUUCCUAUAGCAUCCUGUUACUUCCUAUCGCUUGAUCCUGUUUUAGUUAAUAUAGCAUGUCAAGAGAUAGGUUUUUCAUUGUGUACUAGUUUCUGUUCAUGUUUCAUGUGUGUGCGUUCUACCUUUCAUUUGUCCUGUUUUCAAUUGACAUUGCAAAUACAUCUUUGUCUCCGUUCAUGGCUGUCUGAACUCUUAUAUAAUCCAGAAAGUCACAGUGAAGAAACCUAUGUCCAUUUAUAAUCUGUCUACCAAUGGAUGGCCAAGCCCCAAAGGUUAAACAUUAACAAGACCAAUGAAAUGUUCCUUCCUGGAAGGAUGUCCUGUAUUUUUAACAGGGAACAAACUCCAGUCUUUGGUGCUGAAUCAUGUAUAAGAGGAAUAACACUUCUUUUAGUGAUAACACAAACUUCUUACUUAUUUGCCAUGAAAAAUUAACUUCUCCUGUAUCGUACUUCCCUCAAAAGAUUUGCUGAGUUUCUGGAUUGUCGACAACAUCAGCAAUAGUUUGCUUGUUGAAGAACAGACUUCCAGGUUGUAUGGCCCCACAGAAGGGACAGCCCAUCCCACAGAGCUUUUGCAAAUUGUUCAUGGAUCCUUUCUGUUGGAUGAAAAGAAUCGAACCAAACAUAGUCACUGGGGUUGUCACACAACUCAUAGUUUGGAUCCUUCUUUGUGCCUCCACAAGUGAAAAUCCCUCUAUAAGGUCCUGCACCACAACAAGCACUCUCUCCUUCCUUGAAUCCUGCAAGAAUUAAUAGUAAAUUGAAAACAACAUGACUAUACCGAGCAGGGACGUUGAAAAGUUCAAGUCGCAAUCUUGACUGUGUGAAUCAGGUUGGUAGCUUGGCUCAGUUAAAGAACCCUUGGCUCAGUUAAAAGGAUUUUACUCAUACCUGGUAGAUGAUAAUUUAAUUAGCAGAAUGGAUGCUUAACUUACCAUACUUUGUGGGAUCAUUAAUCCUAUCAAGAGCCAAUCAUAGAAAUUGGAGUUGCAGUAUUUGAAACCCUUGGCAGGAGGAGUUCAAGAUUAGGGAGGACAGCCUGUAGAGCAUUGCUAUGUGCAAAUGCUAGAGCACUAGCUUGUUCAAAACAACCAGCAUCGUGGCCUUUAGGAUUGAGAACUCGGAGGGCUGGCAAGCAACCCAAAGGGCAUAAGCUCAGAAAUCCAAAUUUUCUGGCUCCGCGAUCAUACAGCUCCUAAAUUGAAUAAAGCACGUGUUUAGUAUAUCAUCAGGAUAAGCAUAACAGAAGAGAAAGGAAGGAAGAAAGCUUACUUGAAUUCCCUGCGUCAGAUUACCAAUAACCAUCCUGACAUAAUCCUCAGGAGGAUGCAGUUGUUGCAUUUCUGGAUUACCUAGAUAACCUCCCAUGUAAUCAUUACUGCCCAUACUAAUGAAAUAAACGGCGUUUGAUAUAAUUUCUUCUGCUUCUGCGGUUCCUAACUUCUCAGCUAGGGACCGUUGUACCUUAUGAAAGUACUCUAACUGUGUCUUCAAAUCAAUGACCUAAGAUCAAGAAGUUCAAAAAUAUUCGACUCUUCAGGAAGACUGACAAACCAUGAAGAUGAUUUCAAGCAAGUUAUAAAACAAUGUUCAUCAGUCAUAUAGCUAUGGCAGGGAUUAAGAUAAAGAAAUUACUCACCACACCCGGAUUUGUUGUAGAAAGAAUUCCAGCCCCACCAGAGGCAAAAUUAACACCAUGACUGUAAUCAGCAGAUGGUUGCAGAUACGGAGGAAUUAUAGGCAAUUUUGCAUACUCAGCUGUUUCAAUCAUUUGCAUAAAUAUUAAGUAUCACUUAAGAUGUGAUCAUAAUUCAUAAAUUUGCUCUCUGCAAUCCUUUCUUGCAAUUAACAGGGUAAUGAUUGACUUACCAAUAUAAUCACGAUAAUACGGCCAUCUGAGAAUCGGCCUGUUGGCUCCUUGAAGAAACCGUUCUGACCGUAAGGCUUGUAAUUGGCUUGGUUUUCAGGCGUGGUCUUAAUGUAAUUGUUGUUGCCUGGAUCCACAGUAGAAUCACCAAAUAUGAAGAAUGCACUGCUUCUCUCAGCUGAGCCCCCACUGGCCUUGAAACAAAGCAGAAGUACAAGACUUGCAUGAUCAAUGAUGAAGUUCCAAAGCGAGAAUUUAGCCUCAUCUUGUUCAGAAACUGAGGAGAGCAAUCAGGAGCGUCUGGAUCCCUGAAACUACUACUCAAGUCACUCCGUUUUGGGUUUUGACUUUAUAGAUCAAGGGCGAUCCCACCAAUGCAGUGCUAAUUUGUUUUUUCUUUACAGUUGUACUACAAUCUUCUAGGUAGCCUCUUGAGGUUAGUUUUCUUCGCAGCAGCUGGAUUGUCAUCUUUUUCAUGGUGGUAGUAGUUGUGAUCAGAGGAGAACAACUAAACACAUCACUAUCAGAUUUCUUUGGUUUCAUCUAAUUGGUUUCAAUGGGUCAUGUCUUGUCUACUUAUUAUUAUUUCUCAAGCACAUUUCACACACUAGUGUUUGACUCUCUGAAGCACUGUAUAGGAUAGAUGCUAAGCGACCAGGGCGUAAAAGUAACUUUCAAGUGAUGCCUUCUUGAUUUUUCUUUGAUAAAAUGUGUUCGAAAACUUCUUCUCCGCCAAAUCAUGAAAAAUCUGUUGUAAGACGUACCAUAAUAGUACUUAGGAACAUCAAACGUUGGUAAAAAAGCCAAGGAUUCCGGACACAAGCUUAAAUCCGUCGUUACCAGUCCCAUUAUUGUAUCAGUCCUUUUGCAACCACUUUUCCGGUUUCUUUCAUUUUUUUCCGUCAGUUGACCAAGUAAACCACGAGAGAAAAAUAAAAUGAAAAAGACAAAACGGCUUAAACCUGGGACGAUCGAACCGGAAGGAGGUGGACAAAAGCAUUAGGUCAACGGGUCGACAAGUAGUUGGAUACGAACACUAGACUAGGGCCUAGGCAGAGCCCACCACCGGUCCACAGCUCAGGGUAAUGAAUUUUCAUUAAGUGUCAAGGGUAUUUAUGUACUUUCACUAUAAAUCAAUCUCAUCUUCUUCGCAACACUCGUCUUCAUUCUCAAGCGUACUUCUUAGUGGAAAAUCCCUAACCGGUAAAAUUCGUUAGAUUCAAACCCUGACGUACUCUUCAGAAGCCAAAUUCAGCUAGCAAAAACCCUGAUUAACUAAAUACGUCGUUUACUAUCAUCUUCUUUUCGGCCAUAAAUUUGUCAAAUGUCGUCCAAGCGUAACAAUUACAAAGAGAAAUUAGCUCGUCGCAAGUACGUCUCGUUUUCCUUCUAAUCCUGCUUCCAUUUUUUUUUUCAGCAAUUUAAUUAUGUUUUCUUUGCAAUUUUUGUUCUAAAUACUAAAAGUUUGAUGCUUUUUUGUUGAAUUUCCAUGAAUACAGUAGAAUAAGUGAGGGUUUUUCUAAUAUGUUUGCUUUGUUCGGGUAUAUUUAUUUACAUGCAUAUACUGUAUGCUUUUUGAAUUUUUGGUGUUUAUAUGUUUGUUUCCUUGAUGGAGAUUAGAGAAUGAUGACUUGGACAUGUUGUUUGUGCGCUUGCCUUUAUGUUUGUUUGUAGAGAGGAGAAGGCGGAGGAGCCAGAACAACCAAAGUAUAGAGACAGAGCGAAAGAGCGGAGAGAGGAUCAAAACCCUGAUUAUGAACCAACAACAGAAUUGGACAUUUUCAUGCUGUAGCUCCUCCAGGCACGGUUGAAUUGCGGUAUGAGAAAACUUAGGUUAAGUUCAUUUGGCUUUAAUCUUUUUUUUUUUUUUUUUGAGCGGGGUGUUUUCCAUUUAAUUAGUAGUUGUUUUGGAAGUCAUUUGCGGGCAAUGUCUUUGUAGGUCGGCUGAUGCGCAUAAGCUAUCUAUUGAGAAGAGCAAGUAUCUUGGAGGUCAGUUUACUGAUGCUGUUUAUUAAGGGUUAUUUAUUGACAUGUCGUGGCAAAUCUGUGGUUGUGAAGGGAAUCAGAGGUUCUGAAGUACUAGUCAGCUUGCGAGGAUGGAGCUGAACGAAUAGAUUUUGCAUGUCUUUCUUAUUUUGUCCUGUUACUAUCACCUUAUCCUAUCCUGUUUUAAUAACUAUACCAUGUUAAGAGCGAGGAUAUUCAAUGUGUAUUAGUUCCUGUGCAUGUUUUGUAUGUAUUUUUUUUUCUACUUUUUGCUUUGGCCUCUUUAACCCGCAUAGGAAACAUGUCUUUGUCAAAUUUAUAGCAUUUCUAAACUCUACCUAAUCCUCAAAGUCACAAAGAAGGCAAUGUUCAUUUCGUUUCACAAUCUUAUUGCAACCUACUUUUACCAUGUGAAUUUCUUUAGGAUGUGUUAUUGCCAUUUUUUUGAACCAUUGGAAAAUAAUUCAAUGGAAUUUGAUUUGUGAAGUGAGACUCAGCUAUUUAUUAACUUGAUUAUUAAGAGUUCCGCAUGUCCUAUUAAUUAUUCAUAAGAGGCCUGCUGUAACAUUUGAUGAAUUAAUCUGCUAAACUACCUGCUUUUGCGGUGUAGCAUUUUUUACAUGCAUCCCCCUAGUUUAGCUAGGAACUUUGAGUUCCUGGUCCCCCCAUCUAGCUGUCUUUGGAUUUUCAAUCAGCUUAAGUGGAGUAAAACCGGCCGAUAUAAAGCUCAUUAAACUAUUUGUCUUUUUAGAGGGUAUGCAUAUUAGACAUGGAUUGAGUGCAUUAGAUUAAAAGGAAUAUGUACUAGAUGAUUGAAUGAGUGCAUAGAAUGAACAAUGCAUGUAAUCUUUACUGCAUGCAGCAAAGGGAAUGCUAUUAUACUAUCCUCAAGCUGCUUCUUUCAUAAUUCUGAAGAGUUAGCUUUGGGUUUAUUGGCAUGUAUUACUUGCUUCAAAUUUGACCAGAUAUUUUCUGUGAUUGUUGGAUCUCUGAUUUUCUCUACCUUACCCCACAUUUUGGGAUUCUUGUGAAUUUUAGGUGAUGUUGAACACACACAUCUUGUUAAAGGGUUGGAUUAUGCUUUGCUUCACAAAGUGCGAAGUGAAAUAGACAAGAAACCAGAUGUUGAUGACGAUGCUAAUGAAAAAGCUAGGUAAGUAACUUGAUUAACAUCUGACAGCACCACUUUUGGAGUUCUGAUCUUGGUAGAUUUGCCAUGUUCUUGCUCUGUUGUAUGAGGGACCUUCUUCCUGAAUUAUUUUUGACUAUAUUGCCUCAAAACUAUUUUUCCAUUUUGACUUUGGCCUAUUUAAUUUGUGACUAUGUUUGUUGUGGCAUUGAUGAAUUCCUUCCAUCAAUAGAGCAUCCAAAGAAGAUCAAACACUGUCAUUUCGCACUGCAACUGCAAAGGUCCGUUGAUUUAUUGGCAACCUUCUUUUUUUUGGGCAAAAAAUCUCAGCAGCCAUUAAAUUAUUGUCUGUGUCGACUUUUGACCAUCAAACAAUUUUUUGUCACAAAUUAGCUGCUAAACUAACUAAUCAGCGCACUCAUGGCCAUUUGUGUCGGUUUUUGCUUUUAAUUUACAAAAUAAUCAGAACCGCGUUUUGACAAAAAAAUACCUAUGGUGGACAAAUAUACCCUUGCAUUUUUGUGUGUUCUAAUUAUUUUGUAAAUUAUAAGCAAUAAUCGAUGAAAUGACCAGAAGUGUAAUGAUUAGUUAGUUUAGUGGCGAACUUGUGAUGAAAAUUGUUUGAUGGUCAAAGUUGACAAGAACAAUAGUUUAAUGGCCGCUGAGCGUUUUUUGCCUUUUUUUUUUUUUGGUUCAUAGCUACAGGUGGUAGCAGCCUUUGCUCCUUUUUGUGGAUAAACAACUUAUACUUUGCAGUCUGUUUACCAAUGGAUGAUCAAGCCCCAAACUACCAUCAAGACAAUGAAAUGUUCCUUCCUGGAAGGAUGUCCUUUAUUUUUAACAUGGUAUAAUCUCUUACUCCUCUGCGCGCGUAUUUGUAUGAAGAAGGAUUAAUCUUCUGUUCGUGAUAGUAGAAGUUCUGACCCAUUUGCCAAGAAUAAUAUGUCUUUUCUCGAAUCAUUUUUUUUUUCUUCACCAAUAGAUUUUUUAUAAGAAGCGAUCAAUGAAUUAUCAUUUUGUUCUUCUGAUAAUUCUUUGUUCUGAUUUUUCAUGUCAGGAAAAUGGGUAUUCUAAUGAUAUUCCGACAACUCUUCACAGGAGUAAAGCUGACUGUCCAGUCCCAGAGGUACCCUUUACUGUCUUAAUAGUUUUUUUAUUUCAGUAAGUUGCAUUGAGGUUAUUGACAUCACCAUCCUAUUGCAUUUUCGUGAUCUUCUUCCUCCUUAGGAUGACAUUAGUACUUUUUGGUUUCCAGGAAAUGGUUACUGUCGGUGUGGAUGGUUCUGUUUUAGAUCGGAUUGCCAAGAUUAUGUCGUACCUUCGCCUUGGAUCAUCUGGAAAAGUGCUCAAGAAGAAGAAGAAAGAAAAGGAUGCAAAAGGUGCUUGCAUCUGUUUAUUUUUUUCCUGAACUUGAAGUUGAAUCUUUAAUUGGCAAGAAAAAGGCUUUCGUAGAAUUUUUUUGUUUAAUUUGGCUUAAGUUCUUCAUAACAAAAAUAUUCCUAAGAACCUGAGGAGCAGAGAGGAGGUGCCAUUCUCUGUCUUUGUAUUACCUGACACCUGUUAGGAGUUGAACAUUAUGAUUACUGUUUUAGUGGUUGGAAAGCAAGUGCUUGGAUAUAGAGGCGGGGCACAUGUGUGGCUGAGCAGUUGUGACAGUGGCACUUAUGAAUUAUCACCACAUGAUAAGGAUCUGUCUUGUCAUCUUCUCAGGGAUAACUACCUUGUUCUCCAGUGGAGUUAUAAAAUAGAAUCUGUGCUUUGGUCCUGCUAAAUCAAACUUCUAGACCUUCUUGGUAGACAUGUUAAUGUGUACUGUGGUAUUCUAGUGCCUAUUUUGCAGGAUUAACUCUUCUACAAUAGUGAGCCGGUAUAUUACUUCCUCAGUUGUUUACGAUUUUUGAGAAGAACAUGGCAUCGCUCUGUUUGGGUAAUUGAAUUUGGUAUCCCAAACCUAGUAAGUGUGGUGUAACUCCUUGCCAAAUGGGGAUGGAUAUAUACAAUUAUUACAAGCAGCCUAUAGCAGAUGUGUCAUAUUCUGCUGCACAGACAAGCUGCAAGUUGAGAAAUACAACAUUAAGCAACUGUGACUUGUAAUAGUUACUUUAUCAUAUUAAGUUUGGGCGUACAUUGAUGCUUGUUUUUCCCUACUUGUGGUUGUAAGUUUAUUGCGUUAUAUUUACCUGUUGAGUACUUUUGUCGUACAGGGAAGCUUUCAGGUAUUUCAAAUGGAUAUGAUGGAGAUCAGAAGAUGUUGAGGUCUGAUGCAUUGAAGAGUCAAAAUGACAAAGAAACACCACUGCCACCACCUCCACCGCUUCCGAAAAGGAUUCCUGAUUCAAGGGCGAAUCAGGGCCCAACUGUUGUUAGAUCUGAAGAGGAUGAUAUAUUUAUUGGUGAUGGUAUUGAUUAUUCAAUUCCCAGUAAGGAUAUGAGCCAAAGCCCUGUCUCAGAGGAUAUGGAAGAAUCUCCUCGGAACAAAGAAAGGGCAUCUUAUUUCGACGAACCUGUUUAUGGCCCUGUACCACCCUCUGAUCCCUCUCAUGGUUGGCAACAAGUGGUGAGUUUGUUUGUUUGUUUCUUGGAUUUUUGCUGUUGAUAAAUGGCAAGGCUAGAUAUAUUCAUUUUUUUUCACCAGAAUUGGCAUUUGUUGGCUUUUAGAAUCUUUCUUUGUUUUCUAUUCCCCUGCAUCUUUCUCUCUCUGGUGAGGGGGUGGACCUCGACUGAUGCAAAUUCGUUAUACAUCUACCUAGAGAGUGUUUGACCUUGUGUUCUGAUUUUUUUAGAGUGGAUAUGAUGCUUUGCAAGCACAAGCAUUGGUUGGUGGCUAUCAGACAGAGUGGCAAGAGUAUCAAUAUGCAGAACAACUCGCUUAUCCUGACCAAUAUCUCCAGCAAAACCUUCAGGCUUACGAUGUGCAAGCAGGUCUAAAUGUGCUUCAGGACCCUAGAUUCAUGACUCAAGAAGAAAAAGAUAGGGCUUGGGUUCGGUGUUCAAGAGGGAUGAUCAGAGGCUUCUGCAGCUAAGGGAGAAAGAUGCACGGGAGAAGGACCCCAAUUUUAUAUCCGAGAGUUAUUCCGAGUGCUAUCCUGGAUACCAAGAAUAUAAUCGUGAGAUAGUCGAUAGUGAUGAUGAUGACGAUCUAUCAAAAAUGGAUAUGGGUGGAAGGGUAAGUGUAUCAAAUACUAGGUUUGACUGGUUGAUGCCUGUAGUGUUAUCCUGCUGUAAUCCAUAUUUAUGGUGCUCUGUCUUUUUAGUCAUGUCUUAUGAUGUACUCGUUAGAUUUUUAAUUGACGUAGCUUUAUGUGUUAAUGUUCUGGUGACAAUUAGAUAGUUGACGCUGUUGAUACUGAUUUUUUGACAGGCAAAGGGGCGGCUUCAUCGUUGGGACUUUGAAACUGAAGAAGAGUGGGCUACAUACAAUGAGCAAAAGGAAGCAAUGCCAAAAGCUGCUUUCCAGUUUGGUGUGAAGAUGCAAGACGGUAGGAAGACACGAAAGCAGAACAAAGAUCAGAAACUUACAAACGACCUCCAUAAGAUAAACCAAAUACUGACCAAAAAGAAGAUGGAGAAGAGAGCAAACAACGAUGGAGCAAGCUAUGAUGAUGAACCGCGCUCUGGAAAGAAGCUCCGAAUAUGAAGCACAGAAAUAUCUUUUAUUUCUUACUCAAUGGCGUAGAAUGUUAUACUCUGUAUUAUCAAGUUGGAUCUGCCUGAUUCAAUCGUCUAUGAAUAGUUAUCCAUCAAUGCAUCCUGGAAAUAAUCCGUCCUCUUUCUUCUUCCCAUCUGUUCCAUCAGCGCAGCAUUCGACAUUCUCCGCUAUUUGUACUAGUUCAAGGUCACUGCCUGAUUAGAAGUGCUCUGUAUAACUACGCAUGUUUCAAACCGAAAGGUCGAAUUUAAAAGCAGGGUCGCUUAUGAGGAGGUUUUAGUUUCGAGUUUUUGGAAAUGUGAUGGUUGUAUUUAUUGCUCGUUCUCAGUUUCAUCCUUUCCCUUCCUACUUGAUUACUUUCUGUAGAUUUUACUCCAUUAUUCUCGAUGUGAACGUUACUGAUGGAAUGCAGUUGGUGCAUGCGAGGAAUUGAGGAUUGUGUUAAAAUAUUCGGAAAGUUCAUGUUUCAGUAGGUAACUGGUAAACCACUGAGCUUAGCUCAAUGGCUACCAGGAGGGACUUAAGUCCCUUCUUAGGCUGUAAGCGAGAGUUCAAAUUUUACCUGCAGCAAAAAAAAAUUUAAAGAGUAGCCAUAGCACUCUCUUGGUCUAGUAGUGCUAUAGCACUCUCUUGGUCUAGUUGGAUUUGUAUAUUUACUAAUCUCUAGCAGCAGUUUGCGCCCUAGAGUGAAAUAACAUAUAAAAACUUGAUACCAUUUUGAAGAUGAAAAUUUUGAUCUUCCACAAAGAUUGUAUUAAACUAGUGUUAAGGACACAUCAAUGUGCGUGCAAUUUAAAAAAAUUAAAAUGAAUUUAUUUUAUACAAAAUUUGUCUUUUACAUAAAUCAAAUCGGUAUAAAUUUUUAUUAAAGAAUUUUGGUUAAUAAAGUUAUAAUAAUUUGAGACUUAGAUUAGUGUAGUUAUGAAUAGUUAUAAUGGCAAAAUGUGAUUAAGGGAUAAGGGAAAAGUUAAUCUUUUAUAAAGGUAAAGCUAAAAAUUGAAAAAAUGAUUAAAAUUGUUUAUAUCAGAUGGUAUCUCUCACACUUCAUAUACUGUAUAAAUAGUAUGUAUUAUUAUUGCCAAGUGUCAACGUCAAAGGGCAUGAAAUACGUUUAAGAACAGGGAAUGGAAUAUAAAAGUCCAUAGAUGUUUCCUAGCACAAUCCACAUAUCGAUCCUUGUAAACCCCAUGAUCUUUUCAUCGCAAAGAAAAAAAAUUGUUUCCAAAAAUAUUUCUGGUCUAAUUUGUCCGAGUGAAAAUCUUUAAAUCAAACUUAAGGUCUAAAAAAUCAAAAAAAAAACUUAAGGUCUAAGACACAAUUUUGAGAACUUUGGAGGGCAUCAUAGCAGCUUCAUUUUAUCGAUAAGCCCCAAAAGCAGGAAGGGGUUUAUCUUUUAAAAAUCCGAAAAGGAAAAAACAAAACUACCCAGACCCGAAUUCUUCUGCUCAUCCAAAACCACUGCAGUACGCAACUCGGAUAAGAGUUUGUCAAUUUUUUCACCAUCUCUGCUUCAAAUAUAGCAGAAAUCAAAAGCUCUUACGCCAUCACUAUUACAGAGAAAAAGGUAAAAAUUCUUCCAUAUGAUUUUGGAUUUCUAUGUUUUUUUUCCUCGUAUGUCUUUGUGACCUGCACUCUUCUCUGUUGCAUAUAUAUUAAUAACCCUAGGAUCUUAACUGAAUUUCGGUUAAUAAGAUUUGGCACAAAACCCUAAUUUGAUUGGGCAAGUAAUUGGUCCUCCGUUGAUUCUGAAUUUGUCAACCACAGUUGUCGAAAUUCCUACAGCUGAAAGCUCGAACAAAUUGACCCAACCAUUUGAGUCAUUGACUUCAAAAAUUAGGUCUCGCGGCAGCUAGAAGAGUCUGCCCCACUACCGCCCCUGUUCGUUUAAUAUUGGGUGUGUUCAUGUAAGUGUUUCUUGUAAUUUAUGUAAUGCGGAUUAGGAAUCUGCAUCCUUCAUUCUAGUUGAUGGGUAAUCUUUGAGAGAAGGGCGUGCAUCCUUCAAAGCAACCGAAGGACGGUGCUUAACUCUUUAUUUUAUAUAUAUAUAUAUAUAUUUACGUGCUUAACUUUGAUCUUCCGUAGCCAUCUCCUCCCUUGAGUUGCCUUUCGUUCUUUCUUUCCUCCCUUUCCGCUUCUCUCCAAAUUUUACCACCACCACCAGUGCAUAUGAUAUGAAAGCCUUCUCGUCUUCCUCGCCCUUUUAUUUUUCCUUCUCGUUCUCUUGAAUCUCUGCCACCCACUUGCUGUUUACUUAAGAGUCUUCAAAGAGAGAAUUUUGGGUUAAAGGUUGAUUUGUUAUUUCUGUCUUUCUGUGCAAUUUCUCAUAAAUUGGAUAUGGGUAAGUUAUUUAUUUAUUUAUUAUUUGUUUAUACCCUAAAAGCCUCCGAAAAUCAUCGUUACCUCCGUUCAUGGAUAUCUGGUGAGUCAAUGAGGGUUGAAUUGGUGGACUCGGAUGCUCUUUUGAGUUCUGAAGCCAACUCACCCAAAGAGUCUGAACGAGUUUCCACUGGGCCUACUGUCUUUGGGGUAGGGCAGACCAGUUGCGCAAUGGAGGUGGAAGUUCUGGUGACGACUUGGCUGGACCGAGCCUUUGAACGGUUUGGACACUUUAUGAGUUCGGCCUGGAAAAUGUUUUUGUGGGGAGGGCAAAUUAAAUGAGAAAAGAGACGACCAUAUGGUUGUAACCAAUUUAUGGCUGUUGAUACUCACAGAUUUAUCUUAAAGCUUCUGGCUUUAUUGUGGACUAUUGUUUGACCUUUUUAAGUUCUUGUUUACUACUUGAUUUCCUAUUGAAACUUCUAGUAACUUUACUUCCUCUUCUAAUUGGCAGUGUUCUUUCUUAUUUCAACAAUUUCCACUGCAAGCAGGUGUAUCAGGAACAAUGCCAUAUUCCUCGAUUUCAAAUUUAGACAACAAGAAAAGCAAGUUCAAAUAUAUUGAUGACUUCAAUGAUACUGCUUGGCCUGUGCCUGGAAGCCAGAGCGCUAGCCCUUCCAGCCCAAGUUCCUUGAAGCAAGGUAAUCUAUACAACUUUCCAUUUGAGGCUGAAGACCUUUUGGAUGGAGGUUAUGAAUCCAGUGAUGAUCGCUAUAAGACUGUACAGCGUAAUGGUCCUCCUGAGGUGAACUUGAAAAAUGUUUUGAGUGGUAUUUUUGCCAUUUUGACUGGUCGGAAUAAAAGUCUGAAUGCUGCCGGAAGUCUGCAAUUCUCUAAUUCGAAUGUUUCAUUUCUUGGGUCUGCGAAGAAUGGGGAUGCGGUAUUGCACUCAUCAGUUUACAUACCGAGUGCACCACCACUUCUUGAGGCAACUGCAUUUAACUAUAGUGCUUACAAAGAUGUGUUGGAAGCUGAACCUCCGGAGUGGCUUCCAGACAGUUCCAGUACUGUGUGCAUGCAGUGUAAUGCUCCAUUUACUGCUCUUACACGUGGAAGACAUCAUUGUCGAUUUUGUGGAGGGAUCUUCUGCAGAGCAUGCUCAAAAGGAAGGUGCUUAUUACCUGUUAAGUUUCGGGAGAGGGACCCGCAAAGGGUGUGUGACACCUGCUAUGACAGGCUUGAUCCUUUGCAAGGAGUACUCAUCAACACCAUCAGCAAUGCAGUUCAGGUUGCAAAGCAUGAUGUGAUGGAUUGGACUUCAAUGAGAGGGUGGCUAAAUCUUCCUGUUGGCUUCUCCAUGGAGCAAGAGAUAUAUAAGUCUGCCAAUACAUUAAGGAAUUACUGCCAGGUGGUGUUUCAAUAUUUUUACUUGACUAUGUUGUUGUAUUCUGUAAGUUUAGUAACCUUUUUUUUGAAUGUGCUCUCAUUCUGUUGAGAGGAGCAAAGGUCAUGUGUUUUAAAGUUAUUGUUGUUUGUCGUCCUUGUAGCAAAUUUUCUACUCCUGGGCUUGAAAAGAAACUUAUCUUCUUGUCUUGUCAAGAGGACAUGCAUGAGUAUGUUUUACCUUGAAUGACAUCAUUUAUUUUACAAAUACAUAGAAUAUAAUUGAGAGUUCUCUUAAUGGACAGGUUGCUCGCUUGAAUCCUGAGAAGUCCAUUCCUGCAGCAAUUCUGGAAGGGGCAAAGGUUUGGCAAUCUGACGGUGGCUAAAGGUGGGGUGGUACUUGCUUAUAAACUUGGAACUGGCUUGGUCAUUGCUCGAAGAGCCGAUGGAUCAUGGUCAGCUCCAUCAGCUCUGCUUUCUGUUGGCCUGGGAUGGGGUGCGCAGGUAUAGCAUCAACAAAGAUUUUUUCUUCCUUCAUUUUAUCCCCCCCCCCCCCCGGGGCUGGGGCUGGAGGAGUGGAGGAGGUCUCUUCUUGAAAAUCAUGUUAUUUGAGAUUCAGAAUUUGUUCUGUUUAUUAUGCUUUUUAUGUUGUGUUAUUGACAGUUGUAAAUCAUACAUGUGAUAUCCUCAAUGGGCAGAUCAAAAGAUCAUAAUUUUGCAUUUUCUGAUACAAGGAUUCCUCAGUUCUUUUCUUUUGAAUAUCUUGAUUUAUCCAAAUGAGUCGAGAGUUUACUUUGAUUGGUCAAGCUACUUCAUUUUGCCAUUUUCUCCAGAUUUAUUGAAAGCUUCUCUUGUUACAUGAUUUUUGCUCGCUGCUGUUUACUUUAGCAAUUGUUGUAGCGUGUAACUGGUAAUGAUUUUCUUGUGUCUGUAGGUUGGCGGCGAACUCAUGGACUUCAUUAUUGUACUACACGACUCAAAAGCUGUGAAAACUUUCUGUAGUCGAAUGCAUUUCUCUCUUGGUGCUGGAUGCAGUGCUGCAGCUGGACCAGUUGGGAGGGUUUUUGAGGCAGAUAUGCGAGCUGGAGAGAGGGGCUCUGGCAUGUGUUAUACUUACAGCUGCAGUAAAGGUAAUUCAUUUUGGUGGCACCCUAGCAUUAACAAUAUACCAUACAGACUGAAAUGCUACUAGUUCUGAGAAUAGACGUAGUAGGAUGCUUAGAGAUGCUAACUCUGAAAUUUGGUUGGAUUUAACAGCCUACUUUUCCGCUGAGAAUGUACUCAUUGUUUUUGAUAUCCUUGUGCAAUAGAUUGACCAAACCUUCAUUCUGAUGUUGCUUGUUAUGUCUCAGGUGCAUUUGUAGGUGUUUCACUGGAAGGGAACAUAGUCUCAACUAGGAUGGAUACAAACCUUUGCUUCUAUGGUGAUCCUUAUCUUACUGCAGCUGACAUCCUUCUUGGAAUAGUGGACAGACCUAAGGCUGCCGAACCCUUGUAUGCAGCUCUCCAGGACCUUUAUGCAAGCUUCCGAUGCUAGUGGCAUCUUGAUGUUAUAAUUAUAUUUACCUCCAAUGUGUUCAUGGCGUUCCAAUUCUCGGAUAAGAAGCUGUACAUACCAUGCUUCAUGGGUGGAAAAUCCUCACCUCCAGGACAAAGAAGCAACCUGCGCUCCCCCUAUUAUUCAUGCACAUUAGGGUUCGUCAUGUUCAUUUGUUAUUUAUCAUUGGAUGUACAGUUAGUGAACCAGCUGUCUUCACCUGUGUAUAUAUAUAGAUGAUUCUUAUACGUGACGGUACAUAUUUUGGUAAAAAAAAAAAAAAGGAAGGUUCAGUUUAAACUUGAAAGUGUUUGUGUGAUGGUCUAUGCUCUGUUCUUUCCGUGGGAUAAUGCGGAGCCACCUGCUACAUCGCAAGAACUCUUGGGAAAGUUGAGAAAUGGAGUGGCAGUAUUGAUGGGCCAAAUCAAAGCCCAUAAACUGUGUCAUUUCGGCGGAUUUAAACAAGCAUCAAGCAAAUUUGCAUUUGGGCUUUAAUAUGAAAUAUGAACGUGUAUUGGCAGUUUGUUCAUUUCUGAUUCCUUUCCAAUUCGUCCAAACAAACGAUAAGAGAAGGGUUGGUAUCAUUGCUUUCCAAACCCUCCCUCCAACCCCCACCGCUCUUAAAUUUACUUUUAUUUUUUUUAGAGGAUUCGGGGAAAAUUCUUUCAGCGAUUAACAGUUUGCAUCCUGACUUAUCAAUUAUGGCACUGAAGAACAUUUUACUAUGAACUUCUAUUUCAAAAAUUUACUAAAAAUCAUUAAAAUAUUUUCAUGCUAUUUUUUUUUUUUGAUUGAAAGUGCUUAUAAACUAAUAAGAGCAUUUUGGUGGGAUGACUCAAAUUAAGGAACCUAAAACCUCUUCACUAAAAACCGUUAAGCAUGUCUAAUUGAUUCUGGGCUUGUUUGAACAAUGUGUUGUUAGCAUAAGAUGAUAAAAUAAAUACUAAUAAAAUGCUUCAAAAAGGCUGGGGGUAUUAAAAUAGUACUAAACUUAACAGUAAUUUCUAUUGCAAAAUGAAGAUAAAUAAUUGCAGCGAGGUGUUCGUUUAGUAAAUGUCUCAACUUUUCCUUUUUUUCACUUAAAAACUUCCGAGGUACGGCUGUCCUCAGGUGGCGACUACAAUUGAAAACAGCCCUAGUUUAAAAUCAUUUUUCAAACCCCAUCUCACGGCACCAACCACAACAGCAGCAGCAGCAUGGGGACUAAGGCCCCGGAGGUUGUGAUUCUCACCGAAGAUCUUAAGAAUGGCUAUGAUGAUGACGAUGAUGCUGAUGUUUCUGUACUGUAUGCAAAACCCUUCUCUCGCAAGGAGGGAGUCAAUCCAGAAAACCCCAUCUCAGUUGAAAGCUACUCUGAUGACAGAGACCUCCAGCUCGCCAUAAUGGCCUCUCUUCAACCUCAAUCAAAGAGUAGCAGCAGCGGUAUUCGCAUUAUUAGUAGCAGUACUACAAGUGGUAAAACUAAAAGGGUCAUUGAUCUUUCCCAAGAUUACUUCAUUUAUGAUCUUGAUGAUGAUGAUGAAGUUCAAUUAAUUGGCCUAUUUUCCACAACUCCAAGGAAGAAGCUUUUCACAGGCGAGUCUUCCAAUUCUAAGGCUACAGCCAACAAUGAUCAUGAUAAUGUCGAUAGCGGUGAUUUGUUGAUUUACUUUUAUGUGUGAUAUCUGUGUUGAUGAAAAGCCAAAGGCUGCAUUGUUCUGCAUAAAGGGUUGCACUCAUUCUUAUUGUUCUGAGUGUAUGGCUAAAUAUUCGCCUCAAAGUUGCAAGACAAUAUUACUAGUAUUUAUUGUCCGGUUCCUGGGUGUAAUGGGAGGUUAGAGCCUGAAUAUUGCCGGUCUAUAUUGCCUGUUCAAGUUUUUGAUAGGUGGGGUGAUGCGCUAUGUGAGGCAUUGUUAUUGGCUUCUGAGAAAUUUUAUUGCCCCUAUAAAGAUUGCUCCUCGCUUUUGGUGGAUGAUAGAGGGGGCAGUGAUGAGGCUAUUACACAUUCUGAGUGCCCGGAGUGUAGGAGAUUGUUUUGUGCAAAGUGCAGGGUACCUUGGCAUUCGGAGAUUUCCUGUGAUGAGUUUCAAAUGUUGAAUAAGGACGAAAGGGAAAGAGAGGAUAUUCUGCUAAUGAACCUGGCCAGGAGCAAGAAGUGGAAAAGGUGUCCCGAGUGCAAAAUUUUCGUUGAGAGGAUUUCCGGGUGCUUGUUUAUGAAAUGCAGGUAGUCAUGAGUUUUGUUGUGAUAUUCUUGAGUUCUAUUUGAAAUUAGUCUUGUUGUAAUCUCUCAAUUUGCAGCUUCAAUUGGCAAUUCUCUUUAUCUGUCUUUAACUUGGAUUGUUGCCAUGUUUACAACUCCUUUAGAUUUGAAUUUAUUCUUGUAGAUAUGGAUCUGUAUGUUCCGAAAUUACAGAAAUUUACAUCUCAUACAAGAUUGCAUACUUAAAAUGAUUUACUAUGCAAACAAGAUAUGAACUUCUUUCUGAGUAGUGUGAGAUCUUGAAAUCUGAUUGACAUAUAAUGCUUUUGUUAUUGUCAUCAGUAACUUCUAAGCUGCUUAGGCGACUUAACGUGAAAGCAGUAGGUGGCAAACUGGCAAAUACGUCAUUGCAGACUCAGAUUUUGGGUAGUGGAAAAGCUAUUUUUAACCAAUGUACUUAUCCUCAAAAUUUGUAUAUUAAAUUCUUUUUGACUUCUAGGAGUCAUUUUUUGUAUUAGGCCAAUUUGACGGACCCCUCUCCAUUGUGUUAGAUCAUAUUACUUCAAAAGAUAUCCUAAUAGAAUUCAGCAGUUUGGGGAUUUUUGAACUGAAAAUUAGCUUAUGCCCAAUCUCAAGACAGUUAAGCAGGUCAUUCCUUCAGCAAUUAUGAGAACAAUGAGCAUGUCUUAAUGAAGAAUAAGAAGUAACUAAAAUUUUUCCAUUUUCUUUUACCCCUUUCCUGUCUUCUUUUUUUCUUGUCCCUCUUUUGAGUUUUUUGGCACCUUGAUUUUUAAGUCCAUCCAUCCUGAUUCUGUAAUCCAACCUACAUGCCAAUUUGUGAUCCACUUUUAGACACAAAAGGGAAUGAAAAGAACCUCCUUGGAAAGGCUAUUAUCAUUUGUAUCUAGCUUGUCGGUAAGUAAAGUUAAUACAAGGCAUGCUUAAAGCUUCUCAAAGCUAUUUUUUGUUGUACCAUACUAAUACCAUUAAUCAGUUUGAAAAAUAAUAAAUUUGCUUACUGUAUUUUUGAAAUUUUGUGUAUUUUUGCUGUACUGUGCAAAAGUUUUGAUUUUGCUCAUAUUCACCUGCAUUUUUGGUUUUUUUUUUUUAAUAUUUGGAAAGAUGCUAAUUAACUAUAAUAUGGGGGAUUGCAGGUGUAAAUACACAUUUUGUUACAACUGUGGAGCUCAAAUGGGCACUAAUCAUUACUGUGCCAAUUGUAAGCAUUAGCUUAGAUCCUUCUGCAGAUUGUGGAUGGUGGGACAUUGUACUUUUUGUAUAGCAUAUAUCUUUACUGUUUUUGGUUCCCUCGGAAUAAUGAAUGAAUAGUAUCUUGGGCGCAUUUUGCUGAAAAGUUUUCCUUUUCUUUGAUAGUCUUGGAAGCAUCUGCCUGGAUAAAAUAUAUUUGUAUAGUGUCCAAGAAGCCACAGUAAAAUGCCUGAGUCCUUUACCUGGCUUCUUGUUAUUUACUCAUAAUAGGAGUUUAAAGCUGUGUAAGCUAUCUCCUGAUUGUCAUGUAGUGUAUCCAAAUACCAGGUGGAGCGUAUAUUUUGCUGACAAUAUUAGAGCGGAUGCACCAUCAUGACUGAGUGUGAUUGUAAAGGCUGAGAUAAAAACUUCUGCCAGGCUAGGUUUCCUGACUCCUUGAUCACAUGAUGGAUCUUGGGUAAGGUUACAUGUUGUGAUUUUCGGAGAUGGAAUAUUUGGUUGCAGAAUUUGCUGAAAGCAGCUUGGUUUUUGUGCUUGGUUAUAGGUUGGUUUUGGAUAUUCGUUCCAUUUGAUCGUAGGAAAAUUGUUUUGCAUGAUCUUUCCAGUUUUUUGUCUUUGACCAAGUUACAUGGGUACUAGUCAUGAGCGAUAUGUCUCUUACAGUGUUUAACAUUAAUUUUGAUUCCGGACCUGAGAUCCGUUUCAUGCAGCUUGGUACACACACACACACCCCCUUCCCCUCCCGGGAACCUGUUCUUCCACUUUUUUGACUAUUGGUGACUAGUUUUUAGAUUAUAAUCAGAGUUGGAUGGUUUCACAUUGAGUUGUAAUAGAUCUUUUUCAAGCUUAUAAUGCUUGAUACUUCUAUGUUAUGGAAUCAGCAAUUAAUUACCUUAAUUCUUUGUCCCCAAAAUAACACGAGCAAACCAUAGAAGUCGGCUUUCAAUCCUCAGACUGCAUAAGUAACUUUUUAUGCACUGAAGGUUAGAGAUACAAUUUUGAUCUGUCUCUUCCAUGGAAGGUAUACAAUAAUUGCUGGAGACAAGUUCUUGUUGAUGUUUCUAGACUAUCUAUUUCUCCAUGUUUGCAAUGGUUGUAAGCUGAAGUGCUUUCUUUCUUGAAAUGAACUCCUAAGGGCUAAGACUAAAUUACGUCGCUAGGGAUGAAAGUUGACCUUGAAAGUGCAUCAAUGGCUUGUUCAAGUUCAUAAGUGGUCUGAUCAAGCAUUUCCAUGCAAUCCCUAAGUGCAUUCUGCUGCUGUGCAUUCAAUUCUUGGUUUUCAAAAUGAGCCACGCUUGCAACUUGGGUAUCCAACACAUGUUCCUUGGUUUGAUUGAUAGCAAACUCAAGAACAUGAUGGAAAGUUACGGUUGUGUUGGAGGGAGGAAUGGAAGAGAGGGUGGUGAAGCACAAAGAAGAGUAAAGAGUUUUAGUGCAAGCUUUUUUGAUCACCGAACUCAGAGGAGUAUGCAAACUCGUGGGUCUUGGAUGGUGAAUUCUUGCACUUCUUGAAGAUGGGGGAUUCAUGAAAACUAGAGCAGCCAGAACUGCUAUCAGAGCGAGGAAGACCGUGAUUGCGAUCGCUUCCUUCCGGGCUUCUUUAAGAUCCCUCAAUGUUUGGGAUGAUUGAGAGCGAGGCCAGUUAAGAUUAAAACUUCUAUAAAGAAGCAUGAUCAGCCAAUUAAAGAUUCGAAAGAGGUGAAUAGCUGAAGUUCAGUGGGGCAAAGUCGGAUGGCGAAAAGGGAGAAAAAUGGGAAUCUUGAAUUUGUUGACUGUUACAUUAGCUAAGUGGCAUGUGAUGGCAAUUUAAGGCGGUUGCUGGCAAGAAUAUAGGUGAUGCUGUCUUGUGUGGUAUCGCAAAAUGGACCGAGUAUCUAAUCCAUUCCCACAACAGAAGCGCAGAAGCCCAAAAAUAAAAAAAUAAUAAUGUCGAAAUGGAAGGUAAAUUGAUCUUAUUACAAAAUGACAUUUGAAAAUGCCCAAUUCCUCGCACUACCAAAAAGCAGGAAAAGAAAAGGAAAUGGCAAACAACCCAACGAAAAUGACCUACAAGAAGGACCUAAUUGACACUUGAACAGGGACUAAAAAGACACAACCAACCAACAAUAAAGAAAGGCAAGACUGGCAGAAGUAACAAAAACACAAUCCUCUUCUUUUUACACGAUCUCAAGCUCUUUUAUUUUAUUCGUCUCCCUCCCGCUGCUUCCAACUUUUUCUGCCGCAAACUCUUACUGAUCAACAGCCAAUGGAACAGCUUCAGCCUGGAACCCAAAACAGACAACACGAUUGUUAGAAGAAAUGCUUUUGAAAGAGGAGAGCUGAACAAUGCAGAUUCAUCAACUCAAGACCAGAUAACUUACCAACUUGCGAUACUUGAGAGCAUAAAACAUUUCCAGAUAACGGCGGAUCUCCUGGCGAUCAAGCUUGGAAACACAUUUCCAGAAUCCAUAAACUCCAGCCAGCGUCAGCAACCGAUCUGAGUAAAUUUGCCAGGUGUACCUUCGGAUUUCAAACAGGUAAAAGUCAUUUUAGCUGCCAACUAUAACUGAACUAAUUUGUACAGAGUAAUGUAGAAGAUCGUUGUGAAAUUGCUUGCUUACUUUUCCUGGAUACGCUUCAAGCCACCGGCUGAAAUGGUGUCCCAGUAAGAAGGCUCUUUCUUGCACCUUUCAAAGAAAUUGGCAAGGAGCUCGCUGACCUGCUCACCGUGGUAUGGAUCAAUGUGGAAACCAGAUUUCCCAUGAAUAAUGAUCUCAGCAGGACCACCAUGGUUGGUUGCAAACGUUGGCAAACCACAUGUCAUGGCCUCGACCACAGUCAACCCAAAUGCCUCAUAAAAUGCAGGUUGCACGAAUGCUCCCUUGGUGUCAGCAAUGUACCGAUAGAGUUCACCAUUUCUAACCCUGUUCAUCUGAGAAGAAAUCCAUCUGAAUUGGCCGUUCAAGUUGUAAGUCUCUAUCAAUGAAUACAUUUUCUUCAUCUCAGCUUGUUCUUCCAAAUCUUUGGAUUCCUUCCUUCGGUCUCCACCAACCACGACAAGAUUAACCAAUUCCCUUAGUUUUGGGUUCUUAGCAUACAAUUCAACAAGCCCUGUCAAAUUCUUUACGCGAUCCAGUCUUGCCAUGGUGAAUAAGAUAGGCUUCUUUUUGUCUUUUAGCACACAUCUGUCAGAUAAAAACAUGUUGAUGAGUACUUCAGAGAACUUAGUAGUAACUAAUCCAUUAGUACAGGAAAGAGAUAGAUAUUUACAGGUGUUCCUCAUUCUCCACAUCGCUGAAAAGCAACUCCUCAAUUUCAGGAUGGAAGGAUGUCAAUCUCUUUUCCUUCUCUGUGUGUGGGUAGUAGAGGUUUGUAUCAGCUCCAGGUGAGACAAUGUUGAAUUUUGGAUCAAAAACAUCAAUGCCAUGCACAACUCUGUAUAAUCCUGGCAUUGUGAAGGCCAUAUGGCUUUCAUAUUGCCCAACAGUGUCCUUGCUGAAAAAAAAAAAAAGAAACAAAAAAGGCAAUCAUUAUCAGAGGGAUUAAGAUGCAAAGAUUAAUUAGUUACAAACAAGGAACUUCAAUGUACCUUCCAGCUAUUUCUUGGAAAGUGCUAGUGAUAAUGAAAUCUGUAUGGUUCAUUGCGAUAAGAUCCGCAGUGAACUGGCAUGAGAAGUGGUACUUCUCAUCAAAUUUGCUCAAAUAAAUAUCAGAAUCAGGAUACUUGGUUUUUUCCAAAGCAUGAGCAAUGGUACACUGCAAAGAUAACACACCAAAGCAUUAAUCAUCUUAUUUGCAAACCAAAGAAAAGAAAGUAACACUUAAAGCAAUGAGAACUGUAGCACAGACCUGUGUUACACCUAACUUGUGAGCAAGCAAGGAGGCAACAAGGUUACCCUCACUGUAGUUACCAAUAACCAAAUCUGGCUUUGCCUGUAAUUCUGCAGUGACUUCUUUUGCAACAUCCUGAUAACGGAGAAUUCAGAAAGAUGGUUAGAUAGCUCAUGUAUUUAGAAAAAACUCAAUGACCAAGGGAUCUGUGAAAAACAAAGGACUCACCUCAGUAAAUGUUUCCAUGUAGGGCCAAACUUCAAAGCGAGAGAUCCAUUUGCGAACAACGCCCUUCUCAGUUCUGAAGGGGACUCUGAGUAUAUGGGAGUACUCUGAUCCGUAUACUUUCUCAAGCCGUUGACCACAAGUGGUUCCAGGGGCAUCAGGUAGCAGCCUAGUUAUCUAGGAGAAGAUGAAAUUGAUUGUUAGUCCAGUUUCACUUGAGAAUUCACAACUUUGAACCAAAAAUCUAAACGGUAUAGAGCACUCACAAUUAGAAUGCGUGGCUUGACAUCAAGUCCUUGUUCCUUUAUCCUCUUCAGCAUCUCACGCUCCAAGGCAGGAACUUGAUCCAAUAUGUAAACAACCUGCAAAUCCAAAAAAAAAAAAUGUCAAUCUAAGCAUCCUGGCACGUUAUUAAAGUGGGAUUCAAAGAGUUUAAUCAAGAACAUACCUGGCCACCGGUAUCAGGAUAACCCAAUACGUUUUCCUGGGCAAAGUAUCCAUGGGGGGAAAGAAUAACAACAUUGAAUACCAUAGGGAUUCUCCCUAGGAAUUUCUCUAGUGUGCACGAGUCAGGAGCCUCCAGAAGAUCCAGAAGCAUGCAGAUCAUUUCCAAGACACGCUCAGCAGUAUCACCCCAACCUCUCUCCAGUCCAAUUUCUUGGAAUUUGUGCUCGAAUUCAGAGUAUGGUGUAUCUGCAGAGAGUGUUGUUAGGUACUCCUCUGCCUUCCUCAGAACUGCUUGGAGAGUGUUAAGGUCCUUGAUCCUGUCGUUAAGCAUCAUCGUCUGCAGAAGGAUUCCAAUCUAUCUAUUAAAAUAUGCUGAAAACAUGUCGAAAAUUAUAUAAUUCUCACAAGCAAAUAUAAAUCAAGUAGCUGCAACAUCUUGACUUUCUUAGAACAUUUUUACAAUAAAGAAAACAAUGAUGAGACAGUGAAGUUAUGAGAAGGCUACCUUGCCCUUGUAUUGGUGAACACGGAGAAAAUCAAGGAGAGGGGCCAUGCUCUCCUUGUCAUGGAACAUUUUGGCAGAGAGGUGCCUGUUGAGGAACUCAACUCCGUCACCUAUGUACUUAGUUAGAGUUGGCUUGGGAAAAGAUGCUGUAAAUGGUUCGAAGUCCAGUUCCAAAACAAAAUUCCCAUUUUUGCUGCAUUAACACAUCGCAUUAAUUAAGCAGAAAAACAAAGGGAUUGAUGUAGUCAUUAACCGAGUAAAAAGUACCAUAUAAAGUCCAAGACCCUUAUUUACCUUCCAUCAACGAGUUCUUCCUUGAAAUGCAGGUACUCUGGCACGGUUAACUCCUCAACAACGAGUGCAUGGACAUUGACUCGAACAUACUCCCAGACACCAGGUCUGAGACGAAUAGCAAGUGCAACCCAGGGGGGCAACACAAUUGCUUCCUGGAAUAGUGAAGACCGUUUAACAGAGUUGCUUUCUAGUAAUUAACAGGUUAGUCAUAGACUGUAAAAACAAUUCUACCUGUGUGGACUUCAGGACUUCUUCAAAGGCAUGAUCAUGAAUUUUUUGUUUACCAUCCUUGUUAAUUUCUUCAAACUCAGCCAAAAGUUGGUGGGGUUUCAGGAUCCCUUUCCCAUGGGUUUCAAGCCUGCAAACACAAAAAGCCAGUUUAAUGGUAAUAAUAGUAGUACUACCCUCUCUUUGCAGUCAAUCAACAGUAGUAAAUCUAAACCAUUAGGCUGUUUAGCCCCAGUAAACAAUAUACCUCGACAUAAACAGCAAAACAUCGUUGCGGUGGGCAGCCAAAGUAGCAUCAAGGCGUUCACGGAGGCUGUGAACACGGGUCAGAACACGUUCGGCCAUGGCAGUUGAUGGAUCGACCAACGAAAUCUCAGACAGGUUUCAACUGCAAAACAAAUAACAAUUCAGAUCUCAUCUUAUCCAAAAUAGAUUCCUACAUAAUAUAACAAGAGAUUGACCCAAAAAGUCAAAUGAUCCCACCUAAUUCAUUCAAUCUAGAAUGUUAAAUAUUUCUAAACCUAACACCUCAACACAGUAGCCCAACUCACUUAUUUAGCAUACCUACCAACAUAUUGACCUGAAGAUUUUUUUUCCCCUCUUAGCAUAGGUUCUACCUGGGCAUUCAUCACAGGUUUGAUCACACCAUUCAACCAAAACAAAAUUAGAAACAAAAAAAAAAAAAAGUUGCAUGCGUGACAACCAAGAAUUGUUACAAAAUCUGUCACAAAUUCAAGGCUGCUAGUACAAGCAACAUUGCAAAACGAGCACUUUUUAAAUGUCAAACCCCAUGAUCAGAUCUGAAAGAAUUAUGCAUGCAAGACUUCAAUAAAUCCACUGAACCAGUUAGAAGCAAUAAUUGAAGCAAGACUGUAGAAUCACGCUUGCAAAACAAAACAGGAUUAGCUUUUAAAGCAUGAAUCACAGUGAUCCCGAACCAACUCAGGAUCUAUGUCCCUCCCACGACUCCGUAUGACAGAUUUCAGAGACUGAAACCUCUAGAUCCAAGAGCAGUUAGCUAUUGAAGUAGAAAAAACAAGUUUACCAGGAAAUUUUCCUAAGCAACAAAGCAGAACAACAUAUUGUGCAUAAGUUGUAAUGAUCAAGAUAAAUACACAACAUUAAAGAACAAAACUAUGCAAAAGAUUCUCGGCAGAAAAAGUCAGUAAACUUUAACAUGCAAAGAGUGAAACAGGGAACCAGCAACUGAAAGAAACAUGAAGCCAGAGAAAAAAGAGCAGAAACAGCCAGAGAGGGUAUGCAGAAAAGAUUAAAGAUGCUCACAUGAAAAACGUAAGAAACAGAGAAAACAACAAGUAUGGGAGAGAUGGGCACUGUUCUUCUGGCAUGAAUUUAUAGAAGAAACGAAGAAGAUGAGCUAAAGCUGUAGACGGUUAGACCCCCUCAGAAAUGGAAAUUUCUUGACGAAGAAUUUUCUGCAGAAUAUAUUAUAUUAAUUAAACAGAUCCUGCAUUCCAUUUUUACUUUAAAUCUUAAACUUGGAAACAAUAAAAAGAAAAAUCCGGGGUGAUCAUCUAGAAGCUCUUGAUUGAUCAUCCUUGCCGGAGAAGUUAUAUCUCCGGCGCCGACCAAGCGUAUAUUAGUCAAUGCGGAUUCGUUGACUAAUAAAUACUACUAUCGAGCAGAUUUCAGUUUUAGAGCAUUAGAAAUCUCCCAACUUCUUAAACAAGAAAUUUCCGUAGUCCUGCUCUUAUUUAUUAUUAUAUUAGUAUUAUUAUUACUUGCCAUAGAUGACAAAAGUUUCAAAGAGCAGAGAAGAAGAAAGAGGCAAGUGUCCGGUUUCCGGGGUCCGGCCAUUUUCUCCCUGGUAUCUAGCAACUCGAGAUCUAACAGAACCGACAAAUCAGCUCAAGGAAAGGAUACUGGAAGAGGAGAAACUUUUCCUCUUCUGAUGAAAAGAAAACGAAAUUUAAUCCAAGCCCAGCAGAAGAAUUUUUCCAGUGAAGAUCAAUCCGACCGACACAAGAAAAUGUUGCAUGCCAUGAGCAAAAAAUCAAAAUGUGACAUUAUUUAUUUAUUUUUACCUCACAGGAGAAAAAGUAGCUAGCACUGGAUUGAACGUGGAGAGAGAGAGAGAGAGAGAGAGCCCAAUGGAGCCCCCUCCUAAGAAAUAAAGAGCAAGAAACAGAGAAACGAAAGAACAAAAAAAAAAGAGUAACAGAGUAUACGAAAAAGAGAGAUGAAUGAAUUCAGCUCUGAUGGUGCUUCAACCUUCAAGCCAAGCGUGCCUUAUAUACACAAAAACCGUAUUAAAAAAAAGAAAAAAAUCUUCCAAUUAAAACAAUCUUGAUUAAGUCAUGAUGAUGGUUGGUCUUGGACAAAUAUCACUACCAUACUACGACUUAGUGGUCCUCGGUUUUGCCGAGAAGAGGCAAUUAAUUGUCCACAGUAUUAUUAUAGCAGUGGUGAACUUAAUCGUCCACCUUUCUUCUUCUCUUUCUCGAUCUGAUUAAUAAUAACAAUACCAGAGUACUACUAAUUUAUUCUGGUUCCUCUGUUCCUUUCGGGGAAAACCACUCGCCAUCCAUCCUGUGUAAGUAAACUUCUCCCGGUAAUCCAAAACCACCCCUGUUUUGCUGUUCACCAAUAAUAAUCCUGUGGACCCUUCAUUUGAUUAAUCAAUUUCAAUUUUUUUAAUCCCUGCGAGACCUGACUACUGUGGCAUUUUCUUUUCUUUUCUUUUCUUUUCUUCCGGAUUGAAUUGUACUGUUUUGUUUGUUUAUUCUAUGAUUAGUGUCACGCUUGUGUAAAAUCGUCACUCUCUACGUUAGAAGAACAGAGAAGAUAUUAAUUGUAUCAGUGUAAUAAUAAUUCAGUCCGGGAUAAGAAAGUUCUUGACUCGUCGGAUAAUAAUAGCAAUUUAUUAGUACGGGAAGUUUUUGGCAUUUUUCGUUUAUUUUAAGGUUAAAGAUUAUCGUUCUUCGUUCGUGUCAUGUGUAAUGUAGCAGCAAGCAGGAGUACGUGACUUCACACCUUCGAAAUCUUCUUGUUCCAGCAAGCUGUAUCAUCAUCAUGCCUUGUCUGGGUGACACACACGGGUGUCUAUUUUGGCGGGUAAAGGCUUCGAUGUUUUCUUGAGGGUAGCUUCGUCUUUGUGGCAGAUGUAUUCUUGGCUUGGGUACAACUGGUGGGGCUGUAGACCUUGUGAUUGACGCCUCAAGAUUUUAAGGGUCAGAUUGAAGAAUCAAAUACUACUACCCCCUUUUCCUUUUCCUUUUCCUUUUCCUUUUCUAACACAGCUGUUUGGAAACUAAUGACCGCAUGCUUAAAGAUUUAGCAAUUUAAUAAUAAUAAUAAUAUCUUUAUGUUUCAAUUUAGGGAAGCAAUUUCUCUUCUUUUUGUCCAAACCAUUUACCAUGUUCAUGUAAGGACAAUCGAAAAUACACAUAGUACAAAUUUUGUAGGGUCGAGUCGAGUCGAGUUUUGAGCUAAUCGAAUCGAGUCUCGAUUAAAUUUUAUCAAGCUCGAACUCGAGCUCGGCGAGCCAGUAAUUUUCGAGCUCGAGCUCGAGUUCGAAAAAAAUAAAAAAUUAAUUAUUUUAUUUUUAAAAAAAUAAAUAAAAUAAUAUUUUUUUCGUAAUAAAGAAUAAAAUAUUAAGGUCCAUAUAUACGUAAUUUUACUAUGAAAAUAAAAAAUAAAUAUAUAUAAUAUACAUAAUUUUAUUAUUAAAUAAAAAUUAUAUAUAUAUAUAUACUCAAACUCGCGAGCCGCCUUGCGAGCUAAUGAGUUUAAUAUUCUGAGCUCGAAUUCGAGCUCGACUCGAGCUUGACUCGAGUCGCUCGCGAGCGGCUCGAUUCGUUUGCAGUCCUAAAACUUUGCUCACAGAGAGGGAGGCUCUUGAAUCGACUCUCUCUUUCUCUGUCUAGCACUUUGGCAUUUUCCUUAUAAGAUUUAAAUGCUAUUGCAUUUAUUAAUCUAGUUUUGAUAAAGGAAAGUAACGAACUAUGUGGGCUUGGUCAUGUUUGGAUUGCAUUUUUUUGAAUUUUUUUUUAUAGAAAAAAUACUGUAACAAUUUGAUAUAUAUGAAAUAAAUUAAAAAUAUUGCUGUCCAUAGCAAACAAGGUUUUCUCUGCAUAUUAUUCUGUACAAAAUAAAUAAAGACAAAUGAAAUAUACUAGUAGCAUGUAAAUAUAUCUUUAAAGUGUGUUUGGAUUGCAAUUUUUUUAAAGAAAGAUUGUUACGUUUUCUGUUAACACAUUUUCAGUAAUCUUUUUACCUCACAUAUAUUAGAUCAUUAUAGUAAUUUUUUUUACAAAACGUUCAGAAAAAUUAAAUCCAAACAAAGCCUACAUACUUCCAAUGAAGAACGCUAUGCUAUGAUUUUAAGGUAUUCUCUUUUUUUUUUCCCCUUUCGAGAUAUUCUCUAUCUUGUACAUUGCAAAUCAUAUUUUCAUUAAUUGAUCUUUGACGAAUUGAAGUACUUUCUCUUGUUUCAGCGUCCAAGGUAUUUGAAGACAACAAAACACCCUACUGGUUUGAAGGUACUACAGCAUGUAAAUAAGUACUAGAAAAAUAUGAGUUUUGACGUUUGACUACACGGAUAUAGGAACUUUCUUGGCCUACAAGUAUAUCCAUUGCUGUGAGUAGCGUAGCUUUACUAAUUUGACAAUUCACCUAGAUUAUCGAUAUCCACCGCAGUUCAGAAUGGUCUAUGAUGGGGUUGAAGCAGCCAAGUAUUUGCUGGGCUGAUCUAAACAAUAAUAAUAAUGUUCAGUAGCAAGCAUUACAUAUUUCAUAUUUGGCUUUGGGUUGACGGUGAAGCACCGCCCGUGACGUUUGGUGGUAACCGAGAGGGUUUGAGGUCGGUCGUACACGUCGGCAGGUGGUGGUUUCAAUGGGUGACGUGGCAUGACGUGAUUGGAAGAAGACAGAUCAACCUGACGGAAAAAGAGAGAAAAGCUCAAACCGGUUUUGUUAGUAAUCGGAAACUAUGGGCCCUACCUUCCCCAAUUUCUAAUGCAUUGCCAACUAAGGACCCGGAGCACGGCCGAUUGACCUUACAACUCAGAACCAUUUUUGCCGAUUUUAUCCAGUUUCACAACCGAUGCAUAUUUUAUAUUUUUUCAAGCUGCAACUCCGAGCACAAAAUAAACGUAGAAGAAACUUUUUAUGAGUUUCAUGCAUAACAUUAAAAAACGAUUUAUAUAUAAUGAUCUAAAUUAUACGUACAUAUACAUUUGGCCAAUUAUGAUCGUGAUCCUUCCGGAGAGUAGUAGUGUCAUUUUGAUGAUUCACCAAUCUAAAUUUUUUAUAGAAAAAUUACUCUAACGAUUUGAUAUAUAUGAGAUAAAAAAAGGUGAUUAAAAAUUAUGUUCACGGAAAACGUUGUAAAUUUUUUUUUUUAAAUUUGCAAUCCAAACAAAGCAUAAUUAGUGGUACUAACAAUAAUAAUUAAUAAAGCUAGUAGUAAUUCAGUGGGGAAUGGUUUGGUCAAGUUGGGCUAUUAUAUUAUGUCAACUAACACAAAGCCAAGCUUCAAGAGGGGAAAAAAAACACACACACACACACACACAAAGAGCGGAAAGGACACAUCACCGCUGGCCCACAUUGAAAAAAGUGGGAAUUGUGGGACCACCAAAUCCAGCUAAUUCAUCGGCACAAGUUUCUUUCAUUUUUUGGGCUCAUUCUUAUUUCUUCCCUCCUCUUUUUUUUGAGUAGAUUCAACCUGUGACCCCAUCAUCACUUUAGUUAUUCUACAUGGCACUCUCAACUUUGCCAAAUUACAGUUGCAGUGGCAGUAGUUAGACCCAACAAUAUAAUAAAUGAAUAUGUGUUGCUUCUAAAUCCCUUUCCGCAUGUGGCAAGUACUUUAAACUUUCUCUACUUUAUCAAAAAGAAAGGACAAACAAUUAUUGAAGACGCAAGUAAAGCUAGUAGAGUAUUCUCUCGGUUCAUAUACUAAUCAGCUAGGCAUAUUAAUUAUUUUGUGCUCCUCCUAGUGAACUAUUAUUUUAAAAAAAUGGAUACGGAAACGUGUUCAUGAUGCAAGCGAAAUAUUAUUUAAAAAAAAUGAGCUAUCCAAAUAUGAAUGUUUAAUUAAGUGGAGAGGUUGUACUAAGGGAAUUCAUCCCUUUCGGGAAAUCUUUUCGAAUUUCAAUCCGUCGAUUCGCAAAAAUAUUAUUUGAUUUAUCCUUCAAAUUUGUUUGGAACGUAGCGACAUUAGCUGGUAGUGAAAAUUUAUUAUUUGAAUCAAAAAAUACUUUAGAAUUAUGUGGUACGUUGUUAUCAAUAAUGAUUGAUUAUUGUUUUGGUGAGACACCAGAUUGAUUACUCAUAUGAGCACGAGGAACUUGAGCCUAAAUGAUGAAACGCACCCUCUUGUAUUUUCAGGCACAGAAUCCUCACUAAUGGAGGAGGAAGCGCAGAUGCCACGUGAACUACUUUUGUUCUCUAGCUACUUGGGUUCGAAAUAAAUAACGUUUUAUUGCGAACAAAAUCUAAUCAGAAGCACCUGUACCCUCUUCCUCUCUAUGCUCAGUAUAUUAUUCAUCCCUUCUUCCCCUCUUGUUAUCAUCUUUAUCUUAAUAGAAAAGGAGCAUAGUUGUCAUUUCCUACCGCAUAGUUGGUCUUAAUGAAAAUUAUUGCUUACCUGUUAACGUGGUGACAUUUGUGCUGGGAAUAUCCAAGUGUACGUCCAUUGAGAAAAUCGGAUGGAUGGAUGGAUUGAUUGAUGUCCCUUUCACUUCGCCGGAGAAUUUUGGAAGACGCACUUGGGUUGGACUUUGGAGUUGUAGUCCGGUCCGUUGGACGUAACUUUCUUGCUUUUAAGCCUUCAACCGUGACCCGAGAUCCACGUGUGCUUAAAUUUUUGGUGCGCUUUUUUAAUAUGAAUAGUGACUUUUUUAUACGCUGACCGUGCAGCGAUGUUUUUACCCUUACAUGGUACAAUUCAUACACCCUAGAAAUUUCAGAUGAUAUGAUACAAUUCAGCCGGAAAUUUCUGUUAUUGCUGAUUCAAUCGUGUUCCCUGCAAAAUUUGAGAUGAUACAAUUCAGUAGUAAAUUGCUGCAUUGUUUGAUUCUUCGGCAAAAUUUCAUCCACCACUCACCCGCCUUCUCGAAGUUCUUUUCCACUUUUGCGGGUCGAAACAAAUUUCUUUGAAUUCGAUUCCCUUUGCAUGGCAAAAUGUGAAAGAGAAUAAUAAUAAUGAAUUUACGUGUCACCAAGAAACAGUUGAACAUUCGGCAUCAGUGGCCCUUUUUUUUUUUUUUUAUUAUUUCGUAGUUGAUUCAAAUACGGACUACUCACCUUUACUGCACACUUUUAUUCUUGCGGAAUGUAUAUAUAUGACCAAAAGUAUGCAAACUUUUCAUAUCCCUUUUUUUUCCGCGGGAUAAGAGCAAAUUCUUUUACGUCACGUGGAAAGAAAUGGUUUUCAUUUCUCUAACAUCACCUCCAAAAAAAAAAUUUUUUUUUUUUUAAAAAACUUCGAGAAUGAGAACCACUUACCAAAUGAUUGGGUACAAGUGAAAGUUUAUAUCACAAAAAAGCUAAAAUCUAUAUCAUCAUCGUCUGUCUUAAUGGUUCCAGGGAAAAGGGUUCCUAUCAAUUCAUGAGAACUUAAUAAUGUAAGCGAGUGCAUUAUUAGCAAAAGAUCUGCCUAAAAAUGCUCCACCGUUCAGAACAGCAUUUGCUUUGGUAAAGGGUGGGGGGAUUAGUGGUUCAUGCUUGAAACGGCUUUUCAUUUCUCUUGGAUGAGUUUUGAUCCUAUCCACUUCCAAAACAUGCCAACUAAUAAGAUGAAACACUUGAUACAAAAAAGGUUAAAACCAGGUCUGACAUGAUCACCUCUAGACCCAACAAUGUUAAACAUUGUACUAGUGUGUGGGGUGGGGGGGCCAACUCCCAGAAAAAUAUCAAAAAAUUUUGAGAUGAGGAUUGAGGAUUUAGGCCCUACAUUCCGUGCAUAGGCAAAGAUGAUCAGUAGGCAGUAAAUGCUGAAAAAGAUGUAUUGGCAGCUCACCCUCCUACGAUUAGGCUUGGGACUGCCUAACUCAUUGCUUUACUAAUCUCUUGACUCUGAGAUUAGGACAUCAACCUAAUCCGGCACAUCCUUUUGGUUCAAUCUAGUGAAGUUCCUCUUUUCUUUUCUUUUUUCUUUUUUGGGGAAAGAAUCUGCUGAAGUUUCUUGUUUUGCAUUCUCUUUUUACGGACUCGCACAAACAGGAGUGUUUGGAUGUCAAAUUUUUUCAAAUAAUAUUUCGUUUGCAUUAUAAACACAUUUUUUAACUUAUCUUUUUAUAUUCAUAAGCACCUUUUUAUCUCACAUACAUCAUACCAUAAAAAUGUUACGUUCAUUAUUUCAAAUAAUACUACUCUACCCAAACAGUUUGUACGAGCCAGCCGGGCAAAGCAUAGGAUGGUCCUCCCCUUUCAUACUUUAUGCAGGACUUCAGCCCACUCAUCAAAAUUAAAAGCUAAAGAAGAGAAUAAUAAUAUGUUACAGCCAAUUGUUAAGGUCUUCGGGCUAAUUGGUAUAGGGAUUUGUUCUUUUGCUAAGCAAAACCGAAUCCUACCUCGCAGCCAACAAAGUGUGUAAUUUCAAGUCAACCCUAGUAAUGGCGUUGAAAAAAGAAAUGAAUAAUAGCCGCCUCAUCACAACCUUUUUUUUUUUUUUUUUUUCCUUUCUGCACAAACAAAAGGACUUGCAAAUUUUCGUGUUUUCCCGUCACAUCAGCUUGGACUUGUAAAGCAGUAGUUUGUUUAGAUUUUUCUCUCUUUUGGUUCGACAAACUCAUCCUGCUGAGUCAGUUUACAAAUGCAGUAGUUUAUCUUGAGCAAUCAAAAUGUCUGCCUUUGUAUUUUAUUUUUUUACCACUGCAAUGUACCUCCAGAGUUGAUUGAAGUUGUCCAUCACCUGAAAAUGAAAUUGCCGAUCCCAUUAUAUAUAUAUUUUUUUUAGCAUAUAAACGAGUUCUGCAACAAAUCUUAUUUAAUGACGGCCAAAUUUUUAGUAUUUAGGCAUUAGAUACGGAAAUCCAAGCCCACCAAUUACUGCGUGAGUUGUGAAUUAACAACGUAAUACUGCUUUCGUCAUUCUAACAAGUUUUCUAAUCUAAUAAUGGUGGUUCAACCGAUUAAUAGAAUUAAUAAUAAACUUGUGGGCCACCACCAUGACCCGGAUAGAAGGUUCCUGUCCUGCGUCGUCCUGAAGCAAUUGUUGCGUAAUUACAGUUAUUAUUUUAAGCAAAAAGCUGGUCGCCGUCCUAAUCCUCCGGUGGAAUUAAAUUUCAGCUUCUUGUUUUUUCCUCCGUAGACCGAAGAAACACACACACACACACACAAUUAGAUUAGAAACGCUCAGAAGUCAUCGCAAGAACGAGUCAGAGACUAAUCCAAGAGAAACUCACAAAUCAGCAGGAGUAUAUACAUGUACAUACGCUACUAGCAGUUAUUGUUAAUUAGUAAUUGGAUUGGAGGGUUGUUGACCUCACUGCUCAAUUAUACAAGAAGAAGAAGUACAAUAAUAAAUAAAGAAAACAGUGGACAGGUUUUGAUGGUUUGUGGGGCACAACAAUUUCAGAAUGAUGCGCUGGAAAAUUGCACUGCGUGAUCCUUAUUGUUUGUUUGUAGUUGUUGUUGAUGAUCGCUUUACUUUUACUCCAAGUGUCUCCAACCUCCAUUGGUUGUAAAGAUUUCGCUUCCUGUACACUGGGUCCCCUCCCCUCUCCCUCUUCUGAGAAUUGUUCCAUCCCUUGCUCUAAAGAUUCCAGAGAUCGAUCAAAUGAUGAACAGUUGUACCCGCAUCGUUUGAAUUGCAAUUGUUGAAGCACAGAUCGACACCUGAUUCAUAACUAACUAGGUUAGCUGGCUCACAUCGAAGAGUUAAUUAGAAAAAAUAUAUAAAUACGAGUGAAUAUAAUAAUUGUUACUACGUGUAUCCGUAUAUACAUACAUGAUAGGUUGGAUGCGAUUUAAGUGUGAAAAACCCUUGAUUUAAAUUACAUCCAGCAACUAAUAGCCAGAUCAUUCAACAAUGAUAGUGACCAUUCUAAAUGGUUGGAACAAACUAAUCAUGUAAUACCAUCAUAUGAUUGGAAAAAAAAAUCUUAUUUCAUCGUCUGCUGACGAAUUUCAAACUAAUCGUGUAAUACCAAGAUGGGUUUGUAGCAUCUCUCCAUCUAAACCUUAACACAAUAUAUGCAUUAUUUAUAAUCACAUGAAUCAACCCAAGAUUAAAGCCAACAUUUCGAAUUUUUUAUUGGCUAGAUGUGAUACAUUUUGCUUGCUUUUUUUUUAAAAAAAAAAAAAAAAACUUAGAGGUGUGAUAACCAUGAUUCUAGUGUUGAUACAUAAGGCUAUUCAUACUAUUAGCUGCAUCCCACAAAUGUUUUAUUUUUUAAAGUUUAAUUUUAACAUUCUCUAUCAGCACAAAAAUUUUUUCUUCCCCGAGGUGGAAUUACUGUAGCGCUUUUUUCUUUCCCAAUAUAUUUGGAUAGAGUAUUAUUUGGAAUAAUUACUGUAGUACUUUUUGUGAUGUAUUGUAUAUGAGAUUAAAAUGUGAUUGAAAAUAGAAAAAGGUGGGUUGAAAAAUGUAUUUAUGAUACAAGCCAAAUAUUAUUUGGCAACUUCGUUUGGAAAGCAAUUUUUCAAAGAAAAAUUGUUACGUUUUUCGCGAACACAUUUUUUAAUCAUUUUUUAUCUCACAUAUAUUAAAUAUCUACAAUAAUUUUUUUUACAAAAAAUUCAGAAAAAAUGCAAUCCAAACGCUCGGGUAAUAAGUGCAGUCUUGGCGUGAUAAUCAAUCUUGACGUGCGUGAAAACUAAAGUCCAAUGUGCUAGCUAGGUUUCAAAUAAAAAGCAAAACAUUUUUAACAAAUUGAGAAAACCAUUGGAAAGGGACCUCGCCUGAUAUAAAUUGUUAUUUUUUCCUUUUCAAGUUAUUACAUGUCUUAGUUAGUAUGAGAUGAGCCAAAUAGGUCUCCGCGAGAAUUAUGAGAUCCACUUUUUAACCAAGAUAAGAUAAAUAUUGCUACUACAAAGUUUGAAAAAGCAGAAAAAGCGAAUGUACACAGGAGACAACAUGGACAGCGGCCUCUCCUCCAUUUGUCUCCUCCCAAACAAGCAUGACAAACAAUCUAGCAAUUUCCACAUUUUGCACUAUUGUUCUAUAUAUCCUUGUGGUUCUGGAGAAUAUGCAUGCAACCCUUUUUUUUUGCUUUUUUUCCUCUUCUUUCUUUAUCCUUUUCUUGUGUUUCUAGGAUUUCUAGAAAAGGGCAUGCUCUGUUGUGGGACGAGGAAAUUCUACGCAUCCAUCAUUUUCCUACUUUUAAUGUCCUCCUCCUCCUCUUCAGUCCCCCCCGAUUGAUGAAAACCUGAAUGUAUCCGCAGAAUGUGCGCCAUCUGUGCCAUCAUGCAAACUGAUUAACAACAACAACUUCUUCUUUUCAAUUCAACAUCAUCAUGAUUUGAACGCAUAGAUACCAAAAAAUUGGCGCAUUAUGGACUUUUUUUUUCUGGUUUUUCUCCCUCACUUUGGCUAACCCAAAAGUUUCUAGCUAGAUUACAAAAGAAAUAGAACAACACCCACCAAUCUCUCCUCUUUUCUUUUUCGUUUUCUUUUCUUUUCCUUGGCACAUUAUGGACAUUAUGAAGAAUAUGGUUCCUUUCGUUUUCUUCAGGAGAUACUAACCAUUAUUUUUCUUCAGGACUGUGGCCGACGCUUAUUGAAAGAUUGCAUGUAUAAUAAGUCGUUGAGGAGAAGCAUCAUAUGCUUUGAGAGAAAAUCUGAUAGCAAAAAAUGGAAGAAAAGACAACGUACAGUAGUUAACAAACACGCAGAAAAAAUCUUUUCCCAAAAAAAAAAAGGGUUAAAAACAAAAAAGCCCCAUGUGAUAAACUUAAUACACAGAAAAGCCCCCCAUGGUUUCAAAAUAUAUAACGCGACCCCUCAUGUUUUGAACUAAAUUGUAAAGGUGACGGAAUCCGUUAAACCUAACGGAAAUGACUUAUUGGAACCUAAAAAAAAAUUUUUAUACCUAAUUUUUUAUCAAAUAUACCUAUUCUACCCUUUAACUCUCAAUUCUCUCUACUUAGAAAAUAAAAUAAAUGAUUUUUUUGAACUGUCUUUUGUUUAAUUAUAUAAGGGUAUUUUGGUCAUUUUGACCAUUUCCGUUAAGUUUAACGGAUUCCGUCACCUUUACAAUUUAGUUCAAAGCAUGAGGGGUCGUGUUGUAUAUUUUGAAACCAUGGGGAGCUUUUCUGUGUAUUAGGUUUAUCACAGGAGACUUUUUUAUUUUUUACCCAAAAAAAAAAAAAACCUUAGAAAAUGGCUUAUGCCUACUGUUUAAUGCUUUUUUUUUUUUGUUUUUUGUUUUUAUCGACAUAGUGGAGAUCUUUGCUGCGUUAUGAUAACUGACAAGACACGAGUCAUUUCGUUUGAAGCUCGGAAGAGCAUAACAUCUUCCAUUGCAAGAUGAUGAGGAGAGGAUCAUUCCUCUAUCUCCUAGUGCACAAGAGCACUCUGUCUAGGUAGGUGUACAGUUGAUUAAUAAAAACUGUUAACGUUUUGGAGGAAAAAAAAAGAUUAAUUCAGAGAGCCUAACAAGUCACAACAAUGAUGCUUUUUCUUUUUUUUUUUUUUUGGGACAAAACUGAAUUAUCACCCCAUAUAAAACAAAAAAAAAAGAUAAUUAGCCUUGUUAUUUAAAAAAAAAAAAUCUGUAAAAUUCUUUGAACCCCCAAAAAAAAAAGGGUCAUUAGAAAGAACAAAACUCUUUCCCGAUGGGAUGAGAAAUGGAGAAACAGAUUAGUAACUAUUGAUGCAUUGCAGACCAUGUUCAUUAUUUUAUUUACACAUAUCGAAGAUGAUGAUAGAAUUUAACUAUAUUGAUGCUCUAAUAAUGAGACGUCAACUAGCCUAAAAAUAUCCGUACCUUGCUAGCUAGCAGAGGAUUAAAAAAAUAGCAAAUUUCCAAACUGAUAAAAAUGAUACUCCACAAAAUAUUUAUUACAUUAUCUUUGCACUCUUUUUUCACGAGGAGUAAUUUUUUUUUUUUUUUUUUUUGCAUGAGUUGGAGAUAUAUUUAUUUGAAAUUCUCAGGAUAUAUAUUUUAUAUUUGACAUAAUUUCAGACGGGCUCAUAGAAACAAAAUCUGUACUUUUUUGUACAUAAAAAUAACGGAAAAAAAGAUCCACCCAAAUUAUUUAUAUCUGACAACUUUUUUCUGCUUUAUUGCGUGGACCAAGUGUAACAGAACAUUUAGAUUCCGUUUACAGGCCUCGGCCUAUGAACUGUUGAACAACCCAUUCCCAAACAUGGGCCCAUCUUUGAAAGUAACCCAAGGGACCAAAAAAAGGUUCUUCUGAUACGAAUUAUAUCUCCCAGUCCCACCAAAAGGAUGAUGAUAAAAAUAAUUAGAGUGAAUCUUCGUGCUAAAAAAGAAAAAUUCUACUCUAACUGACAUAUAAUUGUUGUGAAGUUGAUAUCAAAUUAGGAAAUUUUCACUUGAUACAUUCUAACGUUCACAAGGAAAAUCGGGGAUAUUUGUGUCCAAAAUAGAUUUCUUUGUCAUGGCACAAGGAAAUGGCCUCAUUUGCCUUGGCGAGAUUAAUAUCUUUCCCAACUUUUAACUUGUUAUAGUGCACGGUAUAUCCUUCCUGCACACAUGAUGCUGCGCUCCAUAAUUCAGCUGACAAGCAUGUCGGAUGCCCAAUUUUAUCUUCUUUCUUUUUUUUUUUUUUUUUUUUUUUUUUUUGUUGCUGCAGAAGGAGAAGCCUAAAGAAGCUGUACAAAAGAGACUAGCAUAUUUAUGGCUCGAUUAGAUCAAAAGGGUGUUCUAACACUUUUUUGGAUUUUUUCACUGUAGAUGGGGUUCGAACUCCUGACCUACGGUCUAAAGAGAGAUUUAAUCCCUUUUUGGUGGUCACUGAGCCAAACCUCGGUGGUUCCAAUUUUACUUGCCUAUAGCAAGCGUAGAUUCUGGUUGCAGAAUUCAUGGAGGCUUAUUACAUAUUCUCCCACAGUCUUGGUAUCAAACUGAACUUCACGUACUAGUACUAUUAGCAAAUUCAUGUUGUUAUACAUAUAUUGUUGGUAUAUAUAUUUAGCUAAAGAAAAAGUUGCACAGGACAUAAAUAUGUGAAAUAACUAGCAACAUCAUAAACAUGAAAUCUAAGAAAAUAUUCAAUAACGCAUAAAUUAGUUUUGCUGAUGACAAAAAGAGUUUCAAUUUCAAAAAAAAAAAAUUAAUUCUUGGAAAAUUGAAAAUUUUGAAAUGAGAGGGUAUUAAACGAGGCCCAAUUUCCAUUUGGUUGGUUGGCUGGCUUUUAAUGGGUUCACAAGAAAACAGGGCUGAUCCUAUUUCCAGGUGGGCGCGGAGUUCGGAAACGGAAAUUGUAUAUUAAUUCAAUGAGCAAAAACUAGCCGUUGCCCGGGUACUUUCCCAAAAUUACAAACCAAAAACAAAGAACAAAAACCCCUUUCCGUAGAUGUCUCAGGAGUUCUAUCCCUUCCCAUUUCUUUAUCAGAAGCCCCUGAGAUUGUUCGUCCAAGGCAACAUACCCAGACCCACAUGCCGUACUAUUCUUGAACGCUAUUUUAUGAGAUCUGGAGGCUUUUCUUUCUCUUUCCAUUUUCAAGAACUUGGUGGGCUAACUCCAAUUGUAAGUCAAUUUCAUUGAAAAGGAAAUUUCUUCUUCUUUUUCUUGAUCAGGAUUUCAUUUCCCGUUGUGGGUUUUUUUAAAAUAGUUGAUAUUUCAGUCACUGCGUAUUUUUUCUAAUUUUGGUUUACUUGCGAAAAUGCUUACUGUCUUUAGUGUGUUUGAGGGUUUAGCGAUUUUUAUUUUGCAAAGAGAUUUUCAUGUUUCUUAUUUUUUGUUGCUUAAUCUCUUUAAAAAAGAAUAAAACUGUAGUUUAAACUUUCUUGGUUCUUUCGUUUCUACAUCCUUGAACAAUUUUUUUGUUAUUUUUCUUUAAUAAUGAUUUUGGUAUGAGCACUGCAUAUAUAUAAUUUAGUGUUAUGCUUACAUUUCUGAGUAAUUUUUUUGUGAGUCAAUUGAUUAUUAUAGUCUCCAACGUGCAUUUUUCUGUUAAUUAAGUAAGGGAAUUUGUGAACAGAACGCUUGAAUAUGAGAAUUGGGACCCCAAUAACGACGCCAUCUUCAAAGACCAGGAGGACUCCUUCAUGUACGCCUGGCGGUGGUCCAAAAGCUCAGGAAGAGAAGAUACUUGUGACUGUUAGGGUGAGGCCACUUAGUCCCAAAGAGCAAGCUGCAUAUGAUCUUAUUGCUUGGGAAUUCAGUGAUGAACAUACGAUCAUUUCAAAGAAUUUGACUCAUGAGAGACCUACUGGGCCAUAUACUUUUGGUAUGGAAACCGAUGUGGAUGAGAUAUGUUGAUGAUAUAUUUGUGCUUGAAGUUCUGGAUAUUAAUGAAUUUGCUGUUAAACUUAUGGCAGAUAAAGUGUUUGAUCCGUCCUGUUCGAAUCAGAAAGUUUACGAGGAAGGUGCUAGAGAUGUUGCUCUCUCAGUUCUAAGUGGAAUUAAUGGUAAUAGGGAUUGUUAAGUUUAAUUCAGUAUCUUGAAUGUUGUUGAAUUGCUAGAUUCCAGAGUCAACUUUCCAUUGCCGAUCUUCGGAAAAAGCACUUCAUCGGUUAAAAAAAAAAACCCAAAAUUGUCUUUGGACAAUGCUGAGCAUGUGUGCAUAUAAAGAUAUGUGCAUGGAUGUCUAUAAUGAAAAGGAGACGAAGGCUCGUACAAGAUACUUUUGAUUGCUAACUUUGGGUUGAGAGUUAGUGAUGUUGUUGUUUAAGAACAAGAUGCCCUUUGAUAGGAAAUUUAAAAUCCAAAGACUAUGGAGUUUUAACGUUUUAGAUUUCACAUUUAGAAGUCUUUUAUGCUCCUCUUGAUUCUCAGUCAAUGAGGAUCUGAAGAUGAUAAUGAAAAUCUUUCUCUCUCUCUCAGCUUAGACCUGGGAACUGAACUCUUACCAUCCUGAACAAAGAUAUGGAAUUAACAAAAGGUAGAAAAUGGAAAUAGAAGAAAAAAGGGCAGGAACACUUUAAAAGUUAAUGACAGCUGCAGACCUUAAAACACCAAGAAAAUGACUUGAUUCUGUUUUGUGUUUUCAGAGUUGAUGCACCUGUUGAAGUCUUGCUAUUGUACUUUGCUGGAGCAAAACAAUGUUGUCAUAGUUUCAUCUGUUGAAAGCUGUAGUUUUGCCCAUGUUGUUAUGCUUGGUUCUAUAAGUUAUGCAUUUAAUAAAAUCUGGCUUUUAUCUUGCAGCAACAAUAUUUGCAUAUGGGCAGACCAGUAGCGGGAAGACAUUUACCAUGAGGGGAAUAACAGAAAAUGCCAUUAAGGACAUUUACGAGCAUAUCAGCGUUGUAAGCUAUUCUUCCUUCACCAAAAUCUGAAGCAGCAUUUUGUAAUAAUGCAUGGUGUAGCUUUAGAAAUUUUCCUGUAAAGCAUUUUGUUGAAGGUGAAUUCCUAUGUGGCAUAUUCUGACUAAAUAGUUUAUUUCACCCUCCAGACGCCAGAAAGAGAGUUUGUGCUUAAGUUUUCUGCUCUUGAAAUCUAUAACGAGACUGUGGUAGAUCUCCUAAACCGCGAUUCUGGCUCCCUGAGGCUUUUAGACGAUCCUGAGGUAAACAAGUUGUUUUUAGAUAACAGAACUUGUUGAAUUUGUUUUUUCCUUGAUCUCAUACAUUCAAUAUUAAUCUCUUAAAACAAGUUUAAAUUGUUCCUUUUUUUAUUCCAUCUAAACAGAAGGGCACUAUUGUAGAGAAACAAAUUGAGGAAGCUGUAAAGGAUGCCCAACACUUGAGGCACUUAAUUGCUAUUUGUGAAGGUAGGAGAUUCUGCUGUACUCAUACUGAAUAGCCUGUCAUAUGACUGGUGCUACAUGUGUGGAAAUACUCUUGCUUCUUUCCCUUGAUGAUCUUGACGCUCUUAGCAUGUCAUUUUCUCCUUGAUCACCAACAUUGCUAGUAAGCACAAACUAUUACUAUGCCUGAUCUGAAUUCUGCAUUGGCAAACUGUGUUCACUUGCAGCUCAGAGACAGGUAGGAGAAACUGCCUUGAAUGAUAAAAGCUCAAGAUCACAUCAGAUAAUCAAGCUGGUAAGGAGAAUUUAGUAAUUUGGGAUGCUAUUUUACCACUGUUAUCUUGAUUUUUCUAUUGUUAACUUCUGAGUUGUCAGUUACGUUCGCCAGUAUUAGCAUUGCUUCUACUUAGCAGAGACAGAAAUGUCAUCCUCUAAAACCCCCUUUCUGAAUAAAUAAAUUUUGUAGUUGACUUCUCUUUACUAGUAAAGCAAGAGCAUUCUUGCUUACCUGGUUUUCAGUGGAAGGAUAUACUUUUCUUCCAUUAAAAACUCAAUUUUGUAGUACCCCUUCAAUACUGGUGAAAUCUCUUGAGAAUUCAUUUUUUUCUCUCGUGAAUCUAGUGAUGAUCAGUAUUCUUUCAUAUUUUAAAAGCCUCAGCCCUCUUUACAAAUUCUUUUUAGAUAUUCACAAUGUGGUUGGUCUGUACUAGUUCUUUCUAGUUCGAGACUUCCCUUUUUAUUGGUUUGUGGGAUUGCAUGUUCUCAAACUAAUCCAUCAACCUCUCAAAAUUUUACAUUAUUUGUAUUAUACUGUUUCAUGUGGUAGGAUGUCUUUUUCUCGUGUGUGACCUGUUAAAUAAAGUUUGAUUGAGUAUCUGUCAUGGUUGUGAUGUCUAAUCCAAUACUCUUUGAUAUCCAGACAAUUGAGAGUAGUCUUCAGGAAAGUACUGGAUCCUUGAGAUCUUUUUUAGCAAGUCUGGUAUGCAUCUCUUUCCCUUGAUUCGGAACUUUCUUUGGGGUAUAUCGCUGCACAUAUCUCACUUCAAACUCUUUUUCCUUGCAGUAUCUAGUUGAUCUUGCUGGAAGUGAACGUGCUUCUCAAACAAAUGCAGAUGGUACAAGGUUCAAGGAAGGGAGCCAUAUUAAUAGAAGCCUGCUGACUUUGACAACUGUAAUUAGAAAGCUAAGGUAGCAGCUCAGGGAUAGGAAAUACUGGUAGUUUAGCCUUUUGAUUUGAAAGUUCUCUGUAUGAUCUUGUUGGUUAGCUGAUAAGAGUUUUUCAAACAUAUCAAGCUAUUUCUCUUGCUGAUAUGAUGAGUCUAGGCAUUCUUUUAUGCUGAUUUUAGAAUCAUUAGAGCUAGAUAAGUACAAAGGCAACAAAUGAAUAUAAUCUUUUAUUUUGCUAUGUGCAGUGGUGGCAAGAGGAUUGGUCACAUCCCAUACAGGGAUUCAAAACUCACAAGAAUAUUACAGUCUUCAGUUGGGGGAAAUGCACGAACAGCAAUAAUUUGUACAAUGAGUCCUGCUCUGGGUCAUGUGGAGCAAUCACGGAAUACACUCUCCUUUGCGACAAGUGCAAAAGAAGUUACAAAUAAUGCACAUGUGAAUCUGGUAUGUUAGCAAAAAAUUUUGGUUUAAAUGAUUCACCACUGUGUUGCAUAUUAUGACGUUGUUUGUUUGUCAAAUAUGGUCAAAAGUUUGUAAAACUUCCACUAAAAGAAUGACUUGUUACUAAACAGAAUUUCAUGGUUUAACCAAUUGCUUACAAAAGGAACAUUUUUCAAUUUUGACGAGGCAGUAUUAUCAAAAUUGUCCCAACUUCUUGUGGAAUCUAAUUCUACUCCGGAUGGAAACCUUGAAUUUGAAUAACUGAUCACAUGGAUUUCACUGUGUAUUUCUUAUCAUUUUUUCCAGCAGGAUCUAACCAUGCCAGCUCAAGUUUAUUUUGAUCAAUGAAAUGAAGUAGAAAUAAGUAGGUUCUUCUAUCUUCAAAAACUGAAUUCUUAUAACACGAACUGAAAGUGCAACUUCCAAUGAAAAUAUUAAAUAGAUAAAUGAACUUUCAGCUUUACCAUGUUAGAUAUCUAAUUGGAGUGGGAAUAUUUACCCUAAGGACUGAGUUUGACUUAUUUACUUUGUUAAUUGGACUCUUGAGUUUGGUUUGAUUGGCUGCAAAGGAAAUGCAGAUGGCCACACUCUUAUGAACUAAUAUAUUACACUAGAAAACUUGGGGAUGAAUUAGUUCAGUUGACAAACUGAAAUAUCUUGAAAAGUCACAGCCUAUUCUGGUAUUAUGCCUUCUGUAUAUCAAUAUCAUUUCAUGGAUAUUCUCUUUCAUCUUUGCACUAUUCUAGUACACUAUUGGAUACUCUCUUCUGUAUAUCAAUACCUUUGUACUAUUCUCUUUCAUGGAUAUCAAUAUCCUUUCAUGGAUAUUCUUGUUCAUCUUUGCACUAUUCUAGUACACUAUUGGAAAGUUGGGGACGAUUAGUCCAUUUGCUAAACUGAAAUAUCUUGAAAAUUCACGGACCAUUCUAGCAUUAUGCCUUCUGUAAAUGAAGAUUCUUUCAUGCAUACUCUCUUUAUCUUGCUGAGUAGAAGGAUUGUUUGCACUGCUGGGAAGCGUGGCAUAUUUAUUUGGUUCAAGCACAAUGAGCCAUCAAUAUGAUAAAAGUCCUUAGUUUGAAAUUUAUUUCCACUUUUCUAGGUUGUUGCAGAAAAACAAUUAUUGAAGCAUUUGAAGAAGGAGGUGGCAAGACUUGAAGCAGAGCUCCGAAGUCCUGAACCAUGUGGCUCCUCGUCUUUAAGGUCCUUACUAAUUGAGAAGGAAAUGAAAAUCCAGCAGGUAGACUACAAAGAGCUCUUUGGGUAGAUGUUAAUGCUAAGUGUGCAGUAAACCAAGACACUUUCAGAUGGUUUUUGGUCAAAUUAUUGUUUCACUUCUGUUUCUCAGAUUGAUUGCAUGACACCCAAUGUUAGUGGUGCAUUUAGGAAUGUGCUAUAUACAUACACUUGAAUGAAGGCACAAGUUUUAAUAGCAAAAGUUUUAAAUGCAGAUGGAGAUAGAAAUGAAUGAGCUGAAACGCCAAAGGGACAUUGCAGAAUCCCAGCUUGAAUUAGAAAGAAAAGCACACAAGGAACCAAAGGGAUCAAAUCAGCACGGUCCGUCUCGUCGUGUAGUUAAAUGUCUUUCUUAUACUUCUGAGAACGAGUCAGUUUCUGGAGGGCCUCUUCCAAAAAUCCAGCCCAGGAACUUAACUGGAAGGCAAUCACUGGUUAGACAGUCAGCUACUUCUUCAUCCAUGCUGGUGCAUGAGAUUCGAAAAAUUGAGAUGAGCCAGAGGCAGCUUGGUGAGGAAGCGAACCGUGCACUUGAUUUACUUCACAAGGAGGUUGCUUCUCACAGAAUUGGUAGUCAAGAUGCUAAUGAAGCUCUGGCAAAGCUGCUUGUAGAAAUUAAGGAGAUGCAGGCUAUCGGUUUAGUUCCCGAAACUAUUGAGAUUAAAGACAAAGGUAGCUUGAAAGAAGAGAUUGCCCGAUUGAACACUCAGGAGACUAAUAUUGCAUCUCUAGAAGAAAAGCUUGAGAAUGUUCAGAGAUCCCUAGAUAAAUUAGUGACGUGUUUUCCAAGUGGAAAGGGGACUCCUGAUUUGAGGACUUCAGCCAAAAAGAAAAAAGGUCUUCCAUUUACACUGAGCAAUUCACCUAACAUGCCAAACAUGAUAAGAUCUCCAUGCUCACCUGUGGAACCAGGGAUUGAAAAUAGAGCCCCAGAGGCUAACAAUCUUUCAUCUGGUAGUGAUGGCUUCUACCUUCGAGAGAGCACUCCUCGUAGAAAUCACGAAGCUAACAAUAUCUCAUCAGCAGAGACUACCCCUGCACCAAAGCAUUCAACCUCUGUUGGUGUGAAGAAAAUGGAAAAGAUGUUCAAGAAAGCGACUGAGGAGCACAUCCGGAGUAUACGAACUUACGUCACAGGGCUUAAAGAACGUGUCGCAAAGCUGCAAUACCAGAAACAGCUUCUGGUUUGCCAGGUAAGAUUUAUUAACUUCAGGCUGUUCUUCUUCUCUUUUGGUUAAAUGAGGUUCUUAUUUAUAUGAACUUAAGAGCGGCGGAAAAUGACUCAACUGGUAUGAGAACAUGUUGAACCAUUCAACUUCCCAUUUCUUGUUUAUACAUAAACAUGGAUAUAUUAGGAUAAAGCUGGUAAUGAUAAAAGUACUUGAGUUUGAAAUGGUCUGCCAUGAAAUUUUAUUGUAUCAUAAUGUUGUAUGGGCUUGAGAAAAAAGCAAGCCUUUAAUAGCUGCGGGCACGUGGUGUAUUUUGUUUUUCAGUUGUUCUUUGAACAAAUGUUUGGUACCAUUUUAAUAUCAUUGGCAGCAGCAUCUGCCAUAAGUAUUAGUAUCUGAGCUUUGGAAUCUGAAUCAUUUUUCUCCGCUCCCAGUCUCUUUCUUUUGGGUAUUGCAUUCUUCACUGAAUGAGUUUCUUAUCUUUCUAUGGUCACUUUUUACCAUAUUUGUAUUAGGUGUUAGAGCUGGAGGCAAAUGAAGCUGCAUCUGAUGGACCCGAUAAUAUUGAAGAAUCUAGCAUCUCAUGGCAAUCAAUGUUUGAAGAACGAAGGAAGCAAAUUGUCAUGUUGUGGCAUUUAUGCCAUGUGUCAAUCAUACACCGCACUCAAUUUUAUUUGCUGUUUAAAGGGGAUCCUUCAGAUCAGAUAUAUAUGGAAGUUGAACUUAGAAGGUUGACAUGGUUGGAGCAGCAUUUGGCAGAUCUUGGUAAUGCAAGUCCAGCACUUUUAGGUGAUGAUCCUGCAAGCUUUGUGUCAUCAAGGUAUGUUAGAAGCGUUUCAGAUUGACUACUAUACAUGCGGGCAUGCAAGUGGUGUAGUUUUAUACCUUUUCUAGUUGAUUUUUUCUUGUCUAAGUGCUCUAUUACUUGCUUUGAAAUGCAGCAUCAAGGCCCUUAAGCAAGAGAGGGAAUAUCUAGCAAAGAGGGUGAGUACAAAGCUGACUCCAGAAGAAAGGGAAAUGCUAUACUUGAAAUGGAACAUCCCACCAGAAGGGAAAGGCAAAACAAAGAGGAGGCUGCAACUUGUAAAUAAACUGUGGAUGGACCCUCUGAAUAUGCAACAUAUAAAGGAAAGUGCUGAAAUUGUUGCAAAACUCGUGGGGUUCUGCGAAACUGGUGAGCAUGUCUCCAAGGAGAUGUUUGAGCUCAAUUUUGUCUCCCCUUGUGACAAAAAGACUUGGAUCGGUUGGAACUUGAUAUCCAAUCUCUUGCACUUGUAAUCACCAACCUGUUAUUAGUGCUUCGAAUUCCACUCAAGUUUCUGAGAUCAUAGCUCUGACCAACCGUUUGUAUAGAAUGUCUGCCUGUCUAUCUGUCUGUAUGGUCUUAACUCCAGCUUUUGUAGCGGUAACAGUUCAAAAUAGAUGAAUGAAGAAAGCCCGUUUCCAGAACAGAAACGAGUGCUUGAAAAAUGCCCGUUUUUCUUCUUUUCUUGGGCUCAAGUGUCUGUUUUUUGUGGAAUGAUCAUCACAUAGUUGAGCCUUCAAGUGACUUUACUCCCAAGUACGGGAUAGCUCCAGAUGUUGUUUGGACUCUGGACUAAAGAGUUCCUUGACAGCGCAAAGGCGUGAAGAUGAUGUGCUGCUUUGCCUGGUUAAACCAGUAAAAAAAACCAUGACCUGAAAAGAGGCGCAUCUCCUUUCAAAUGAGGGACAAUAAUGUCUACUGGAAUAAAAAAGGGGGAAGAAAAAAAAAAAAAUAUAUAUAUAUAUAUAUAGUUGUCCCCACUCAUAAAAAAUGUGAGCUAUAAGACAUGGUUAAACAAUUAAGAUUCAAAAACUCGUUUGAAGGUGUCAUUUGUUCAUAAACUUGGAAUGUGUGUAAUUAUAAAAUUAGAUGUUUAAUCGAUUAAUCAAUUAUUGAUCAUACAACUCACUGAUAAAGGGUAAACCAAAACUAAUCUUAUCUAUAAUAAUUUACUACUAAUCUUUUUUCAGUACUGGAAUAUAUUCAAUAUUCAUCCUCCUUUUUUUUUGUUUGUUUUGUAGAGAAAAAGAAAGUAAAAAAAAAAAAGAAAAGAAGAAGAGAGACGCAGUAUAUAUUGGAAAAAAGUGAAGGGCAAAUGAGUCUUUUCAGCAAGUUAAAUAUGUCCCCAGUGUUAUGUUAUCAGCAGCUGCCCUAAAACCUCUUGAACGCUACCCGCAGUGCAAACUUCGGACGUAAGAUUACCUGCUGAACUACGUCGUAUUAUACACCUCCUCCGACCAUCUUGAUAUUUCAUGGGAAGAGAAAUUAGCAGCGGCGGACAAAAAUCCUCCUCUUCGUCGUCGGCGGGGAUGUCGUACACGGUGGAGCAGCUCGUCGCCGUCAAUCCUUACAACCCUGACAUUCUCCCCGAUCUCGAAAACUUCGUCAAUGAGCAGGUUCUCCUUUUUUUCUUUUGGUUUUCUGAUGAUGAUGAAUAAGGGAAAAAAAUUCUUAUCUUUAUUUAAUCCAAUAACUAAGGUUUAUUUUGAAUGUUGAAACUAUAAAAACAUGUAUUUUUAGGUAUCUUCCCAAACGUACAACUUGGAUGCUAACCUCUGCCUUCUCCGCCUCUAUCAGGUUAGCCUACCGCUGCAAUUGGUCUUUAAUAUUUGAUUUUUAUAUUGUAAUAAUGCUGAAGUGAUUUUAGAAUCAUGAAAAAUGAACUACUUUUAAUGUUAUUAAAAACGGUUUCUUUUUUGCGGAUUUUGUAGUUUGAGCCGGAGCGAAUGAGUACUCAGAUUGUUGCUCGCAUUUUGGUUAAGGUAAAAAAAAGUUAGAAAACUAUUAACCUUUUGUUUUAUUUCAAAUUUCAUAGUUUUGGUCAACUAAUCAUUUAUCUAAUAUCGUUGAACUUUGUAAUAAUGAACAGGCACUUAUGGCAAUGCCGGCUCCUGAUUUCAGCCUUUGUCUCUUCUUAAUUCCUGAGCGAGUGGUACCUUUUGAUAGACUUUAUCUUUUUUUUUUUUUUGGCACGUUCUUUUUCUUUUUGCAACUUUGUCGAGUUGGGAAAGAGAAUAUGGAAGCUGUUGUAAACAAUGUUAAUGUUGGUUUCUUUUUAUUCUUUGGGUUUAUGAAAGUAGUCAUUCUCUUAUUGCUGUAUGAAGGAAUUGUGUUGAUUGGAAGAAGGUCACGUGUCAAAAGUAAUCGGGAAAAGUUGAAGCUUUACAAUUAUGAGAAAGUCUUCCAAUUAAAAUUUUAUUUUCUGGUGUACUUUUGAGUUUUUGUUGUUCCAGCUAAAUAUUUGGUUUACAAGUUACUUUCAAGUCGGUUCUAGUUCUUCCUUUUGUGAGAUCUAGUGAGGCAAGUUUAUCUUAGCUCGUUUGUUCCAGUUCUCUUUGCUGUUAAUUUGCUCUGUAAUCUUUUGUUUAUUGUUGUAUUAUUCCAUUGAUACCUGGGUUGUCUACUUAUCAUGUGCAGCCAAGGCAUUUCCCAUCAUGUACAGGGAUUGUCCACUUAUUCAAAGUUCUAGUUGAAACUUGUUUCAAUCAAAUGGUUCAGUGAACAAUGAGAAAAUCGACUAGUAAGAAACAAAAGAAUUAUAUCAGUGUUAAGGCCCUUAAACAUAAGAAGAUGCUUCAAUAAUUGUAAAGUUAGGAUGGUAGCAUCUUAUGUUGCUCCUCGUUUUGAAGUGGGACGGUUAGUCUUGAUGAUUGAAAUGAGAAGCUUUUGCUUGUAUCUCUGCGUGGUUGGAUGGAUGGUCCUGGGGUAUAUGUUGGGGUUAAGUGGGAGGGAAGGGGUUUAGGCUGAGUGGCUCCGUGCAGAUGAGUUUAAUUGGGACUUUCUUGCUUAACAAUGCAAACUAAUUUGGCUUCUAGGUGGACAAUUUCCACUUGAAACUGCUAGGUGCCAAUUUCGUGGGGAGGUUAGAAAAUCUCUAUUACGUGAUCUUGGCUUGGUAUGCUAGUAGCUAAGAUUGUUAUAUAAAUCUCCUGUAGCUGGCAGGCUUUGAACAGCCCUUUUAUUUAGGAAAUCGUGGCAUACGCCUUUUGCAGCACAUUUGUGGUCAAACUUUGUUGAAGAAAUUAGUAAUUGAAUAAAAUACUUGUCAUCGGAAUUAUUUCAGGCUCUUUAUGCAGGAGUCUAAACUAUGCAUGAGGUGGUUGCUGUUCUGGAAAUAGACUAUCUUUUUCUAAACAGUUUUAUUUGAUCAUCAACUCAUCUCAUCUGAAUUGGCAGCAAAUGGAGGAACAGUUCAAGACGUUAAUUGUGCUUUCGCACUAUUUGGAGGUACACUUUUACCUCAGACCCUGGCAUAUAUUUUUUAUUAAACAGAUUAUAGAUCAGAAUUUUGAUUCAUAUUCUGCUGCAGACUGCAAGAUUCCGUCAGUUCUGGGAUGAAGCUGCUAAGAGUCGGCAUUUGUUAGAAGUUGUGCCAGGUAUGUCAUAAUGUCUAUGUAAGUUGUAGCAUGUAAGUCUAUGGUUGGUGGUUUCAUUUAAUGAGUAUGCAAAGCAGUACAUGGUUACGAGUCUCAAACUGCUGGAAUCAUCUUAAUAAUCUGUCUUGCUGUUUUUCACAUUCUGUAUUCUGUUGCCUCUUCCCCAGCUUGCUUCUGGCUCUUAUAUUUUACUUCUGCAAUGUAAGCUUUUGGUUGUCUGUAUACUCCUGUUAAUGAGGACGCAACUGCAGGUUUUGAACAAGCAAUUCAAGCAUAUGCAAUUCAUGUCCUCUCCUUGACUUACCAAAAAGUUCCAAGGUCUGUCCUUGCUGAGGUAUGGUUCGCUUCUGAAAAUUGCUUUAUGAAUUUUCCAGUUGUUCUUUUAUUUCAGUAAUGUGACUGCAGAUUUUUGCAAGUUUUUCUUUGUAGAUGUUACACCAAAAAGAAUUACCUAGCUUAUGGCAUCUGGUGCUUAGAUAUUCCCUGAUCCCUGUUAAAGUUUGUCUUGGAUUCAAAUUCCACCACAUGCAUUAUUGCUUUUGCAUCGGUGGUAGAUUUGGUGUUUAAUCUUGUGUUUUAAAACUUCACUUGUUGUUUCGCAAUUCUGCUCUCUCUCUCUCUCUCUCUCUCUCUCUCUCUCAUGGACAUACAUUUCAUGCUUACACCAUAUGAAACGUUUUAUUUGAGUUUAAUCAUAAAAUACUCGUCUGUACUUUUGCCUUGGUAUCAUACAGGCCAUCAACAUAGAAGGUCUGUCUUUGGACAAGUUUGUUGAGCACCAUACAGCAAACUCUGGUUGGGUUGUAGAGAAGGGCCAUGUUAAGAGCCCACUCAUUACACUUCCAAGCAAUGAGUUCAACCGUCCAGAGCUUAAGAAAAAUACUGCAGACGGUGUACCAUUCGAGCAUGUCGCCCGUAUCUUCCCCAUUCUUGGCUAAGUAUUACAGUUCAAUGGGAAGGAAAAUAUCUCAAAAAUGUUGUUUGUUCUAACGGAAUUCUGGUGAUUAAGAUGAAAUGAGUUGUAAAAACAGUUUUGCCCUAUAUUUUAGAUGCUUGAAUUCUUCUUUUGGAGAAAUUUUUAGUUGUUGCCACAUUUCAAACAUUGGUUAAUAAUCUUUAGGGUCUCUUUUUUAUAUUAGGUUUGACAUGUUUGCACUGAUAGAAUCUUAAAAUCCAGGACGACAUAGGCACGGCACCCCCAUUACAGAAUUAUACUUUCUAAUGUUCAAUUAUACUCUCUUGUUUUAAGUUCGAAUUACCCAUCGAUCACACUCUAUCCGAUAAUCUGAAUAGCUUAAAAGAAGAGAAUUAAUUUUUAUCAAACUAAAAUCAAUACAUUAUGUUAAAUCAUCACACUAUGUUGAAUUUUAAACUUAGAUAUAGUCAUAGAGAAAUUUAACAUGUUAUGAAGGAUAAAUUUAAUAAUUUUCCAAAAGAAGAUUUAAACAACUACCUCACAAUUUCCCAACAAACAGUUUUACAUAAAAUAUGGCAAAUAACAAUCUACAAGGCAAACAUGCAUGCCAACUAAAUACAAACUAAACUCACAAAUGUCUAAUUUUUUCUUACCCACUGCCAUCUUUAUUGAUAAAAGAUUGAUGCUAGUCUACCACACAGUACUCCUUGGGGUGUUCUCAGUUGUAAGUCAGCUGUGGAUCGCAAUCCAUAGCAUCGAGAAGCCUACAAGGUCAAUCCUUCACACUUUUGAUGGGGAUACAUUUCAACCCAGGCAGCCAAGGAGGCCGACUGAUCUGGCAACCCAAGCAAGUCGCUGAAAAGAAUUGAGCAGAAAGAGUCGCAUAGUGCCAUCCAAUAGAAUAUUGUUUUCGCUGGUUUAACGCUAGAAUGGUACCAAUCAUAACUAAAUUCUUCAGAUGCCUAUCAAACACACAUACGAGAAACAAAACCUUCACACAGACUAAGAAUGCCUACCUUUAGCAGUGUUUGGCCAAAAAGAUUUACCAUUAUUUUUUUGCCCGUCUUGAAAUUUCUUCACCUUGGCUGAUCUUUUCUUAUGCUCCUUCGGAACCGAAGUAAAAUUUUAAGUCGAAACCACAAAAUCAAAACAUAAACUGUCCUACCAAAAGUUUAUUUAAGAGCUUAUUCGCACGAUAAAUUUUGAUAGAUUCAAAAAUAAAUGGACAAAACAAAUCAAUGGCCUAAAACUGCAAGAGACAGGAGCUCCAAUGAGUUGGAUCAUAUUUACACCACUGCAACUAAGAACCGGAGGAUUAGUUGUUGAAGAAAAUAACUACAACGAAGUUGAUGAGAAAGAGCUCCAAAAGAAUCUUUAAAAUUGUUGAUGGCUAUUUACUCGGUGUACGCUAAUGUAUCAGGCUCCGACCGAAGUUUAGACGAUCGAAUUCAUUCUGCAAAUCAGACGCAUGGGCAGAGAGGAAUAAUUUCCAGAAGCUCGUCAAACAAAAGAAUGCAGGCACAACAGCUCUUUUACUCGUUUCUUCAACUCAUUUUAGACCUGCCACUGACACCUCAACUCUGC